rnacentral:lncRNA from 1 species
CUUGGAGUUUCUCUUCCAUGGACGGGGUAUUCAAUAAUGAAGGCCCUGGUGCUAGAUUAAUUGAGCUUGGCAAAAAGUUUCAGAAGGAAACCGAUCCAUUUUUGUCAAAUUCAGUUACAAAUACAGUUCCGUUUUCCAAUGAAAAUAUGUCAACAUCAAUGCAAACAGAAGCUGCUUCCAAUCCUUGGGUUGACCUGUUGUCUGGAGGGGACACAUUUUCUGAUCCUCUUUCAGAGCCGUUUUCUAGCCCUCUUUCCGAGCCGUUCUCUGAUCCUCUUUCUGAGCCGUUCUCUGAUCCUCUUUCUGAGCCAGUGACAAGAAAUGUUGCAUUUGGAGGGGCUGAUUUGCUUGAUUUCUUGGACCAGCCUAUAGUUGAAGAUCAUGGUGUGGAAACUUAUAAAAGAUCUUCAACACAGGAUGGCUGUUCUCUAGCUAGUGGUGCCCAGCAGUACAUAAGCUGUCUAAAAUCCCUUGCAGGGCCAUGCGAGGUAUAGUACUGCUCUCUUGUGUUUUUUGCAGCUCUACAUCUUAGCAACUUCAUCUUUUUAAAGGAGUAAAUUCUAGAAGUUCAACAAAUUUUGCUCUGCUAAAUGUAUAACUUAUUAAUCAGUGUCCUGUUAUUAUGGUUUGACACUACUGACAUAUUGUGUUGGUAUUUAUUUGUACUUCCCUUGGUUGAAUUAUUUGCUGUCUCCAUGCCAUUCGAUAUGGUGCUACUUGGUUUUUGAUCAUCCAUGACGCUAUAUAUAUGUAAAGGAUGAAUUGAUUGUUUUGGCUUGUAUUCUCACAUUUUAUGAUUGAUUGAUGGAAAGGUCUUCAUGUAUUAAAUUCAACCUCACAAGCGUAAGAUUGACAGAUUCUGGGCAAAUUUUCAGGAAAAGAAACUAGACUUCAUGGAAGCAAUGAAGCUUGAAAUUGAAUGUCCGCAGCUGAAUCUUUCUGCAGCUGAAAGGGAUAGAGCUUUAUUGUCAAUUGGAACUGAUCCUGCCUCUAUAAAUCCAAAUGUAUUGCUUGAUGAAUCUUACAUGGGAAGACUGUGUCGAGUAGCAACCACUCUUGCAUUACUUGGCCAAACUUCCCUAGAAGACAAAAUUGUUGGUGCAAUUGGCCUUGAGAAUAGUGAUGAUAGUGUUUUAGACUUCUGGAAUAUUACUAGAAUCGGAGAGAGUUGUUCUGGUGGCUGGUGGCGGGUGCAAGGUUCGUGCAGAAACUAAGGUGCCUGCUCUUGCUUCCUCAACUGCAACAUCUGUUGGAGCUUCACAAUCCCCUUUGUUGUGUUCUCAAUGUGAAAGAAAAGUUUGCAUAGUUUGUUGUGCAGGAAGAGGAGCUCUACUGUUUUCAAAUUAUAAAUCAAGGGAUGUGACCAACUACAAUGGCUUCUCAAGUCAGAGUGGAUCAAGCCAUGGAAGCCAAGUUGAUGUAUCUACCAGUCGUUCACUAACACUGGAUGGCGUUAUCUGUAAACACUGCUGCCAUGAGAUUGUGCUUGAUGCAUUGAUGUUGGACUAUGUUAGGGUCUUGAUUAGCUUGCGAAGAAGUUCCCGUGCAGACAACGCAGCAUACAAUGCUUUGAAUGAGGUUGUUGGAUCCUGCUUAAAGGAUAGUCUUUCUGAAAGGAUUCAGUCUUCCGAUAACGUGCAAGCUGCUGAAGUCCUUCACCAAUUAUGUGGUGGACAGGAAUCUCUUGCUGAAUUUCCAUUUGCUAGCGUUUUGCACUCGGUAUGUUCUUGGUUUGUAUUCAGUUCUCAUCAUGUUAUGUUUUCCUUUUAAAUUUCUUUUCUUGAUUAAAAUUUUUAGAAAUAUGUUUUAGUAUUUGUUCUUAUGAUAUAUGCCCAGAACAUUCAUCCCACUUAUCCAUGAGAAUCCUUGUCUGGUUUGAUUUUCAAUUGAGACAUUUUUGGGAACCCUGAGCAGGUUCCAUAUGCUAAUAAUCUUUGAGGUAAGGUGUUGUAGGAUGCCUUGAGAAGCUAAAAACCAAUUACAAGGAAAAGCUCUUGCAUUGUUUUGUGCAAUCUGUGUGCUAGCAAGUCAUGUCUCUAAUAAUUUCAUAGUUCGCUUGAUUGGAAUUUUUUAUUUUGAUAUGGAUUGUUUAUUCUAGAUUCCUUGCUGCCACUGUAGGUUGAAACAGCAAAAGAUUCAGCACCGAUUUUGUCACUGCUUGCUCCAUUAAAUUCUGGAUCAAGGCACUCAUAUUGGAGAGCUCCACCUAGUACUACUUCUGUUGAAUUUGUUAUUGUUCUCGGUUCUGUUUCUGAUGUCAGUGGGGUUAUCUUGCUUGUUAGUCCUUGCGGCUAUUCUGUGGCUGACACUCCGAUGGUAAGUGCCAUAUUUAUUCCCUUAUUUCCUUGUUGUUCAAUAAAUUUGGUGAUAAGCCAAGUGGCCUUAAUAAUGAAGCCCAGUACCAGGGGUGGUGGGUAAUCGAUAUUCAACUUGUGAAUAUUCCUAAGCAAACACUGAAUCAACAUAUACCUCGGCAAAAGUUCUCCAUGCUAUUAUAACAAAAGUCAUAUUUUGAAAUGAUUAAAACAGUCCCUGUGUAGUGCCAUUUCCAAAGAAAUUGCAGCUGGGGGUUUAGUUUCAUGUAGGUUAGUUUCCGAUAAUAAACUUUCCAUUUCAUUAAUUGCCGAUGGAAAAACCAAGUAAGAACAGUUUCGUUGCUCGUCAUUUAUGUAUAUUUUGGUAAACUGUAAUUUUAAAUUCUCAACGAUCUUCCCUUUGUAGGUAAGAAGAUGGUCCACUCACUUGAUAUUUAUGAUUGUAGAUCAGGUUUCUAUUGGUUUGCCUUUAUCAUUCGGAACCCAAGUUUGAUAUUAACAGAGAUCACGUCAAUAAUAUCCUAUUUGGGUAGAUGUGGGUGAGGAUUUAAAAUCAAAUUUGAAAUUGAGGGGAAAGAAGAGAAAAGGAACUACAAUAAUUAUUCUGAUGAGUUUUAAUCUCGAGAGGAGCAAUUUUCAAAUGCAAAUUUAACGGCUAGAGAAAUUGUAGCUUUUUGUCAUUAGUUAAGAGGAAAGAGAAUAAGAACUAUCCGGCCCUUUCCUUCAUGAAUGUGUGUUGAGGUUGCUGUAUUAUUUAGUCAGUAUUUGUAAUUUUCUUCCCUGCAGUGCUCUCUGCCUCCUGAAUUUGCUACUGAGUCCAUAUUUUUCUUUGAGCUGUUCCUUCCUAUUGCUGUUACAGUUACAAAUCUGGGCAAGCAAUAAGAUACACCGGGAGGAAAGGUCAUCAAGGGGAAAAUGGGAUGUCCAAUCCCUCAUCACAUCUUCUUCAGAUUUGUAUGGUCCAGAAAAGUCCGCUAGUGUUGAAAAAUUACCUAGGCAUGUACAAUUUACUUUUAAGAAUCCUGUUAGGUGCGCAUUGUUUGGAUCACAUUACGUCUUCAGAGACCUGGUUCGGCUUCAGUUAAUUUCGGGAAGGACUUCAGUCUUUUGUCUCUUGAUGAAGAUGAAAACCCCUUUGCACAAGUAGACAGACGUGCUUCAUUUGGAGGAGCAGUUGAAAAUGAACCAUGUAUUCAUGCCAAAAGAAUUCUUGUAGUCGGAAGCCAGUAAAAAGGGAGGGGCUUACCUCAUCACAGAGCUCUGAGCAGCUAAGUAUUAGAAACUGGUUGGAUAGAGCUCCACAAAUGAGUAGAUUCAAGGUAUUAGUUGCUUUCACUCUUUGUUCAUUCAUAAUUCCAGCUUUCUGCUUCACUGAUAAAACUCUUUUUUCUCUUCAGGUCCCAAUUGAGGCCGAGAGAUUGAUGGACUACGAUCUCGUCUUGGAACAGUAUCUACCUCCAGCAUCACCUUCGCUUGCCGGAUUCCGUCUAGACUCUUUCAGUGCAAUAAAACCUAGGGUUACCCAUUCACCUUCCUCAGAUUCAUUUACAUGAGAGAAAGAGUUUUGGGUUUGACUUUGAUUUUGAUUUGUAUUUGUUGUCAUUUCAUUGAAAUUUCUUUUUGUUGUAUAAAAAUCAGAAGGUAAAAGUAUUAAAUUCACUGAUGCGGUAAUAUCUGUGCUGGUUACAGGAUUUUAUGUUUAACUUGAAGUUAGUAAGCAAUGACUUAACAAUAGCACUUUGAAUUUAACGUGGAUCAUAUUGUAUUUGAAAUUAAAAAAUAAAGAGAGAGAAAUUAAUUGUUAAUUGAGUUGGACAAUUUUCCGUGGUUAAUUGCUCCCAGAAAAGAGAAGAAUGGGAUUGUGCUUCCUCACACGAAGAAAGACUCGAACGUCUUCGUGCUAAUUAAUCAAUGAAAGAUUUUGUCAAAUAUCUGGCCCUUUCUUUCUUGAAUGUCUGUGUACAAGUUGCUGUGUCAUUUAGUCAAUAUUUGCAAUUUUCUUCCCUGUAGUGCUCUCUGCUUCCUGAAUUUAUAUUAGUGAUCUGGUUUCUGAGUGCAUAUUUUUUCUUUCUCGUUGCUGCAGGUUUGUCGUUGUCAAACAGAAUCAAGUUAUAUUAUUAUUGUGAUCCUUAUGAGCUUGGAAAAUGGGCAAGCCUUUCUGGAGUUUGAUCGUUAUUUAUAUGUUAGAGAAAGAGUUCUGGGUUUGUUAAAACUCAUUAUUAUAAUUUGAAAUAUGUGUUAUUUCAGCUAAUGAUUAACACUAAAAAAAUUAUCACCCAUAUAAUUUUUUAAUUUGUGUAGGGUAAUAAUAAAAUUGAAAAUAAUUAAAAAAAUAGCACAAUAAUGAGUUUUAACAAUAAAACAAAUUAAAUGAAAAUUGAAAAUUUAGAAAAGUGUAUCUAAGAAAAUGGAUAUUUUCAGAAAUAAAAUGAAUAUAACUAAAAAUGGGGUUUUAUGAGGAGAUCAAAGGGGUGCCAAUAGUCCAACUCGUAAUUAAGAAUCUCCCAUUACAUUGUCAACCAAAAAGACACUUGCAUAAGAAAAAAAAUUUCUGUUUGAUUUUAUUUGUAGAUCCAACAUUUCUCAUAUCCUGGUCGCCUUUCCGUAUCAAAUUAAAAUAGUAUUAGCAAAAUCGUAGUGCAAAUUCAAUUAACCAACUAAUAGUCUAAGAAGCAAAGAGAGGAUUACAAGUUCACAACACCAUUACAAAGGAUUCAAAAUUCCCACACGAAAACAUCAAUGUACAGAUUAUAAACAAUCCGAAUUGGACACAAGAAAAACCCUUCAAUGGAUUGCUUGCCUUCCCAAUGCUAAAUACUGUGCAAACUGCGCAUUGGCCAAGAAAAUGUUUUCAAUUUAGUGUAUUUUCAAAAUGCUUAUUUUCUCAGAAUAUAAAAAAUGAAAAAAUAAAAAAAGAAUUCUUACAUGUUUCAUCAGCAUGAUUAAAAUCAAAGAAGAAAGCGAGACAUAAUGUCUCUGACAUAAUAAAAUUACAAAAAUUUCAAGAAAAAAAAAGGGUUAAAACAUGUAAUCUUCAGAAGCAUAUAAUAAAAGAAGACUUCCACAAGUUACUACAAUUACAUGCAGUAGAGAUUAACUGAUGCUUUGACUUAUUAGCAGGUUGCAAUGAAUUAUUAACUGAUGCUUUGACUUAUUAGUUCUGCAGCUAAGUUAAAUAAAAUAAGGUAUUUUCAAAAGCAAAAUGGAAUACAUAGACAAAACAUCAUCUUAAACAAAUCACAAUCUAGAAUUAGAGUGUUGAUUUGAGAUUCUAGAUUGUGAUUUGAUCGGCUCAUUUGUUAAGAAGUGUUGAUUUGAUCGGCUCUGCAAAUUCUCUUGGGACUCGGUUCCAAUUCCUCUUCAUCAAAACUGUAAUAUAAUUCCCCUUCAUCAGAACUCGAAUCAAAUUCACUUGCAGCAGUUCCACUCGCGCUUGGCAAAUCAUCUAAUUUCCAAACUUCGGUAGCAAAAUUGAGAGUAAAAGUGUUGGCUUUGAUCUCGCUGGGAUUUGCAUAUACUGGACAUACUCCGCAACGUUUUAUCUUCUGACCCUUUUGGACCUUUAGGUUUCGGCAACACUCAUUGAAGAACUUAAGUGAGACAGUUGUAUGAUGGUAACCAUCAGGAAAGCCAACAUUCAAGCAAGGUUUAAAACCAAGUAUGACAUGAUCUGAAUCAAUGAGGUCUUCAAUUGAGUGCGAAUCGAAACUCAGAUGAACAUGUUUGGUUUCAGAGAGAGUCUUUAUUUCUAAGUCGGAUCGACAGCCGACGUAAACAUUACGAAAACGAUCAGAAUAAAGUUGCUUAAAAUCAAGAACAGCACAAAAAGCAAACCCGAUUAAGUUUCUGCAAAAAGAGUGCGGUGGCAGUUGAAUACGUAUUGAAGAUCCUGAACUUUGAUUGCUGAACCAGUCAGGAAUUUUGCUCCCAGGUAAAACAAUUUGGGAUCGCCUGAGUUCAGAAAGUUUCUGUGAAACGACAUUUAAAAAAAGAAAAUUGUCAAAUGAAAACCAUGAUUUCAGAUAUAACAAAGAGGGACAGAGUAAACAAGAGAGGGAAUUUGAUACCUCGUCGAUUGUCUUUCCCCGUCUCAGUGAUGCUGCAAUUGCCAUACGUAGUGAAUCUGCCAAAAUCUUGUUGUUUGCUUUUCCAUCAAGUUUCAAGCAGUUAGUAAACCGAAAAUAAAUUGGUUGUGACAGUCGAUAUUCCGGAUGCCAUUCACAAAGGUCAGGAGAGGGUUUGGAUAGCUUUUCGAGUACGGAUGCAUCUAGUUCUUGUAGACAUGACGGAAUCUCUGGCAAAGAUUGAAGCCGGUUGCAGUUCGUUGCAUUUAGUGAAUGUAGACACAAUGGAAGUUCUGGUAAUGACCGAAGCAUGUUACAACCCGUCAAGUCAAGAGAUUCUAGACACAAUGGAAGUUCUGGUAAUGACUGAAGCAUCUUACAACCCUCCAAGUGAAGAGACCUCAGCUGCGACAGUUGCUUGAUACUUGCAGGUAAGCUCUCAAAGCUAUUUCCACUUAGAUUUAAUGUUGUCAGUGAGGAUAGACAGGCAAUCUCUUGUGGAAUUUCCAUUACAGCACAGUUCCUCAUAUCUAGAUGUCCCAAAUAAGCUAAACCUAAUAAAAACGAUCGAGGCAAUGAUACCAAACCUUUGCAGCGAGAGAAGUAAAGAACUCCAAGUCUGUUUGAAUAUGCAACAGAGGAUGAUGGUAGUUGACUAAUAGCUGAUCCAACUGCUGAGAUGAUAAACAAACAUUUUAAAUUGCCAAUGUUAUCCGGCAACUUAUCAAGCUUAGAGCAAUCUUCUACGAACAAUUCUUCAAGCCCCGGUAGAUUUUCAAAUGACGAUGGCAGCUCUGUAAUUGCCGUCUUGUUUAAAUUGAUGCGUUCUAAAUGUUCCAUUUUCUCCAAGAUUUCUGGGAAGCGCUCAAGGUUCACGCAGCCAUUAAGAAAAAGAUCAACCAAAGAUCUCAAUUUACAAAACCUAGUUGAAAUCCUCUUCAGCCGUUUGCAAUACUUCAAAUUCAACUUUUUAAGAUCAGUUAGGCACUCUAUUGAUGACGGAACUUCUUCUAUUGCAGACUUGCUCAAGUUUAGCGAUGUUACUUUCCCAGAAAUCAGUGGAAACUCUAUGAGAUUAACACAAUAGGAGAAAUUAAUAGUUACUGGACAAACAAAAUGAAGAUUGCUUGGAAAAGACCUAAGACUUUUGCAGCCCUCAAAAGACAACGCACUGAGAUACUUGAAAUUCUGGAUAGAUGAGGGAACACAAGCCAAGUUUGUAUAAUCCAAAAGAUAUGUUUCAACAUUUGGGGUUUCAAAUGGGCCUGGCAUCUUAAUGAAAUGUUGAGAAUGGCUGAGGUUAAUAGAUUUUAACUUGAAAGCUUCCUGCAAUAACAGAUAUAUAAAGACUAUAUUAAUUAAAAAGCAACAUUGAAUUCAACAAUUAAUUGCACGUAUAUUUAAAGAAAGAAAAAAUUAAUGUUUUAGUUUUAGUACAAAACUUACCUUUUCUCCUUCCCAAAGUUGCUCAACUUUACUACAACUCAAAUUCAGUGCAACAAGGUUCUUUGGCUUGAAAUUUGAUGGCAGUGUCCUUAAUGGAUAUGUGUCCCAAUGAAGAUAUCUCAAUUUUUUAGGAAGAUAAUCUAGGCCAUUUGGAAGCUGCACUUUAGAGUAUGAAAGAUGCUCUUCAAUGCUCAUACUUGGAAGCUUUUCAAUCCCAUAAAAUUUGAGCAAUCUCAUAUUAGACAUAUUUGUGAAGGCUCCGGGGUCUAAAUUGAUGCGUUUUAUUUUGGACAAAUCCAGAAAUAUGCCUUCAAUUGCAUCGGUCCCCUUAUUAAAAAAAAAAAAAAGAAUGAGUAAGCCUAAAACUCAAAAGAAACAUUCGUAAACUUUAUUAAUUAAGAGCUCCUUAAACAAAAAUAAAUUACGCAAUCUUUGAUUUUAUUUUUUUAAUAUAUUAAAUAUCUAUAUGCGAGAAAAGAAAAUUUUGGGGACCAUUGCAAAAUUAAACUAACUGAAAAAAAAUUCAAAAUUUCUCUAAUUUACAAACCUGUUAUCUUAAUAUCUAGAAGUUGAGAAGACAAGGCCUAUUUGAUUGGUAUAAGAUUUCGAUUUUUUUUUUUUUUAGUCCAUAGAAUCCAAAAUGUUAGUUCAAAAUUAGGGAAAAAGUCAUUUUUUUUCCACUAGCUGUAAUUGUAUCCAAGUCAAAUUGAGAUACGACCCUUUUCAAAAGGAUUUAACCAUCUUACAGCCUCCUUAAGGCACAUUUAAGCUAAAAGGAGUGAUUGGAGGCAGAACUAGGUGGGCCAAUCAGUCCAUUUUAUUAGUGACCGUUGCUUAAAAAAAAUUAUACUCUAAACCACACUUACUUUUUUGAAAAAAAAAUGUAAUUAUAUUGAAAUAAAAUCAGGUGGGCCAAUCCUCAUGGCACUCACUUUGUUCUAACACUCUUCACUAAAUUUGAAGAAAAAUAAAAUUAUACUCUUCACACUCGUAUUCAACAUUCCAAAAUUGAUAAAAUCGGGAGUUUUCUUUAAAAAUUUAAAAUUUGAAGACUUGUUCUCUUGACACCCUCAGUCAUUAAUUUUACCUAAUUAUGGUUUUUAUGAUUUUGGUUGUUUUGUUCAUAAAAAUGCUUUUACUAAAGGAUGUUCUGGUAAUAAUAAAAUUUAUAAAAAAAACAUGGGUGUGCUGAUAUAGUUGGAAAAAUAUGAGUGCAUAACUCCAAACAAAUAAAAGAUAUAUAUAUAUAUAUAUAAAUGGAGGAUUCUUACCUUAUUAUGCUUUAGUACGCGGCGGAUUUCCUUAGGAUCCCACAACCUGCUGCGUUUGCCUGGCUCUUUCUCAGAUUCUUGGCGAACAAUCUGUCGCCCCAUUUCUUGCAAUAUAUCAUGCAUCUGCAAGGAAUCACCUGAUAUUGAUAUGAGUGACUUAUCAAUAAGGACAUCCAGUCCAUCAGACUCAGAAUCAUCAAGAAUCCUUGCCAGAAAAUCUUUAUCCCCUCCCUCGAAGAAACACGCAAUAUCUAGAAAUAUGCUCUGCACCCUGGGCGUUAAUUCAUAAAAACUAAUCUUUAAUAUUUCAUAAAUAUUAUGAAUAUCAGAUUCACAAAUCCGAUUUAAGUCGUCCAAUACAUUUUCCCAAUGGCUUUUCCUCUUGAGAUACAGGGAGGAACCCAACACCUUAAGAACUAAUGGAUUGCCUUUGGCAUACUUUACAAACCUCCGUGAGUGCCGAUUGAGAUCUUCAGGACAAUGAUUUUCUUUAAAAGCGAAGUUACAAAAAUGCUCGAAAGCCUCAUCCAAUCUCAAUCCAUUGACCCUAUAUAUUUUCUCCACUCCAAAUUUUUCGAGGACUCGUUUAUCCCUGGUGGUUACAACAAUUCUACUUCCUGGACCAUAUUGAUCAAGCCCUCCAAUCAAACCCUCUAAUUGUUCAUCUUUAUUCACAUCAUCGAGUACAAUCAACACCUUCAUGCGUCGGACCCUCCCUUUAGUAAAUUGUGGAAUAUUGGGACCAGCUACUUCAAGUUUUUCACUUAAUAUUGUCGAAAGCAUUUCCUUUUGUAGGUCUUCUAGGCCACCCUCUGUUUCUGAUUUUCUCCUAACAUUUUUUGCAAAGUAUUUACCAUCAAACUCACCAGAGAAUUGAUCGAAAAUAGCUUCAGCAAGGGUAGUUUUGCCUAUACCACCCGUGCCCCAAAUUCCAACAAUUUGGACAGUAUCCCACAAAUCCAUACACAAAAAUGGUUUAAUCUGCUCAAUUCGUGAAUUUAAUCCAACUAGGCCGUUGGAUGAGUCCGUUGAGACUGUUAUUUUUUCCAACUUCUUCAAAACAUCUUCGACAAUUUUGUUUACAAGUUGCGCAUCAAGCCUAAUAUGAAGGUGCAAAGAUGCAAAAACAUUGAGUCAAAUCGGGCCAAGACAGAAACAGAGAAAAGAUGAAUUAGGAAAGAGAGUUACCUGAAUUUCGUGGAUUCAUGGCCGGCUAGAUGGGAUGUUUCUGUCAGUGCAUCCCUCCACUUCUGAACCAUUUCUGGUUUAUCUUUGAACUGUUUUUUGAGCUCAUCAAAACGGUCUCCAAAUGUUCCGUUUUGAUGCCGCACAUCAGAUGGACUUACUCCAUAGAAGACUGGAAUAAUAAUUUGGCCGUUUGUGUUCUUGCAUUCAAGAAUCUUGACAAGUUCAUUCAGGCACCAUUUUGAAGAAGCGUAGUCCUUUGAGAAAAUGACCACCGAAAUUUUUGAACCUUGGAUUGCGUACAAAAGGGCGGGUGAAAUCUCAUCUCCUCGCCUAAGCCCUUCAUCAUCAAUAAAUGUUUUGAUUUUCUUUCCUUCAUACAAUUUAUCAUAGAGAUAGCAAGUAAAGCUCUUACGAGUGUCCUCCCCUCUAAAGUUGAGGAAGACUUCAUAAUUGCCACAAGAAGAAGAGGAAGCCAUGAAGGAAAUUUUAGAAAAUUGGUGACAGAAACAGAGAAUUAAUCUUGAGAGUUGAGAGAGGAGAUGUAAGAAUGAACAUGUGUGAAGAUUCUUGCGAGUACAUAGUAAAUAAUUGAAUGGCUGGAGCUUUCUUAGUUUCCUGGAAAUUUCCUGGAGCUUUCGUAUACAUGAUUUGUCAAGUCAUGAAACAUAAUCAUGAUAAUGGGGCAGACCAAAAAGAAAAGCAACAAUUCAAAUAUUUGAUUCAACCAGUAUAAAAAGGAAGGAAAAGCAAAGAAAGGAAAUGUUGAAAGUAGAGUUAGGGAAUUAUAAAAAGCUGAAGGAAAUUGGAAUUUUGUACAAUUUCUCCAGCGAGGAACUUUCACAGUCGUUACCUCAUUGUUACAGUUUAGAUUAAGAUUUGAGGGUGCAAGCAUUUACCUAGAUUUUACCUCCGCACUAAAUUCUUAAGUUUGAAAAAUUAUGAGACCUUUAUAUUGGAAGAUAUUAUAAUCGAAUCAAAACUUAAAAUUUUAAUAUUGUUAAUCUUUAAUCUUUAAAAAAAAUUACCUUGCCGUUACAAUUUGGAUUAAGAUUUGAAUAAGCAUUUACCUAAAUUUUAUCUCCGCCUGUAAAUUCUUAUGUUUUAAAAAUUAUGAGACCUUUAUAUUGGGAGAUAUUAUAAUCGAAUCAAAAUUUUGAAUUUCAAUAUUAUUAUUCUUUUAAAAAAAUUUGAGAUAACAGAGUGAUUGAUAAUAGAGAACUUGUCUAGGCAAACACAUGCAUACACAAAAAUGUGAUGGAUUCAAAAAGAAAUUAAAGUGAUAAUGUACGUGGAUCCUUAAAACAAAAAGCGAAAUCGCUUGGUGGCCCAGUAAAAUUAAGACUGAAUAUUUUUUACACGAGAAGUCAAGCUCAUAAAUGGCAAAAGCCAUUUCAUUUCACUUUUACGCGUCAUUGACUUUUGUAACACGGUGUAUGCAUCGUCAAGUGGGGCAAAAGGGUUUCGAUUACAGUGGGAAAACAUGAACAAGAAUGCAUAAUGAAUAAUUCUUUCGAUAAAGCGAAAAUUAAACACAGAAUAAUCCUAAAAUUUAAACUCUAAUAUCUUAUAAUGUAUUGAUUAAAAAUAAUCCUAAGAGUUCCCAAUUGAAACUUUCAUAAGUAUUUUUAUUGUUUUGGAUAAACAAAUUGCACUAGGAAAACAAUUUGGCAAAUUCAGAGGAUAAUGAAAAAUAGCUAUGCUUCAAUAGGCCAAAGAUUAGAGAACAAAGAAGAAUUAGUUAUUGAUAUACGAAAGAGAAACACUCCAAAAUUUCAAGCAAAAUAUUUUCAUAUACCAUUUCGAUUUUGGAAGGGGUGUGGUUUUGAACUUCAAUAGUUUCCUCUAAAAUCAAAAGGCAGCAAUUAAGCUAGAAAGAGCAAAGAAGACUUUUUGGUACCUUAUUGAAGGUAAACAUUAUGGAACUUCCAAUGUCAUUACCUCACUGUUUAAUUUUUAUUGAGAUUUGUGCAAGCAUUUACCUAAAUCUUACCUCUGCCUGUAAAUUCAUAAGUUUUGAAAAUUAUGAGACCUUAUAUCGGGAGAUAUUAUAAUCGAACUAAAACUUAAAAUUUCUUUUCUUUUCUUUUUUUAUCAUAAAAGGGCUCUUAAGAGAGCUACGACAACACUAAGUGGGAGUGUGCAACCCCAUGAACAUCAUUAAUCAAUAUGUUUAGCGUAUUUGGAGGAAUAGAUUGAAAGCAAUGUAAACCCAAAGGAAACAAAAAGCUGUACGAAGUAAGGAAAUCUGCUGCUACAUUGGUUUCUCGGUAGAUAUGAUCCACUUUGAUCAGCCAAUCACGCCAAAGGAGUUCUUCGAUGGCCUGAAUGAGAAUAAAAUGCUCAUUGACGGGAGGGUUUUAGUUAGAGAUUAACUUCAUAACACACAUGCUGUCUACUUCCACGUAAAACUUAAAAUUUCAAUAUUAUUAUUCUUUAAAAAAAAAAUUGAGAUAUCAGAGUAAUAUCACAUAGAAAAACUUGCCCACGGACGGUAAGCCAAAUGUCUAGUCAACCACAUGCAUAAAGCUAAGUAGAACAAGAGAACAGAGAAACGCGUGGGUCCCUAAAGAAAAGGCAAGCACAUAAAUGAAAAAGCCAUUACAUUUCUAUUAACACGGUGUGGCAGCAUAUGCACAAUCAAGUGAGGCAAAAGGGAUUCGCUUAUCGUGGCAGAACAUGGACGAGGACGCGUGACGAAUAAUUCCUUCGAUAAAACGAAAAACAAACGCAGAGAAAAGAAUUUCUUAUAUGACAAGAAAUCAAAGAAAUGUGAAGGAACAUGAUGAAGAAAUUGCAGACUGAUCAAUUAUCCCCAUGGACUCCUAUAAAUUCAACCAAAAUAACAAUUCGAAUCUUACCAAAUUCUUGAGUUAAAUUUAUUCAAUGCUUUUAUUUUUUUAGAGAAAUUUUUUCCAUUGCUACUUUCCCUUUUUUGGGGAAAUUAGAACCGCGGCAUGUAUAGAAAACAUUGAGGUGUAAAGCAACAUUAAUUUCAUGGGAUAUGCGUUAUACGCAUAAUAUAUUUUCAGUCCAAAUUCAACUAUACAAAGAGGCUUGAGAACUUAAAAUUAAGCACAAACUAAACAGACGAAGUAAAUACAUGAUUAUGCAACAUAACAUUAAUUCUCUUAAUUUAUAACUGUUUUUGCCACAUGAAUCUUGCACAGUUAAUCCUAAUUGAAGACUAAAAAAGAGCAAUUGGAAGAAGGUUUUGGAAUAGAAUGGUAUACAAUCGAUAUGAUCCUUUUCCAGUAGUCAACGCUAAUUAACUGCAGUUUCUAGACUCCUAAUUAUACUAGCCAUAGAAAACUGGUGAUCAAAUUAGAUUUUGAAAGGAAAUAAUGUUCAUUUUCCCUUCGCUGCCUUUUUUUUUCUUUUCUUUUUAUAGCAAAGAAUUAUAUCAUGAAAAGAAUCAAUUUAAUCACCUUUUCCAGCAGCACAAUUUUUCUUUUAUAAAAUUUGACCACAGAGACAAAGAAGAAUUAUUCAUACCUUCAUCAGUGAGGAAAUACUUUUCGGUAUGGCUAGGGUGAGAAAAGGCUUUCCACAAACACUUGUACUUUGUAUUCCUGUAAAUUUUCUUUAAAGUCAAUAAAAACCAUAAGUUCUUUACAAUAACCACCUCUUUGAUAAAAAAGUGCCGUAUUCCUUUAGAAUUUAAAACCGGCAAAAUCGGAAUCAGUGUCUUUGAAGAGACAUAAUGGUCGUAAUUCUUUAAAUGAGUUGGCUAUGGAAAUCCUUAUCCAAGAUUCUUUUACGCCAUAUUCUUUCGUAAACCAAAAUUCAUUUUGGAAUACUCUGUUGAGAAUGUCAAAUAAAACGGCAUUGAAGGAAGUUUUCAAAGGUAGAAUCCGCACUUGUCAAAGGGAUGAUCUGCACUUGUCAAAGACACGAUCCGCGUCAAACGAAUCGACACAUUUCCUUUCGUAUUCGCAUAUGUAAUCUUUGAAAAAAUGUAGCUUCUGCAUCUAUAAAUAACGCUCAGUGUAUAAUGUUUUAUUCAAGAAAAAAAACAAGUUUCUUCAUACUCGUCGUCCGAACAUACAGAGACCGUCUCUCAUAACUUCAGCCGAAUACUUGUGAUGAUGAUCAUUUGUGAUUUCAUCAGGCAAAGGGUUGAUGGUGAAAAUUUUUGUAUGUGUGAAGAAUUGAGCUGUGGAUAUAGGGGACUUAAGUGUAAUCGAAAGAGAGUUAUUAGGUCAUAGUGCAGAUUGCAUUCAGUUUAUGGGUCGCUAUGCAGAUAAUUUGUUGACGUGGCGAAAUCUGUUAUGGUCGUUAGUAUUGUUUCUGGAAAUUUUCUAGAAACCUCAGCAUAAAAGGGGCUUUUGCAUAGCCUCUGGUGUGCGUGUGAUUUCUCUUUCGUUUCCUCAUCAAAUUCUGUAAUUCUUGCUUUGAUAAAAAGCUUGUAAUCUCUUCUGUAAUGUGUGAUCAGUGCGUAAUCAUUUUGAGCAAUAAACGCUUGUGGGUUUUUCCUUCAAACAGUGUCGUUUUGGUCAGUUUGUUAGUUUGAUCUGUUGGUGGAAUUUUCUUUGGUUAUUUGUUCUCAAAAUUCAACCGUAUAUAAAGUUUGAACUCUAAUGGCUUAUAAUGUAUUGAUUAAGAAUAAUCCUAAGAGUUCCCGAUUGAAAUUUUUAAUGACUAUUUUUAUUGUUUUGGAUAUACAAAUUGCAUUAAGAAAAAAUAUUGUCAAAUUCAGAGGAUAACGGGAAAUAAUUAUGCUUCAAAAGGCCAGAGAUUUGAGAACAAAGAAGCAUUCAUUACUGAUAUACAAAAGAGAAACACUCCAAAAUUGCAAGCAAACUAGUUUCAUAUACUGUUUGGAUUCUGGAAGGGGUGAAGUUUUGAACUUCAGUUGUUCCUCUAAAAUCAAAAGCAGCAAUUAAGCGUUCUCAAUUAGAAAUAGCAAAGAAGACUUAUUCGUACCUUACUGAAGCUAACAUUAUGGCACGGUUGUUCAUAUGUAAUGGCUGCUCUGUUAUGCUAUAUGCUCUGUUAUGCUAGCUUCUCUGUUUUUGCUUACAGUUUUGAACAUAAAUUCUUGCUCAAAUAACCCAUAAUUAAAUAACACUAAUAUGGCUCCUGAAAUCCCAUAAUAGCUAAUUACGCAACUUUCUCCUCCUCCUCAAUUAUGUCUUCCCCUGCUCGGACACUAACUUCAAAAUUCAAUGCCCCGAAAAACAACACAAGAAAUCUUUGAGUUAAAUCGUGACCAGUUUAUAUAUCGUAGCAAUUGAAAAAGAAAAAGAAGAAAAGAGUUAAUUAUUAUUCAGACCUUCACUUAUUAGGAAGUUUGUUCUGCUAUUGGGUGAGAUCAAGCUCUCAGCAUAUACUUCCACAUGAUACUUUCUAACAUUUUCUUGAAAGCCAUCAAUCAUAAAAUCUUCAUACUUUUUUCCAUCCUUUGGAUCAAUAAGUACAAAUUUCUCAUCUAAAACAGACAAAAUAAAAUCACUGUCCUUCAUGGAACAUAAUGGCUGCAAUGCCUGAACUGAAUUGGCUAAUGAAACAUAGUCUUCUUUUCUUUCUCGACAUGGAACAUAGUCUUCUUUUCUUUCUGGACAUAUGUCUCUGUACUUUUCUCUCUCUACUGAUCCACACUUUUUCAUACUUCUAACUAUCAUUUUGUUUUUUUUUUUGGUUAAGUUGUGAUUUAUUCAAUUAUUUUGUAUUUUUAAUGACAAUUAUUUAAUAUUUAGUUAGUUUUGAUAUUGAUUAGUGAUUGAAAGUGUAUUUUAGAAGACUUCCGGUCUCUUGGAAAAAGGAAAAAUGGAGACGAAGAAGAAGUGUUCUUGAUUUUUUUGUAGGCAUUAAAGUUAAACGGUUUGAAAUGAUAUUUUGUUUUAAUUUCACUCAUUAAUCUCAUUCAGGAUAAAAUUAUAAAUGCAAAUAAAUGGGGUUUCAUGAGUUUUUUUUAAUAGUGUUAAAAGGUCUACUCACUAAAUAAACAUGUUUUACCCAAACCAAUCCGAUUAAUAAAGUUAUUGGGUUGGGUUGAUCAGGUUAAAAAUCAAAAUUAAAAAUUAAAUAAAUAAAAAAGGCGUUAAAACUAUCUGUUACUUGAAAAUAAAAAGAAUUUCAAAUAGUUAGUUCUAAUGUCCCAUAUCCAAAACAUGCAUAUUAAAUAAAUAUUAUAAGUUAGAGAUAAAAUAUCCAAGAAAUAAUGAAUGAAUGAAAUACCAUAUUUUUGUUGAGAAUUAAGAGUGUGAUUUUAAUUUUGAUAUUGGAGUCUAAAGCAAUAGAUAGUACAAUGAAAUCAUGAAUGCCACAUUUAAAUAAUGUCUUUUAUAAAAUAAUAAAAAGAAGUUAAAAAUUAGGUUAGCCAUUUAGGCGUUUAGGGUUUAGCAGUUAAGGAUGAACAUAUUAUUAUUAUUGUUGUUGUUGUUGUUAUUAUAACAAUUAUUAUUUACAUAUUAAUUAAUCCAACCCAACCCAAUUAUUAACAAACUAGGAAAUAAAACCGCACUUCGUGCGGCUUUAAAAGAAAAUUAAUAUUAUUUUUUUAUUACUUUACAAUUGAUGAAACUAAUAAAAAAUAUGAAUUAUUUUUAAAAUGACGUAAUCUUAUAAAACUAAUGUUAUUUAUGAAAGUUAAUUAUUUUUUUGUUAACAUUAAAAAUAUAUAUUAAUGUGUAUAGUUAAGUGUACACAACUUUUUCAUCAAUAAAAAUUAUGUUCACAUUAAUCAACUCUCCAUUUUUCUUAGUAUUAACAGACUCUCACAUCUUACAAAGUCUGACCCUUAUUAUUCAACUAUCUUUAUCAUAGUUUAACUCAUGAAGAAAAUAGUACUCCAUGAAGCAUACAAUACUAAAAAUUUAAAUAAGUCAAAAAAUAAAAACACAAAAACAUUUCUAAAGAGAAUGUUGGUUAAAUAAUAAAAAAAACUCAAACAUAACAAAUCUUAAAUGCUUAAUAUUUAUAGAGCUUGAAGAAGCCAAAAGAUACUAAAUAAAAGGUUGCAUAAUUAAAUAUAGGAUUAUAACAUUAAAAUUAGGUCAUAAGGCAUUGGUGAGGGAAGAGGAAGGAACAUUCCUUCUUAUAUUAAUUAGUUGAUGUAUUUUAAACCACUAAAGUUUAUUUGUUGGCUUAAUAAAAUAAAUGAAUGUUUCAAAACUUAUAAUUAAUUUAUUAUUAAUGGUUAUAUAUUGUUGAAUUUAAAUAGAAAGAGAAAGAGACAUGUAAUCUUUUGUAAUCUAUUAAUUAUUUUAUAUUUUUAAUAUUUUGUAAUGUAAUUAUUUUUUAAUCUCAACCAAUAUGUUAGAUAAUAGAGAAUAUAAAAAGAUGAGAAAUAAUAAUGCCACAAAUCUUAACUACUUAAUAUUUAUAGAGUUUGAAGAAGUCAAAAGGUACUAAACAAAAGGUUGCAUAAUUAAAUAUGAGAUUAUAGCAUUAAAAUUAGACCCCACUGGCAUUAUUGAGAGAAGAUGAAGGAACAUUCCUUCCUAUAUUAAUUAAUUGAUAUAUUUAAGCUACUAAAAUUUAAUUGUUGGCAUAAUAAAAUAAAUAAAUGUUUCAAGAUUUAUAAUUAAUUAUUAUUAAUGGUUACAUAUUAUUGAAUUUAAAUAGAAAGAGGAAGAGACAUGUAAUCUUUUAUAAUCUAAUAAUUAUUUUUAUUUUUAAUAUUUUAUAAUGUAAUUAUUUUUUUAAUAUCAACUAAUUUAUUAGAUAAUAGAGAAUACAAGAAGAUGAGAAAUAGUGAUGUCACAUCACCUCCUCUAGUCCCAACUUUAUAUAUAUAUAUAUAUAUAUAUAUAAUAUUUUGUAAUGUAAUUAUUUUUUAAUCUCAGCCAAUAUAUUAGAUAAUAGAGAAUAAAAAAAGAUGAGAAAUAAUGAUACCACAAAUCUUAAAUAUUUAAUAUUUAUGGAGUUUGAAGAAGCCAAAAGGCACUAAACAAAAGAUUGAAUAAUUAAAUAUGAGAUUAUGACAUUAAAAUUAGACUCUAAUGGCAUUGUUGAGGGAAGAUGAAGGAACUUUCCUUCCUAUAUUAAUUAAUUAAUGUAUUUUAAGCCACUAAAAUUUAAUUGUUGGCAUAAUAAAAUAAAUGAAUGUUUCAAGACUUAUAAUUAAUUAUUAUUAAUGGUUACAUAUUGUUGAAUUUAAAUAGAAAGAGGAAAAGACAUGUAAUCAUUUAUAAUAUAAUAAUUAUUUUCUAUUUUCUAUUUUAAUAUUUUGUAAUGUAAUUAUUUUUUAAUUUCAACCAAUUUAUUAGAUAAUAGAGAAUAUGAAAUGAUGAGAAAUGGUGAUGCCACAUCACCUCUUGUAGUCUCAACUUUAUAUAUAUAUAUAUAUAUAUAUAUUAAUUCAUGUCUUUUAUACCACUAAAGUUUAAUUGCUAGCAUAAUAAAAUAAAUAAAUGUUUCAGAAGACUUAUAAUUAAUAUUAUUAAUGAUUACAUAUUGUUGAAUUUAAAUAGAAAGAGAAAAAAAUUACAAAGAAUAUCCACCAAUAUUUUAGAUAUUUUAGAUAAUAGAAAAUAUAAAAAGAUGAGGAAUGAUAUAUAUUAAUAAAGUUACUAUUUAUUAAAUGAGUUAAAUACAAUCAAAUUAAUUAUGAGAAGAUGAAAAGCCAAAUCUAAAAAAAAAAUCUCUAUUUAUUAGAUAAUAGAGAAUAUAUAAAGAAGUAAAAUGGUGAUGCCACAUCACCUACUCAAGUCCUAGCUUUAUAUAUACACUAGAAAAUAGAACCGCGUUUCACGCGGCUUUGAAAAAAAAUUUUAAUGUUAUCUUUUUUUUUUAUUUUGCACAUGAUGAAACUGAUAAAAAAUAUGAAUUGACUUUUUUUUAAGAUGAAGCAGCCUUAUUAAAAAAAAACUAUUAGCCAGCAAUACAAAUAAAGAAGUAAUGUAAGAUAAAAAAUAAAAUGAGAGAAUAUAUUAUAGAAUGAUUUUAUUCAUUCUAAUUGUGUGGUACAAAACAAAAAGAUGAGCUCUCAUUUUAUAGUUACAUAAUCACUCCAUGAAAUUAAUGAAAAAUUAUGGAUCAUAAUUCCUUGUGAGAUAGUGGGAGUUAUAGGGAAGCUAAAGGUUGCUAAUGGAAGAUAGUGGGGAGACUAAGAGAUAUAUGUUAUGAACAUCUACAUUUAUUUUAAUAAAUUCAUAACACUCCCCCUUUGAUGUUCAUUAUAAAAAAUAUGCCUCAUUAAAAUCUAUUAGCCAACAAUACAAAUAAAAAAGCCACACAAUAUAAAGAAUAAAAUGAGAGAAUAUAUUAUAGAGUGAUUUCAUUCAUUCCAAUUAUGUGUGUACAAAACAAAAAGAUGAGCUCUCCUUUUAUAGUUACAUAAUCACUCCAUGAAAUUAAUGAAAAAUUAUGGAUCAUAAUUCCUUGUGAGAUAGUAGAAGUUAUAGGAAAGCUAAAGGUUACUAAUGGGAGAUAGUGGAGAGAGUAAAAGAUAUAUGUUAUGAACAUCUACAUUUAUUUUAAUAAAUUCAUAACACUCCCCUUUGGAUGUUCAUUACAAAAAAUAUGUCUCAUUAAAACCUUUAUAUAAUUGUUAUUGUGUAAUAACAAUCAAAUUAAUUAUGAGAAGAUGAAAAGUCAAAUCUAAAAGAAAAUUUCUCUAUUUAUUAGAUAGAUAAUAGAGAAUAUACAAAGAUGAGAAAUAGUGAUGCCACAUCACUCUCUCAAGUCUCAACUUUAUAUAGAUAUAUAGAUUUGAAAUGAUUGACUCAAUUAAUCCACAAUAAUUCAUUCAACUCGUCUAAAUUAGAUUAUGUUGAAUUUGAUUUGCUACACCUACAUUGAGCAACAAACCUCAACGACAUUCUACGAGCUCUUUGAUUGUUUAUAAAAUUGAUUUAGAGUACAUAAAGUGUAUCGACAAUGAAAGUGCAAAACAAAUUAUUGUACAUAUUAAAAUGUGCAAAACAAUGAAUUAUAUGUACAAACGAGUGCAAACACAUUUUUCAAUAAGAAGUUAAAAGAUAUUUAUGCAUGAAAAAGCCUACGUUUGUAGUUAUUCUAAAUUUUAAAAACAAAAUUUACAUUUAGAUCCCUAAAAUUUACGUAUAAGUAUAAAAGUUUCAAAUAUUGUCUAUUAUUUUUUUAACAUGCCUAUUCCUUAUGGAUAAUUCUGUCUCAUCACUAAUGUUGUUUCUUGCUUAGAAAAAAUAAAUGUCAUCUCCUUUUACAAUUUUUAUAGCGUCUCGAAAUAGACAAUAGGGGAUUUUGAAUUUUUUAAGUCUCAAGAUAGUCUCUAAUCGUGUGAGAAAGAUUUUCUUUCAAUAAUUUGGAGCUAAACAUAACAUAUUUUUUAGACUAAAAUCUAACUCUGCUGGUUAGUAGUUGGUGGUAUCCUUUUCAAGACUUGAGUCUUUAGAUUCGAGUUUUAUAUAGUGUACAUGUGUAUUUAAUUAAUAAUUUUUUUCAAAAAAAAAAAUUACAUCAAAUACUAAUAUUCAUGACAUAAUUUAGUUCAUAAUUUUUUUAAAUACAUCGAAAAAUAUAAUUUUUUAACAACUUAUAGGCACGACAAAUUUCAAGAUAUAAAUAUCAGUCAAAAUAAAUGAAAGAAAUAAUGGUGUCAAUUCUAAUUUCUUAACUAAAUUAAUUAUUGCAUGAGCCCCGAAUACGACAUGAGAGUUUGAUGGGCUAACUUGGCACAAGAACGCGAAUAGUUAACUCAUUUAAGAAAUAAUUCAACAAAAAAUAUAAUUGAUAAGAAUUCAGUAUUGAAAUGAAUUUUUUACGAAACAUUGAAUUAAUGAUUAUUAAGCAAGAACAAUAAAAAAAUAAAAUAAAAAUAAAUAUUAACCAUUGAUAAGCUUCAACAAGAACUUAACACAACCCUCAAUCCUAAUUCAAAUCAUAAAUGUCAUUCAUAUAUUCAUUAUAAAUCAAUAACAAAGGUUAUAAAUGUUUAGAAAUUCUAGAGGGAAGGAAGCUAUCUCCGGGGAAUCAACAACUAAAUUUGAUGUAAUUGUGGCACACGAUGGAAUAUGGAAACUACACCAUAAUUUCAAAUGCCGCCAUAGACAUUGACUUAUCUACAAUAACAAUGAUCUAAUUAAAAUUAAAAUAAAGUUUAUGGGCAUUUAUUAUUUUGCCAUUUCUCAUUUGCAAACAGGGAUAUAAUUAUAAUUUUACUUAGUCAAAGCAAUCAGUAAUUUUCUUCAUUAUCGGAGUGAAGUAAAAACAUUUAGAUUUUAAUGAGUGUACGGAAAAUUUAUCUUUAAAAAUACUUUCUUAAUGUGUGUGUAUAUAUAUAUUGAAAUAUUAUGCUAUCAAAAGUUAAUUUUAGAAAUUCCAAAUCCAAUAGCUAACACAAUUCUUUAAAGAAAAAAAAAAAAAGGUUGAUAAUCAGCAAUUAGUAUUACUUUCUAAACUUACUUCAACUGGUCGUUAAUGAGGGGCCUUGGGCAAGAGUGAUGAAUGUUUAGUCGGUGCAUUUGAUUGAUAGAUAUAUAAAGGGCCGAAACUUGAGAUUAUAUUACUUUUACAAAUUUUAAUCCAAUCACAUAUUUACUGAAACACAAAAUGAGUUAGGAUACUUUAUUUAGAACCCACAUUUUAAUAAGGCUUCAUUUGAUGUAGUUUUUCAAACAGUGAUUAUUUGAGUAAAGUUUCCUCAAUAGAGUUUUUAUCAAAUAAAUUUUAUUUAUUUGGUUGUCGAUAAGAACUUUUAUUAAAAAUUAUAAAAUUAUUUAAAUAAACAUAUUUUUUUAAAAUUACAUUAUAAAAAGAAUUAAAUAAAGUUAUAAAAGUAAAAUAUAUUUUAGAUAUUUUAAUAUUUAAGAAAAAAAUUUUGAAUCUCUACUUUCAGAAGCUCAAAUUUUUAGUUUUUAGUUGUAGAGACAAAAUAUCUUAUUUAAUCUUUAAAAGUUCUGCUAAAAACAAUCAAAUAACUAUAAAAUUUUUAAUAAGAGUAUAUAAAAUUAAAUAAGCAUUUAUUAAUAAUCACUUUAGUGUACUUAUCUAAUGACCAUAAGUGUUUAUUUAAUCUCAUAAGUUCUUAUUUAAUCUCAUGAGCUCUUUUCAAUUUUUUUUGUUGUUUGCUUUUUUUAGUAGAGUUUUUGAAAAUUAAAUAAACUAUUUUGUCUCUAUUAGGAAAAACUCAAAUUUUAGGUUUUUGUGAGUAAAUGUUUAAAUUUUUUUAAAAAUAUUAAAAUAUUAAAGUAAAAGUUGUAGAGACAAAAUAUCUUAUUUAAUGUUUAAAAGUUCUGCUAAAAAUAAUCAAAUAACUACAAAAAUUUUAAUAAGAGCAUAUAAAAUUAAAUAAGCAUUUAUUAAUAGUCACUUUAGUAUACUUAUCUAAUGACCAUAAGUGUUUAUUUAAUCUAAUGAGCUCUUUUUAAUUUUGUUUGUUUGUUUUUUUAGUAGAGUUUUUGAAAAUUAAAUAAACUAUUUUGUCUCUAUUAGGAAAAACUUAAAAUUUAGGUUUUUGUGAGUAAAUGUUUAAAUUUUUUUUAAAAUAUUAAAAUAUCUUUUCUUUAUUUCAUAAUCUUAUUUCAUUCUUCACAACAUAACUUUAAAUAACUCACCUAUUAAAAUAAUUUCACAAUUUAUAAUAAAAAUUUUAAUUGACAAUCAAAUAACAAAUUUUUUUUUAUAAAAACUCUAAUAAUAAAAAUUCUACUUAAAUAAAUUAUAUUUGAAAAGGUAUACCAAACGAACCUAACAUAAAAACAAAAAUUUUUACAUCCACACAAUUAAGCUUAAAACAAUUUCAAAUGAAUUUUAGACUACUCAAAGUACAAUACGUACCAAGUUUGGUAACUUAUUGGGGUCCGCUUGUAAUACAGCUCAUGAGCUCUUUUUAAAAAAAUUUUGAAUCUCUACUUUCAGAAGCUCAAAUUUUUAGUUUUUAGUUAUAGAGACAAAAUAUCGUAUUUAAUGUUUAAAAGUUCUGCUAAAAACAAUCAAAUAAUUACAAAAAUUUUAACAAGAGCAUAUAAAAUUAAAUAAGCAUUUAUUAAUAAUCACUUUAGUGUACUUUAUCUAAUGACCAUAAGUGUUUAUUUAAUCUCAUGAGCUCUUUUUAAUUUUUUUGUUGUUUUUUUAGUAGAGUUUUUAAAAAUUAAAUAAAUUAUUUUGUCUCUACUAGGAAAAACUUAAAAUUUAGGUUUUUGUGAGUAAAUGUUUAAAUUUUUUUACAAAUAUUAAAAUAUUUUUUUCUUUAUUUCAUAAUCUUAUUUCAUUCUUCACAACAUAACUUUAAAUAACUCACCUAUUAAAAUAAUUUCACAAUUUAUAAUAAAAAUUCUAAUUGACAAUCAAAUAACAAUUUUUUUUUAAUAAAAAUUCUACUUAAAUAAAUUAUAUUUGAAAAAGUAUACUAAACAAACUUUUUUUAGACUAAUCAAAGUACAUCUUCUCAUAAAAUAAUUUCACAAUUUCUAAAAAAAACUCUAAUUGACAAUUAAGUAACAACUUUUUUUUUUUUGUAAAAACUUUAUUUAUAAAAAAUCUAAUAAUAAAAAUUCUAUUUAAAUAAAUUAUAUUUGAAAAUGUAUACUAAACCAACCUAACAUAAAAACAAAAAUUUUUACAUCCAGACAAUUAAGCUUAAAACAAUUUCAAAUGAAUUUUAGACUAAUCAAAGUACAAUACGUACCAAGUUUGGUAACUUAAUUGACAUCUUCUCAUAUAACCUUCGAUCAAGUCGAUUCUGACCUGACGACUAAUUGGUACAUCACCGUUGUUCUCUAUACUCGCAUGCAUCCGAUCACAAAUCUCACUCCAAUUGUCGUCUUUCUUCGGCGUUUUAGCGCAUCCUUCUUGAAUUUCCCGCAUUUCGUUCCCUCCUGUUACAAGUCUCCGGUCAGGUCAGUUCACUUGACGAUUAAUUCGGCAAAUCUCGAAUCUCUUCUCUAUCCCUCUCGUUUUCUCGUGUCUCCUUUCAGUUUAAGUGAUUGAAUCAAUUUUAUCGCAGUCUUAAGAGAAAUUAAGUAAUGCUCUUGGAUUUAAAAUUUUUUUGCUUUCGACUUUAGAUCUCGAAAGUCAAACUCUGCUACGAAUCCAUAGAUUCUCAAUGUUUAUAAUCUUAUUUGUGUUUGACCAGGUAACUGGAUCGUGAAAUUCGUCGUUUUGUAUCAAUUCAGGCUUUCGCGAGCUCAUGGAAUCACCUGGUGAGUUGUGGUGAAACGUUAUCGUUUCAAUUUUCGCUUAAUUCUUUAUUGCAUAUUUUUUCUCUAACAUUUCAGUUUAAUUUAGAAAAGAAAGAGGACCCAAAAAGAGAGAGAGAGAGAGAGACUCUACCAUACUCAAUUCCUUGCUCAUUCUGAUUUGGCCUGAAUGUUGGCAUUGACUAUUAUUUGUUUUCAUUUCGAUUUAAUUCUCAUUUAGACAGUCUUUACUAACGGUCAAUAAUAGUUUAAGGAAAAUGAUAAUAGGGAUUCUGCAAUAAUCUUUCUGCAUUGUUCAAGUUAGUAGACGAUGAAUAGGAUGUUUAUGUUUACCUCAUUUUGAACCCUGAGGGCUUCGUUGAGUAGUUGAUUCAACAUAUCCAGCAACGGUUGAUGUGAGAACAGGAUGCCACUUAGAUAGGCUUAAACUGAUUUUGGAGGUUUGUAUUGGUUCUAUUGUACGUCUUGCUUACAAAUUUUUUAUUUUUUAUUUUUAAUUUUGUAUAAUAUGCUCUUUGUUGGUAAAUCUCAUUUGACUUAGAAGAGAUAGUUUUAUCCCAACAGUGGGAUAAAUCAUUGAGAUGCAUGGCAGUGUGAAUAUAGUAGACAAAAUCAUUGAGACACAUGGUGGUGUGAACAUAGUAAACUUCAUGGAAGCAAUGAAGCUUGAAAUUGAACGUCUGCAGCUGAAUCUUUCUGCAGCUGAAAGGGAUAGAGCUUUAUUGUCAAUCGGAACUGAUCGUGCCUCUAUAAAUCCAAAUGUAUUGCUUGAUGAAUCUUACAUGGGAAGACUGUGUCGAGUAGCAACCACUCUUGCAUUACUUGGCCAAACUUCCCUAGAAGACAAAAUUGUUGGUGCAAUUGGCCUUGAGAAUAGUGAUGAUAGUGUUUUAGACUUCUGGAAUAUUACUAGAAUCGGAGAGAGUUGUUCUGGUGGCUGGUGGCGGGUGCAAGGUUCGUGCAGAAACUAAGGUGCCUGCUCUUGCUUCCUCAACUGCAACAUCUGUUGGAGCUUCACAAUCCCCUUUGUUGUGUUCUCAAUGUGAAAGAAAAGUUUGCAAAGUUUGUUGUGCAGGAAGAGGAGCUCUACUGUUUUCAAAUUAUAAAUCAAGGGAUGUGACCAACUACAAUGGCUUCUCAAGUCAGAGUGGAUCAAGCCAUGGAAGCCAAGUUGAUGUACCUACCAGUCGUUCACUAACACUGGAUGGCGUUGUCUGUAAACACUGCUGCCAUGAGAUUGUGCUUGAUGCAUUGAUGUUGGACCAUGUUAGGGUCUUGAUUAGCUUGCGAAGAAGUUCCCGUGCAGACAACACAGCAUACAAUGCUUUGAAUGAGGUUGUUGGAUCCUGCUUAAAGGAUAGUCUUUCUGAAAGGAUUCAGUCUUCCGAUAACGUGCAAGCUGCUGAAGUCCUUCACCAAUUAUGUGGUGGACAGGAAUCAGUUGCUGAAUUUCCAUUUGCUAGCUUUUUGCACUAGGUAUGUUCUUGGUUUGUAUUCAGUUCUCAUCAUGUUAUGUUUUCCUUUUAAAUUUCUUUUCUUGAUUAAAAUUUUUAGAAAUAUGUUUUAGUAUUUGUUCUUAUGAUAUAUGCCCAGAACAUUCAUCCCACUUAUCCAUGAGAAUCCUUGUCUGGUUUGAUUUUCAAUUGAGACAUUUUUGGGAACCCUGAGCAGGUUCCAUAUGCUAAUAAUCUUUGAGGUAAGGUGUUGUAGGAUGCCUUGAGAAGCUAAAAACCAAUUACAAGGAAAAGCUCUUGCAUUGUUUUGUGCAAUCUGUGUGCUAGCAAGUCAUGUCUCUAAUAAUUUCAUAGUUCGCUUGAUUGGAAUUUUUUAUCUUGAUAUGGAUUGUUUAUUCUAGAUUCCUUGGUGCCACUGUAGGUUGAAACAGCAAAAGAUUCAGCACCGAUUUUGUCACUGCUUGCUCCAUUAAAUUCUGGAUCAAGGCACUCAUAUUGGAGAGCUCCACCUAGUACUACUUCUGUUGAAUUUGUUAUUGUUCUCGGUUCUGUUUCUGAUGUCAGUGGGGUUAUCUUGCUUGUUAGUCCUUGCGGCUAUCUGUGGCUGACACUCCGAUGGUAAGUGCCAUAUUUAUUCCCUUAUUUCCUUGUUGUUCAAUAAAUUUGGUGAUAAGCCAAGUGGCCUUAAUAAUGAAGCCCAGUACCAGGGGUGGUGGGUAAUCGAUAUUCAACUUGUGAAUAUUCCUAAGCAAGCACGGAAUCAACAUAGACGUCGGCAAAAAUUCUCCAUGCUAUUAUAACGAAAGUCAUAUUUUGAAAUGAUUAAAAGAGUCCCUUUGUAGUGCCAUUGCCAAAGAAAUUGCAGCUGGGGGUUUAGUUUCAUGUAGGUUAGUUUCCGAUAAUAAACUUUCCAUUUCAUUAAUUGCUGAUGAAAAAACCAAGUAAGAACAGUUUCGUUGCUCGUCAUUUAUGUAUAUUUUGGUAAACUGUAAUUUUAAAUUCUCAACGAUCUUCCCUUGGUAGGUAAGAAGAUGGUCCACUCACUUUAUAUUUAUGAUUGUAGAUCAGGUUUCUAUUGGUUUGCCUUUAUCAUUGGGAACCCAAGUUUGAUAUUAACAGAGAUCACGUCAAUAAUAUCCUAUUUGGGUAGAUGUGGGUGAGGAUUUAAAAUCAAAUUUGAAAUUGGGGGAAAGAAGAGAAAAGGAACCACAAUAAUUAAACAAAAUAUUAGGAACUAUUCUGAUGAGUUUUAAUCUCGAGAGGAACAAUUUUCAAAUGCAAAUUUAACUGCUAGAGAAAUUGUAGCUUUUUGUCAUUAGUUAAGAGGAAAGAGAAUAAGAACUAUCCAGCCCUUUCCUUCAUGAAUGUGUGUUGAGGUUGCUGUAUUAUUUAGUCAGUAUUUGUAAUUUUCUUCCCUGCAGUGCUCUCUGCCUCCUGAAUUUGCUACUGAGUCCAUAUUUUUCUUUGAGCUGUUGCUUCCUAUUGCUGUUACAAGUACAAAUCUGGGCAAGCAAUAAGAUACACCGGGAGGAAAGGUCAUCAAUGGGAAAAUGGGAUGUCCAAUCCCUCAUCACAUCUUCUUCAGACUUGUAUGGUCCAGAAAAGACAGCUAGUGUUGAAAAAUUACCUAGGCAUGUAAAAUUUACUUUUAAGAAUCCUGUUAGGUGCCGCAUUGUUUGGAUCACAUUACGUCUUCAGAGACCUGGUUCGGCUUCAGUUAAUUUCGGGAAGGACUUCAGUCUUUUGUCUCUUGAUGAAGAUGAAAACCCCUUUGCGCAAGUAGACAGACGUGCUUCAUUUGGAGGAGCAGUUGAAAAUGAACCAUGUAUUCAUGCCAAAAGAAUUCUUGUAGUCGGAAGCCCAGUAAAAAGGGAGGGGCUUACCUCAUCACAGAGCUCUGAGCAGCUAAGUAUUAGAAACUGGUUGGAUAGAGCUCCACAAAUGAGUAGAUUCAAGGUAUUAGUUGCUUUCACUCUUUGUUCAUUCAUAAUUCCAGCUUUCUGCUUGAUGCCCUGCCUCUGAUAAACCUCUUUUUUUCUCUUCAGGUCCCAAUUGAGGCCAAGAGAUUGAUGGACUACGAUCUCGUCUUGGAACAAUAUCUACCUCCAGCGUCACCUUUGCUUGCCGGAUUCCAUCUAGACGCUUUCAGUGCAAUAAAACCUAGGGUUACCCAUUCACCUUCCUCAGAUUCAGAUAUCUGGGACAAAUCAGUAACAUUUUUAGAAGACAGGUACAUCUCUCAAGCUGUGUUGUAUUUACAAGUAUCCGCACUCCAGGAACCACAUAACAUGGUAACUAUUGCGGAAUAUCGACUGCCGGAGGCUAGAGCCGGAACGCCAAUGUACUUUGAUUUCCCAUGACCGAUACAGUCCCGACGAGUUUCAUUCAAGCUUCUUGGAGAUGUUACAGCAUUUGCAGAUGAACCUUCAGAACAAGAUGAUUCAGGAUUGAGAGCUCCACUUGUGGCCACAGGUUUGUCUUUGUCAAACAGAAUCAAGUUAUAUUAUUAUUGUGAUCCUUAUGAGCUCGGAAAAUGGGCAAGCCUUUCUGGAGUUUGAUCGUUAUUUAUAUGUCAGAGAAAGGGUUUUGGGUUUGAUUUUGAUUUUGAUUUGUAAUUUUUGUCAGUUUAUUGAAAUUUUUUGUUGUAUAAAAGCAGAAUGUAAAGGUAUAAAAAUUCAUUGAUGCUGCAAUGUCUGUGCUUUUGAGAAAGAAGAAUUAAUUGUCUUUUCUAUGCCAUUGGAGUUUCCCACUGCUUGUAUACUUGGGCUGUCGAAUGCUCUGUGAACCUUAAGGGCUAUAAAGUAAUUUUCAAGACUGAAGGAUUUAUUAAUCGAGUUCAAAAGAUUGUAAGUUGGUGACUGGUGAGCGUUGGCAUUUAAAAAUCAAUUGUUAUUCUCUCAAUAAUCUCUCUCUUCUCCUCGUGAAGUGUUUUCUUUUUCGAGUGAAGGUGGUUUUCCACUUGCAUACGUCGGGGGUCUUAUGAUAUGUAAUGUGUGAAAUUUCUUUCUCAUUUUACCAUAAAGAAAAAUGUUGUAAUAAUCUAAAGCUCGAGUCUUAAAUUAUCUUAAAUUUAUAUUUAGAGUGGAGCUAUUCGCAACCCUAUAUUAAAAUUACAAUUAAAAACAAUUGAAAAUUAAACACUUAUAGAUUCUUUUUACAGCAAAUUACUUAAUUCAUAAUCAAUCCUUUAAAAAAAAAAUACAUAUGUUAUUUCUUAUCUAACUAAAAUAAAUUGUACAAAUUUAGAAUAAUCUAUUGUUCUCUUUUGAUUUCUUAUUAUUUAAAUAUUUUUAUACAUAAAGUUACUUUGAAAUUAUAAUUUGAAAUAUGUGUUAUUUCAGCCAAUGAUUAACACUAAAAAAUUUAUCACCCAUAUAACUUUUUAAUUUGUGUGUAGGGUAAUAAUAAAAUCGAAAAUAAUUAAAAAAAUAGUACAAUAAUGAUUUUUAACAAUAAAACAAAUCAAAUGAAAAUUGAAAAUUUAGAAAAGUGUAUCUAAAAAAAGGAACGUUUUCAAAAAUAAAAUGAAUAUAACUAAAAAGAGAUUUUAUGAGGAGAUCACUGGGGUGCCAAUAGUCCAACUUGUAAUUAAGAAUCUCCCAUUAUAUUGUCAACCAAAAAGACACUUGAAUAAGAAGAAGAAUUUAUCAGUUUGAUUUUAUUUGUAGAUCCAACAUUUCUCAUAUCCUGAACGCCUUUUCGUAUCAAAUUAAAACAGUAGUAGCAAAAUCGUAGUAUUAAAAUCGUAGUGCACAUUCAAUUAACCAACUAAUAGUCUUUGGUAUAAGAUUUUAUAUUAGGUAGCCAAGUAGGUUGUCCAUCCCACUCAGACAUGCACGAAAGCUAAAUUCAUCAAAUGAAUUACUUAAGAAGUAUUUGAUAAUUUUGAAAUUAUCAAAAGGUGUUAUACUAUUAAAUAUUUUUAUACUUAAAAUUGUUUUGAAAUUAUAAGUUCAAAUUAAAAUAAUAGUAGCAAAAUCGUAGUGCACAUUCAAUUAACCAACUAAUAGUCUAAGAAGCAAAGAGAGGAUUACAAGUUCACAACACCAUUACAAAGGAUUCAAAAUUCCCACACGAAUACAUCAAUGUACAGAUUAUAAACAAUCCGAAUUGGACACAAGAAAAACCCUUCAAUAGAUUGCUUGCCUUCCCAAUGCUAUAUACUGUGCAAACUGCGCAUUGGCCAAGAAAAUGUUUUCAAUUUAGUGUAUUUUCAAAAUGCUUAUUUUCUCAUAGUAUAAAAAAUAAAAAAAAUAAGAAAGAAUUCUCACAUGUUUCAUCAGCAUGAUUAAAAUCAAAGAAGAAAGCGAGACAUAAUGUCUCUGACAUAAUAAAAUUACAAAAAUUUCAAGGAAAAAAAAAGGUUAAAACAUGUAAUCUUCAGAAGCAUAUAAUAAAAGAACACUUCCACAAAUUACUACAAUUUCAUGCAGUAGAGAUUGAAGAGUUGAAUUCCACUAAUUUUAAUAAUGAAAACAACAACAGAGGAUUAACUGAUGCUUUGACUUAUUAGUUCUGCAGAGCAUCUCCAAAAGCCUAUAUAAAUUUUACUCUUCAAAUACUUAUUUGCUUACCUAUGUGGCAAAUAAAAGGGUGAAAAAAUAUGAUAUUCUCCAAAAGACUCUUCAAAUAGAAAAAAGUUAAUAUUAUUUUAAUCAUAUAAUUAAUUUUUUAAAGAAAAAGUCAAUAGCAAUUAAAGCACUUCUCUCUCUUUCUUCAAUGAAAAGUAAUAAAAUAUAAAUUGAAGAGGGAGAAAUUAACUCUCCAAAUUUGAAGAGAGAGAAUUAAUUCUUAUUUAAAGAAUCUUAAUUGAAGUGUCUUUUGGAGCUUUAAAUAUUGAUGUGGCUCUUCAAAUAAGUAAUAAAAUCUUAUUUGAAGAGCCUUUAAAUAAGGUGCUUUCAAAAGCAAAAUGGAAUACAUAGAUAAAAACAUCAUCUUAAACAAAUCACAAUCUAGAAUUAGAGCAUUUUCGACAUACCUAAGGAAAACGAAUACGUGAAAACGGGUGAUUCAUUUGUUAAGGAGUGUUGAUUUGGUCGUCUCUGCAAAUUCUUUAGGGACUCGGUUCCAAUUCCUCAUCAUCAAAACUGUAAUAUAAUUCCCCUUCAUCAGAACUCGAAUCGAUGCAAUAUAAUUCCCCUUCAUCAGAACUCGAAUCAAAUUCACUUGCAGCAGUUCCACUCGCGCUUGGCAAAUCAUCCAAUUUCCAAACUUCGGUAGCAAAAUUGAGAGUAAAAGUGUUGGCUUUGAUCUCGCUGGGAUUUGCAUAUACUGGACAUACUCCGCAACGUUUUAUCUUCUGACCCUUUUGGACCUUUAUUAUGUUUCGGUAACGCUCAUUGAAGAACUUAAGUGAGACAGUUGUAUGAUGGUAACCAUCAGGAAAGCCAACAUUCAAGCAAGGUUUAAAACCAAGUAUGACAUGAUCUGAAUCAUGGGGGUCUUUAAUAGAGUCCCAAUAGAAACUCAGAUCAACAUGUUUGGUUUCAGAGAGAGUCUUUAUUUCUAAGUCGGAUCGACAGUAAACGUAAAAAUAACGAGAACGAUCAGAAUAAAGUUGCUUAAAAUCAAGAACAGCACAAAAAGCAAACCCGAUUAAGUUUCUGCAAAAAGAGUGCGGUGGCAGUUGAAUACGUAUCGAAGAUCCUGAACUUUGAUUGCUGAACCAGUCAGGAAUUUCGCUCCCAGGUAAAACAAUUUGGGAUUCCCUGAGUUCAGAAAGUUUCUGUGAAACGACAUUUAAAAAAAGAAAAUUGUAAAAUGAAAACCAUGAUUUCAGAUAUAACAAAGAGGGACAGAGUAAACAAGAGAGGGAAUUUGAUACCUCGUUGUAUGCAUUUUCAUAGCCCAGUCUCAGUGAUGCUGCAAUUGCCAUACGUAGUGAAUCUGCCAAAAUCUUGUUGUUUGCUUUUCCAUCAAGUUUCAAGCAGUUAGUAAACCCAAAAUAAAUUGGUUGUGGCGUCACAUAUUCCGGAUGCCAUUGACGAAGGUCAGGAGAGGGUUUGGAUAGCUUUUCGAGUACGGAUGCAUCUAGUUCUUGUACACAUGACGGAAUCUCUGGCAAAGAUUGAAGCCGGUUGCAGUUCAUUGCAAUUAGUGACUGUAGACACAAUGGAAGUUCAGGUAAUGACCGAAGCAUGUUACAAUCCUCCAAGUGAAGAGUUUCUAAACCCAAUGGAAGUGCUGGUAAUGACUGAAGCAUGUUACAACGCCACAAGUGAAGAGUUUCUAGACCCAAUGGAAGUUCUGGUAAUGACUGAAGUAUCUUACAAUCCCUCAAUUCAAGAAAUUUUAGGCCCAAUGGAAGUUCUGGUAAUGACUGAAGCAUAUUACAAUCCUCCAAGUAAAGAUAACUUAGCCACGACAGUUGCUUGAUACUUGCAGGUAAACUCUCAAAGUUAUUUCCAUUUAAAUUGCCAAUGUUAUCCGGCAACUUAUCAAGUACAGAGCAACCACUUACGGACAAAAGUACAAGCCCCGUUUGCAAUGCCUCAAAUCCAACUUUUCAAGAUCAGUUAGGCACUCUACUGAUGAUGGAACUUCUUCUAUUGCAGUCUGGCCCAAGUUUAGCGAUGUUACUUUCCCAGAAAUCUGUGGAAACUCUAUGAGAUUAACACAAUAGGAGAAAUCAAUAGUUACUGGACAAACAAAAUGAAGAUUGCUAGGAAAAGACCUAAGACUUUUGCAGCCCAUAAAAUCCAACCUACUGAGAUACUUGAAAUUCUGGAUAUAUGAGGGAACACAAGCCAAGUUUGUAUAAUCCAAAAGAUAUGUUUCAACAUUUGGGGUUUCUAAUGGGCCUGGCAUCUUAAUGAAAUGUCGAGAAUGGCUGAGGUUAAUAGAUUUUAACUUGAAAGCUUCCUGCAAUAACAGAUAUAUAAAGACUAUAUUAAUUAAAAAGCAACAUUGAAUUCAACAAUUAAUUGCACGUAUAUUUAAAGAAAGAAAAAAUUAAUGUUUUAGUUUUAGUACAGAACUUACCUUUUCUCCUUCCCAAAGUUGCUCAACUUUACUAAAACGCAAAUUCAGUUCAACAAGGUUCUUUGGCUUGAAAUUUGAUGGCAGUGUCCUUAAGGGAUAUGUGUCCCAAUGAAGAUAUCUCAAUUUUUUAGGAAGAUAAUCUAGGCCAUUUGGAAGCUGCACUUUAGAGUAUGAAAGUUGCUCUUCAAUGCUCAUACUUAGAAACUUUUCAAUCUCAGGUACAUAAAAUUUGAGCAAUCUUAGAUUAGACAUUUUUGUGAAGGCUCCAGGGUCUAAAUUGAUGCCUUUUAUUUUGGACAAAUCCAGAAAUAUGCCUUCAAUUGCAUCGGUCCCCUUAUUAAAAAAAAAAACAAAGAAUGAGUAACCCUAAAACAGAAAAGAAACAUUCGCAAACUUUAUUAACUAAGAACUCCUUAAACAAAAACAAAUUCUGCAAUCUUUGAUUUUAUUUUUUAAAAAUAUUAAAUAUCUAUAUAUGAGAAAAGAAAAUUUUGGGGACCAUUGCAAAAUUAAACUAACCAAAAAAAAAAUUCAAAAUUUCUCUAAUUUACAAACCUGUUAUCUUAAUAUCUAGAAGUUGAGAAGACAAGGCGUAUUUGAUUGGUAUAAGAUUUCGAUUUUUUUUUUAGUCCAUAGAAUCCAAAAUGUUUGUUCAAAAUCAGGGAAAAAAACGAAAGUUAUUUUUUUUUCCACUAGCUGUAAUUGUAUCCAAGUCAAAUUGAGAUACGACCCUUUUCGAAAGGAUUUAAUCAUCUUAUAGCCUCCUUAAGAUACAUUUAAGCUAAAAGGAGUGAUUGGAGGCAGAACUUAGUGGGCCAAUCAGUUCAUUUUAUUAGCGACUGUUGCUUAAAAAAAAUUAUACUCUAAAACACACUUACUUUUUUGAAAAAAAAUAUAAUUAUAUUUAAGUAGAACCAGGUGGGCCAAUCCUCAUGGCACUCACUUUGUUCUGACACUCUUCACUAAAUUUGAAGAAAAAUAAAAUUAUACUCUUCACACUCUUAUUCAACAUUCCAAAAUUGAUAAAAUCUGGAGUUUUCUUUAAAAUUUUAAAAUUUGAAGACUUGUUCUCUUGACACCCUCAGUCAUUAAUUUUACCUAAUUAUGGUUUUGGUUGUUUUGUUCAUAAAAAUGCUUUUACUAAAGGAUGUUCUGGUAAUGAAAAAAUUUAUAAAAAAACAAACAUGGGUGUGCUGAUAUAGUUGGAAAAAUAUGAGUGCAUAACUCCAAACAAAUAAAAGAUACAUAAAAAAAAAAAAGGAGGAUUCUUACCAUAUUAUGCUUUAGUACGCGGCGGAUUUCCUUAGGAUCCCACAACCUACUGCGUCUGCCUGGCUCUUCCUCAGAUUCUUGGCGAACAAUCUCUCGGCCCAUUUCUUGCAAUAAAUCAUGCAUUUGCAAGCAGUUAUCUGACACUGUUAUAAGUGACUUGUCCACGAGGACAUCCAGUCUGUGAGACCCAGAAUCAUCAAGUAUCCUUAACACAAAAUCUUUAUCCUCUCCCUCAAGGAAACACGCAAUAUCUAGAAACAUACUCUUCACCCUGGGCGUUAAUUCUUUAAAACUAAUCUUUAAUGUAUCAUAAAUACCAUGAAUAUCAGAUUCACAAAUCCGAUUUAAGUCGUCCAAUACAUUUUCCCAAUGGCUUUUCCCCUUGAGAUACAGGGAGGAACCCAACACUUUAAGAACUAAUGGAUUGCCAUCGGCAUACCAUACAACCCUCCAUGAGUGCCGGUAGAGAUCUUCAGGACAAUGAUUUUCUUUAACAGCGAAGUUACAAAAAUGCUCGAAAGCCUCAUCAAAUUUCAAUCCAUUGACCCUAUAUAUUUUCUCCACUCCAAAUUUUUCGAGGACUCGUUUAUCCCUGGUGGUUACAACAAUUCUACUUCCUGGACCAUAUUGAUCAAGCCCUCCAAUCAAACCCUCUAAUUGUUCAUCUUUAUUCACAUCAUCGAGUACAAUCAACACCUUCAUGCGUCGGACCCUCCCUUUAGUAAAUUGUGGAAUAUUGGGACCAGCUACUUCAAGUUUUUCACUUAAUAUUGUCGAAAGCAUUUCCUUUUGUAGGUCUUCUAGGCCACCCUCUGUUUCUGAUUUUCUCCUAACAUUUUUUGCAAAGUAUUUACCAUCAAACUCACCAGAGAAUUGAUCGAAAAUAGCUUCAGCAAGGGUAGUUUUGCCUAUACCACCCGUGCCCCAAAUUCCAACAAUAUGGACAGUAUCCCACAAAUCCAUACACAGAAAUGGUUUAAUCUGCUCAAUUCGUGAAUUUAAUCCAACUAGGCCAUUGGAUGAGUCCGUUGAGACUGUUAUUUUUUCCAACUUCUUCAAAACAUCAUCGACAAUUUUGUUUACAAGUUCCGCAUCGUGCCUAAUAUAAAGGUGCAAAGAUGCAAAAACAUUGAGUCAAAUCGGGCCAAGACAGAAACAGAGAAAAGAUGAAUUAGGAAAGAGAGUUACCUGAAUUUCGUGGAUUCAUGGCCGGCUAGAUGGGAUGUUUCUGUCAGUGCAUCCCUCCACUUCUGAACCAUUUCUGGUUUAUCUUCGAACUGUUUUUUGAGCUCAUCAAAACGGUCUCCAAAUGUUCCGUUUUGAUGCCGCACAUCAGAUGGACUUACUCCAUAGAAGACUGGAAUAAUAAUUUGGCCGUUUGUGUUCUUGCAUUCAAGAAUCUUGACAAGUUCAUUCAGGCACCAUUUUGAAGAAGCGUAGUCCUUUGAGAAAAUGACCACCGAAAUUUUUGAACCUUGGAUUGCGUUCAAAAGGGCGGGUGAAAUCUCAUCUCCUCGCCUAAGCUCUUCAUCAUCAAUAAAUGUUUUGAUUUUUUUUCCUUCAUACAAUUUAUCAUAAAGAUAGCAAGUAAAGCUCUUACGAGUGUCCUCCCCUCUAAAGUUGAGGAAGACUUCAUAAUUGCAAGAAGAAGAAGAGGAAGCCAUGAAGGAAAUUCUAGAAAUUUGAAAGUAGAUUUAGGGAAUUAUAAAAAGCUGAAGGAAAUUGGAAUUUUGUACAGUUUCUCCAGCGAGGAACUUUCACCUCCGCACUAGAUUCUUAAGUUUUGAAAAUUAUGAGACCUUUAUAUUGGAAGAUAUUAUAAUCGAAUCAAAACUUAAAAUUUUAAUAUUGUUAAUCUUUAAUCUUUAAAAAAAAAUUACCUCGCCGUUACAGUUUGGAUUAAGAUUUGAGCAAGCAUUUACCUAAAUUUUAUCUCCGCCUGUAAAUUCUUAUGUUUUAAAAAUUAUGAGACCUUUAUAUUGGGAGAUAUUAUAAUCGAAUCAAAAUUUUGAAUUUCAAUAUUAUUAUUCUUUUAAAAAAAAAAUUGAGAUAACAGAGUGAUUGAUAAUAUAGGAGAACUUGUCUAGGCAAGCACAUGCAUACACAGAAAUGUGAUGGAUUCAAAAAGAAAUUAAAGUGAUAAUGUACGUGGAUCCUUAAAAUAAAAAGCGAAAUCGCUUGGUGGCCCAGUAAAAUUAGAGAACAAAGAAGAAUUAGUUAUUGAUAUACAAAAGAGAAACACUCCAAAAUUUCAAGCAAAAAUAGUUUCAUAUACCAUUUCAAUUUUGUAAGGGGUGAGGUUUUGAAUUUCAAUAGUUUCCUCUAAAAUCAAAAGGCAACAAUUAAGUUAGAAAGAGCAAAGAAGACUUAUUAGUACCUUAUUAAAGGUAACAUUAUGGAACUUUCAAUUUCAUUACCUCACUCUUCAAUUUUUAUUGAGAUUUGUGCAAGAAUUUACCUAAAUAUUACCUAAAAUUGAGAUAUCAGAGUAAUAUCAAAUAGAAAAACUUGCCACGGUAAGCCAAAAGUCUAGUCAACCACAUGCAUAAAGCUAAAUAGAACAACUAACAAGAGAACAGAGAAACGCGUGGGUCCCUAAAAGAAAAGGCAAGCACAUAGAUGAAAAAGCCAUUACAUUUCGAUUUUACAUGUCAUUAAUUUCUGUAACACGGUGUGUGGCAGCAUAUGCACAAUCAAGUGAGGCAAAAGGGAUUCGAUUAUCGUGGCAGAACAUGAACGAGGACGCGUGAUGAAUAAUUCCUUCGAUAAAACGAAAAACAAACGCAGAGAAAAGAAUUUCUUAUAUGACAAGAAAUCAAAGAAAUCAAAGUAAUGUUUCAUUUUCCCUUCCCUACCUUUUUUUUGUUUUAUUUUUAUAGCAAAGAAUUAUAUCAUGAAAAGAAUCAAUUUAAUCACCUUUUCUAGCAGCACAAUUUUUCUUUUAUAAAAUUUGACCAGGGAGACAAAGAAUAAUUAUUCAUACCUUCAUCACUAAGGAAAUACUUUUCGGUAUGGCUAAGGUGAGAAAAGGCUUUCCACAAAAACUUGUACUUUGUAUUCCUGUAAAUUUUCUUUAAAGUCAAUAAAAACCAUAAGUUCUUUACAAUAACCAUCUCUUUGAUAAAAAAGUGCCGUAUUCCUUUAGAAUUUAAAACCGGCAAAACUGAAUCAGUGUCUUUGAAGAGACAUAAUGGUCGUAAUUCUUUAAAUGAGUUGGCUAUGGAAAUCGUUAUCCAAGAUUCUUUUACGCCAUAUUCUUUCGUAAACCAAAAUUCAUUUUGGAAUACUCUGUUGAGAAUGUCAAAUAAAACGGCAUUGAAGGAAGUUUUCAAAGGCAGAAUCUGCACUUGUCAGAUGGAUGAUCUGCACUUGUCAAAGACACAAUCCGCGUCGAACGAAUCGACACAUUUCCUUUCGUAUUCACAUAUGCAAUUUUUGAAAAAAUGUAGCUUUUACAUCUAUAAAUAACACUCAGUGUAUAAUGUUUUAUUCAAGAAAAGAAAACAAGUUUCUUCAUGGUAUCAGAGCCAUGAAUACGCUCAAGUUUCUUCAAGUUUCGCUGCUCUGUUUGUAACAAAAACAGAGAAAACCAAAAUCUUCCCACAACCAUUUUUUCCACCAUUUUCUUCCUUAAAAUCAUUCCUACCAUUAUAGAAAUCCAUGCCGAUCAAAAAACAAGCCACCCAUACGUAAAAAACUUGAGUUUACAAAUUUAUCAACAAUCUCAUAAAUUAGAUACAAAACAACGUGAUGUUAAAUCUCCAGAACUGCAGCAGUCUUAAAACGACAUGUCGUUUCUAUUCCAUCAGAACCGACAUAUCAUUUCUUUAAGCAGAGGCCAAACGACUUGUCGUUUUUUUUUUUAUCUAAAAAAGUUAUUUUUUCUUAUUUCAAUCUAGACGCCAAAAAAAAAACAAAAAAAUGGAGAAAACUCCAACUGAAUCUGAUCCUGUUGUCAUUCAAUCUGUUCAAUCUGAUGAGUAUUUAAUGUUGGAAUUAUCUUCACUGAGACAAACUACGAUAUUUGGUCUUAAAUAAUGGAGUUGCAUCUCGCAGAAAGAGAAAAACUCUCAUAUAUUUGUAGCAACACAAAGUCAUCUGAGGAAUCUUCAAAGGAAUAUGAGAAAUGGUAUAGUGAGAAUGAAAAGGUAAAAAAAUGGUUACUCAUAUCCAUGUCUCUGGAUAUCAUGAAGUGAUAUUUACGAAUUCCUACAGCCUACGAAAUAUGGGAUGCAUUAUCAAAAGCCUUCUAUGAUGGAAUCGAUGAAUUACAAGUUUUCACUCUAAACCAGAAGGCGUCUCUACCAAGAAAAAUUGACAGCCACUAUCUAAAUUCUACGGAGAAUUGAUCGAAAUAUUUUGAGAACUUGAUCACCGAGAUAAAGUGAUCAUGAAGGAUCCAGAAGAUGUUGUAAUAUACAAAAGGUCUGUUGAAAGAUUGAGAGUUCACAUUUUUCUUGUUGGGCUAGAUGAAGAAUUUAACCAAGUUCGUGGAGAAAUUCUAUGAAAAGAUAUUAUCCCAGACUUAGAAGAAUGUUAUUCUUUGAUCUGAAGAGAAGAUGUACGGCAAAACAAACUAAACAAGAAGGUCGACUCAGAAACGUUUGCUAUGAUAGCACGACAACAGCCUCAAAGGAAGCUUGUUGACAAGUCAUCACUCCAUUGCACUCAUUGUAGGAAGAAGGGUCAUAUGAAAGCACAAUAUUUUGAAAUCAUUUGAUAUCCUGACUGGUGGGAUACUUGAAAGAAAAACAUCAAGCAGGGAUAAAAAACUGCAGUAGCUGAAUCCACAUCCACUACAGAUCUUAGAAAAGAAUCUUCAGUGCAAAUCGCAACCUCUGUUAGUCCAGGUAAGGCCCUUAAAACUCUUAUACUUGUUAUUAAUAGUACAUGGAUAAUUGAUUCUGGGGCAACUGAUCAUAUGACUUUUGAUUCUCGACAAGUUUCUCAAUUGAUACCAUCUUCACAAAAACAUGUUUCCACUCCAAAUGGAACCACAACCUUAGUUAUUGGGGAAGGAUCUUUACGACUCACAUAUAAAUUAAAUUUAGACUCUGUGUUAAUUGUUCCAUCUUUAGAUUAUAAUCUUUUAUCUGUGUCUCAAUUAACCACUUACUUAUCAUGUGUUGUAAUUUUUUGGCCUGAUCAUUGUGUGUUUAAAGACAUCCAAACGAAGCAAACGAUUGGUUAUGGUAUUAGACGGGGCCACUUGUACUAUUUGGAGAUGACAUCAACAAACACUGGAAAGCUAAGCCCUGCACUAGUCGCAGAUAGUUCCAUAAAAAAAAGGAAAUCAGAAAUUUGGUUAUGGCAUAGACGUUUAGGGCAUGUGUCAUUUGGUUACUUAAAAAAAUUAUUUCCUAGUUUAUUUCUGAAAUUUGAUAUUUGUAACUUUAAAUGUGAUGUUUGUGAACUUUUAAAAAGUCAUCGAACUACUUUUCCAUUGUCCUUAAAUAAGAAUCAAGUUCCUUUUAUGGUAGUACAUUCUGAUGUAUGGGGGCCAUCGAAAGUUUCUACAAUUGGAGGUGCUCGUUGGUUUGUUACAUUUAUUGAUGAUUGUAGCAGAAUGACAUAGAUUUUUCUGAUGAAAUCGAAAGACGAAGUAAACUCUUUAUUUUAAAGAUUUCAUAAGAUGGUGACGACUCAAUUUCAGACACAAAUUCGAGUUCUACAUACUGAUAAUGGAGGCGAGUAUAUGAGCACAACAAUUCAACAGUUUCUGAAAUCACAAGGAACUGUCCAUCAAACCACUUGUGUGGGGACACCCCAACAAAAUGGCAUUGUUGAACGAAAAAACAGACAUUUACUAGAAGUUGUUCGAGCAUCACUAAUCCAGGCCCACAUGCCACUAUCUUAUUAGGGAGAAGCACUGGCAUCCGCAGCAUACUUGAUCAAUCGAACACCUUCAAGCUCCCUUGGAUUCCAGACUCUUUUCCAGGUUCUAAAUGAUGCAAUUAUGUCACCAAAUGUGCCGAAUUUACCCCCACAUGUGUUUGGCUGUGUUGCCUUCGUUCAUUUGCCGCAACAAGACAAAUUAUCUCCUCGAGCACUACGUUGUGUGUUUGUAGGGUAUGCCUUACAGCAAAAGGGAUACCGAUGAUAUGAUCCACCAUCAAGAAAAAUAUACAUCACCAUGGAUGUCGUCUUUCAUGAAGAUAUCAUAUACUACUUGUCAAAGCCUGAAUUUCAGGGGGAGUAUAAUGAAGAGGAAAUUCAUAAUCUUAUAUAUCUUCCACCUAAAGAAGAUCAAUCUUCCAUUGAGGUUGUAAACCUUCAAGAUACUGGAAAAGAAAAUGGUGGUGAUUCUCAGGCUGAGAUAAGUGAAGACACAUUUGGGGAGCAAAAUAACUUAGACACAACUGCAAUCGAGAAUGAGUCACAUGAAGAAAUACCUAACUAAUCGUCUGCAGAGGAUGUUCCUACCACAAGUCCUAGUCUAGUCAGAAGAAUUCUUCCUCAGCGUCAAAAUAGAGGUAUCCCUAAACCCACAUAUGAGCCCGACCUUUCUAGUAGAGUCAAAUACCCUAUGAUUUAUUUUGUGUCUAACCAUCGCUUGUCAGAAUCAAAUCAGUCAUUUGUGAAUCAAUUAUCUACUGUAUCUAUUCCUAAUAGUGUGCAGGAAGCCUUAAAAGACCCAAAGUGGAAAGCGACUAUGAAUGACGAAAUGUGAUCUCUUCAAAAAAAUCAAACAUGGGAACUAGUUGAUCUUCCACCUGGAAAGAAACCAGUGGGUUUCCGAUGGAUCUACACUAUAAAGUACAAAGCAGAUGGCUCUAUUGAACGAUACAAAGCAAGGCUCGUAGCUAAGGGUUACACCCAAACCUACGGGAUAGAUUAUGCCAAUAUGUUUGCACCGGUAGCAAAAAUUAAUACUAUUCGUAUCUUAUUAUCAUUAGCAGUCAACUUGGAUUGGCCAGUGUAACAGUUCGAUGUAAAGAAUGCUUUCCUCCAUGGAGACCUGUCUGAAAAAAUUUAUAUGGAUAUGCCACCAGGAUGUAGUGGACCAGAACGACUCAAUCAGAAAGUAUGCAAAUUGAAGAAAUCAUUGUAUGGGUUGAAGCAACCCCUAAGAGCAUGGUUCGGGAAAUUCACAAAGGCUAUGGUUCUUUUUGGGUAUAACCAAAGCAAUUCAGAUCAUACCUUGUUCAUUAAAAAAUGACAAGGUAAAAUCACUGCCCUCAUUUUCUAUGUGGAUGAUAUGGUAGUCAUAGGUAACGACGGGGAAGCAAGAGAGGCUCUUCAGAAGUACUUGUCGAGAGAGUUUGAGAUGAAGGAUUUAUGAGCCUUAAAAUACUUUCUUGGAAUUGAGGUUUCUCGAUCUAAGGGAGGAAUUUUCCUGUCUCAAAGGAAAUAUGCUUUAGAUCUAUUAAACGAAACGUGAAUGACAGCUUGUCAGCCUAUUGACACCCCAAUAGAAGAAGGACUGAAGUUUUGUAUUACCUCAGACUAAGUUCCAGUAGACAAAGGAAGAUAUCAAAGGCUGAUUGGAAGAUUGAUGUACUUGUCCCACACAAGGCCAGCUCUUGCUUAUGCAUUGAGUGUUGUAAGUCAGCUUAUUCAUAAUCCCGGAGAACAACACAUGAAAGCAGUAAUGCGGAUCCUAAGGUACCUGAAGUCAAAUCCAGGAAAAGGAAUCCUAUGUUCCAAAAAUGGAGAUUACAGCAACAUAGAAGUUUAUACUGAUGCAGAUUGGGCCCGGUCAGUUAGUGAUAGACGCUCUACCUCAGGAUACUUUACCUUAGUGGGAGGCAACCUUGUCACAUGCUGCUUCACUUGCUGCCAAUCCAGUUCAUCAUUCAAGAACAAAACAUAUAGAGAUUGAUGUUCACUUUGUGAGAGAUAUAAUUUCCAACGGCGGAGUGGAAGUAAGAUAUGUCCCUACUGAAUAUCAGCCUGCAAACAUCUUCACAAAAGCUCUUCCUGCUGAUAUGUUUCAACAGUUGCGAGACAAGCUACAUAUUCUUCCUAGAACAUUGCGCUUGAGGGGGCAUUAUGAAAAUAUUGUAGCAGAGCUACCAAACUUGAGUAAUACGAAUUCAAAGUUGUUAGAUGACAUGGCAGCACACUUGGCAUUCAUUGGUGUUUUGGAAAGUUAAAGUGAUCAACCUUAUCUCUUAGCUUAUCAUUAAUUCAAGCUGCACUUUUGUAUUUAUCAAGAUCAAGAUAAAGAUAACAAUUGUGCUAGGCUUGAUCUUAUUCUUGGCAUUAUCGUGUUUCCUGUAGAGCAUUAUAAAUGUAAUGAUUAUGAGAUGAAUAAAAUAACGAAAAUGUGUUUUGUUUCUUCUUUAAGCUCAUCUUUAUAAUUUAAGUUGGUAUCAGAGCAUGGCGAGCUCCAAUUCUGCGAAAUUAGUCAAUAUGAAUACUGUAAACCAAACACCACAAAUUUCUAAUUUUUUGACUCCUGUCAAAUUGGAUAGGCAAAAUUUUAUGAUAUGGAAGUCUCAAGUGCUACCUUCCAUUCGUGGUAACAAUCUUGAAAGCUUGAUCAAUGGAGCAAAACUUGUACCCACUAAAUUCUUGGUGCAAGUAGAAGAGGAUCAAACAGUAACGACUGUGGAAAAUCCAGAAUAUAUACAAUGGCUGAGACAAGAUCAGCUUUUACUUAGUUGGCUUUUGUCCACUAUGACUGAAUCAGUUUUAAGCAUAGUGGUGCAGUAUACAACCUCUUUUGAGGUUUGGAAUGCCUUGAAGACAUUGUUUGCAUCUCAGUCAAAGGCUAGAAUUUUGUAGCUCAAGAUGCAACUCCAAACCACGAAAAAGAAUGCUAUGACCAUGAGUGACUAUGUCAACAAAAUGAAAAAUUUAGCUAAUAGCCUGGCAAUGGCUGGAAAAUAUGUUACUGAAGAUGAUUUAAUUUCUUAUAUUCUUGCAGGUUUAGGAACUAAAUACGACCCUGUGGUUGUAAAUAUUACAGCAAGAACAAAUGAUUUAUCUCUGCCUGAAGUAUCCUCUCUUUUGCUCAAUCAUGAAAGUCGAAUGGAACAACUCUCAGCUGCUGCAAAUCUUGAGUCUAAAGGCAGUUUUAAUGCAAAUUUUGCAGGAGCUUCUUUUCACAAAAGGAAAGUUAUAAGAAAAGGCUUUAUGUCAGGAAGUUUAUGAGGCAAUGAACGUGGUAGAGGCAAAGGAAGAACCAAUUUUAGCCGUGGUGGAAAUAGGCCAACCUGUCAGAUAUGUGGCAAAUAUGGACAUUCAGGAUAUCAAUGUUUCUUCCGCUUUGAUCGGGGGUUCUCUGCAAGACAAGAGGCAACACAAGCAGGUCAAGCCUCUGCCUAUAUGGCACUCCCUGCUGAAGAAAUAGAUAAUGGAUGGUAUUUGGACAGCGGAGCAACACACCAUGUUACAAAUGAUUUAAACAAUCUGCAGAUUAAGUUAGAAUUUAAGGGAGGUGAGAAGCUGGUAGUAGGUAAUGGUAAAACUUUAGCAAUAUCUCACAUUGGCAGUGCACUUAUUUAUAUUCCAAACCAUGAACCAUUGUUGCUUAAUGACAUUUUAUAUGUGCCCAAAAUCACCAAGAACUUAAUUAGCAUUUCAAAAUUACUUUCUGAUAAUAAACUAAUGCUUGAUUUCUGUGACAAUGUUUGUACUCUUAAGGACAAAGUUCUGGGGAAGAAGCUGCUGCAGCGAAAAAUUGAAAGAGGCUUAUAUCGGCUACCAGUGCUUUCAAGACAAGCCAUUCUAUCUGAUUCAAAAAUUAUUUCCAAUAAAUCUUAUUAGUCUUCUCUUCCAUUUAGCUGUUUCAAUUCUAGCUCAACAAUAAGUUCUGUAAAUGAACAAGAAUUUAUUUCCAAUUCCAAGCCUAGCAGUUUUAUAAAUCUUUUGCACAGAAGGAUGAGACAUCAUCAUCUUGCUGUACUAAAACAAAUUCUACCUUUGUGUAACAAAACAAGUCAGUUAAAUAAAAAUCUCAUUCCUCAAUUCUGUGAUGCAUGUCAACAAGGAAAAAGUCAUAGGCAAACUAUCAAAGCAUCAAAUAGUAGAGCUUCAGAACCUUUAGAAUUAUUGCAUCUUGACUUGUGGGGGCCUGCACCUUUAAUGUCUAGAAAUGGCUACAAAUAUUAUUUGAGUAUUGUAGAUGACAACACACGUUUUACAUGGAUAUUUCCACUUAAAGUUAAAUUACAAGCGUUUGAAGCUUUUAAGUAUUUCAAAGUUCAAGCCGAAAAACAAUUAGGAAAGAAAAUCAAAAGUUUACAAACUGACGGUGGAGGAGAGUUUCAAGCAUUUACAAUUUUUUAAAAGAACAGGGUAUUAUUCACUGACUUUCUUGCCCACACACGCAUCAUCAAAAUGGUAGAGUGGAGCGAAAACACCAACAAAUUGUAGACACUGGUUUAACACUUUUGGCAUAGGCUGGCAUGCCACUCACUUUUUGGUGGGAUGCUUUUCAAACAUCUGUUUAUUUAAUUAAUAGAAUGCCUACUUCCAUCUUAGAAAACAAAUCACCAUUUCAAAUACUUUAUGAUGAAGAAUAGGAAUCAAUAUUAUACUAGGAUUAGUUUCCUUAUUAACUAAAGUUUAAGACUUUUAAAUUCCUUUCUAAUUUAGAAUUUUGUUUCCCUUUCAAUUUAGGAUUUUGUUUUACUUCAUGAAUUAGGAUAAUUAUUACUACUAUAAAUAGCUCCCUCUUGUAGCCUUUAAAGGCAGAGAAUUUUGAGUUUAAUAAUAUUUCAAUUUUCAAAUCUCUUUGUGAGUAUUUGAACAGUUAAUUCUCGGUAUUCUGCGAAAUCAACGAGUCUUAAAUCCCUAAGUUCGCGGUAUUCUUUUGAAUCAACAUGAAUUUAGUUGUUCUUUUAUUCUGGUAUUCUCUAGAAUCAACGGAAUAUUUUGAAUAUUAAACUUCCACUGCAUCACUUUACAAGAAAAUACCUGAUUAUUCUUUUCUAAAAGUUUUUGGAUGUGCUGUAUUUCCUCAUCUUCGAGAUUACAACAAACAUAAAUUAGAUUUUUGAUCAGAUAAAUGUAUAUUUUUAGGCUAUAGUACAGCUCAUAACGGGUAUAAGUGUCUCCACAAGUCAGGAAAAAUUUUUGUAAUGCGACAUGUUGUCUUUAAUGAAUAUGAUUUUCCUUUUAAAAGUGAUCCCUCCUUCAAAAUCUCAAAGAGUUAUCCAAAUCAUGAUUCUAGUACUCUCUUUCAGUCUCCUAUGUUUGCAGGUUUUGAAAGUCCUAGAGCCUAUAAGACUCUCUCGGUUAUUCAUGCAACAGACUCUCUACUAGAGUUGGUUCAUAACACAAUAGUUAUAGAUCAGGCAUCAAGUCAAGAUGAGGAAACCAAUUUUGAAUCCAACACCAAAAGCCCACCUGGAAAAGCCAACCUUGAAUCAAGCACUGAAAUCCAAGCAACUGAAAACACCACACAAUCUUUAUCUAUCCCCGCGUUUAUCAAUCAAGAAGCCGAUCACACAAUCUCUCAACCACCUAGUUCAACUCCUCAUUCUCAACAGCCAACACAUACACAAUCCACUCAUCCAAUGAUCACUCGUGCCAAGGCCGGCAUCUUUAAACCCAAACCUAGACUUUACCUAACAACCUCUCAUACCAAAAUAAGUGUACAUGCCAGUGUUAGUGAAGCUUUGGAAGAUCACAAUUGGCGUAAUGCUAUGACAGAAGAAAUGAAUGCUUUGGCUAGGAAUAACACACGGUGUUUAGUUCAACCUACUUCUGACAUGAAGAUUGUGGGAAAUAAAUGGGUUUUUCGGAUAAAACAAAAGGCUGAUGGUUAGAUAGAGCGAUAUAAGGCUCGGUUGGUUGCAAAAGGAUUUCAUCAGACCCCAGGAAUCGAUUUCAACGAGACUUUUAGUCCUGUUGUUAAAGUUGCAACAAUUCGAUUGGUGUUAAGUAUUGCUGUGAUGAAAAAUUAGGGUGUAAUACAACUGGAUGUGAACAACGCCUUUUUAAAUGGAGACUUAGUAGAAGAUGUUUACAUGAUGCAGCCUGAAGGCUUUAUCAACAAAGCACAACCAAAUCAUGUGUGUAAAUUGAGAAAAGCAUUGUAUGGGCUUAAGCAGGCUCCAAGAGCUUGGUUUGAAAAACUCAAGAGAGCAUUGAGUGACUGGGGUUUCACAAAUUCUAAAUUAGACACAUCACUAUUUAUUUUGCAGCAAGGAAGGGAUAUAAUAUUUGUCCUUAUUUAUGUGGACGAUAUUUUAAUAACAGGAAGUAAAGAAAGUUUGGUGCAAGAAGUUAUUGAACGACUUAAUUGUCAGUUUGCUUUAAAAGUGCUCGGACCAUUAAGCUAUUUCCUUGGUCUUGAAGCUCAUCGCACAGAGAAUGGCCUACAUCUUAGCCAACACAAAUAUAUUUGUGAUCUCUUGAAGCGCACAGAUAUGGAUGGCUGCAAGGAAACAUCUACUCCUAUGAGUGUAGUACCGAAACUUUCAGCUGAAGGUGGUAAGCAAUUUUCUGAUCCUACACUUUAUCGUAGCAUCGUUGGAGCCUUAUUAUACGUAACUAUUACUCGGCCUGAAAUUUCUUAUGCUGUUCAUCGUUUAAGUCAGUAUAUGCAAAAUCCUUUACAGCCGCAUUGGCUUGGGUGUAAAAGAAUCCUUAGAUAUUUACAAGGAACAGCUGAUUAUGGAAUUUAUUAUACUACCAAAGGAAGAAUGACGCUCACAGGCUAUACAGAUGCAGAUUGGGCAAACAAUAUUGAUGAUAGAAAAUCAACUGGAGGCUACUGUAUUUAUCUUGGCAAUAACUUAAUCUCAUGGAGUUCAAAGAAACAAAAUGCAGUAGCAAGGUCUUCAACUGAGUCAGAGUAUCAAGCACUUGCAAAUACCACAGCAGAAAUUUUAUGGCUUCAAUCUGUGCUUAAAGAGUUGCAGGUGCCACUAACUGAAAUUCCAAUUAUUUGGUGUGACAACACUGAAGCUGCUUCACUUGCUGCCAAUCCAGUUCAUCAUUCAAGAACAAAACAUAUAGAGAUUGAUGUUCACUUUGUGAGAGAUAUAAUUUCCAAAGGUGGAGUGGAAGUGAGAUAUGUCCCUACUGAAUAUCAGCCUGCAGACAUCUUCACAAAAGCUCUUCCUGGUGAUAGGUUUCAACAGUUGCGAGACAAGCUACAUAUUCUUCCCAGAACAUUGCGCUUGAGGGGGCAUCAUGAAAAUAUUGUAGUAGAGCUACCAAACUUGAGUAAUACGAAUUCAAAGUUGUUAGAUGACAUGGCAGUACACUUGGUAUUCAUUGGUGUUUUGGAAAGUUAAAGUGAUCAACCUUAUCUCUUAGCUUAUCAUUAAUUCAAGCUGCACUUUUGUAUUUAUCAAGAUCAAGAUAAAGAUUACAAUUGUGCUAGGCUUGAUCUUAUUCUUGGCAUUAUCGUGUUUCCUGUAGAGCACUAUAAAUGUAAUGAUUAUGAGAUGAAUAAAAUAACGAAAAGGUGUUUUGUUUCUUCUUUAAGCUCAUCUUUAUAAUUUAAGUAAAGGGACUUUUGCAUAGCCUCUGGUGUGUGUGUGAUUUCUCUUUCGUUUCCUCAUCAAAUUCUGUAAUUCUUGCUUCGAUAAAAAGCUUUUAAUCUCUUCUGUAGUGUGUGAUCAGUGCGUAAUCAUUUUGAGCAAUAACAGCUUGUGGGUUUUUCCUUCAAACAGUGUCGUUUUGGUCAGUUUGUUAGUUUCUGUGUUCGUCUGAUUCCAUUGCUCUUGUUCUCUGUUCUUGAUCUGUUCGUGGAAUUUUUCUUUGGUUAUUUGUUCUCAAAUUUCAACUGUAUAUAAAGUUUGAACUCUGAUUGCUUAUAAUGUAUUGAUUAAGAAUAAUCCUAAGAGUUCCCGAUUGAAAUUUUUAAUGACUAUUUUUAUUGUUUUGGAUAUACAAAUUGAAUUAAGAAAAAAUAUUGUCAAAUUCAGAGGAUAAGGGGAAAUAAUUAUGCUUCAAAAGGCCAGAGAUUAGAGAAUAAAGAAGCAUUCAUUACUCUAUCAAAAAAAAAAAAAAAAAAAAAGCAUUCAUUACUGAUAUACAAACUGCUUUUAUUUGGAUUUUGGAAGGGGUGAAGUUUUGAACUUCAGUUGUUCCUCUAAAAUCAAAAGCAGCAAUUAAGCGUUCUCAAUUAGAAAGAGCUAAGAAGACUUAUUGGUACCUUACUGAAGCUAACAUUAUGGCACAGUUGUUCAUAUAUAAUGGCUGCUCUGUUAUGCUAGCUUCUCUGUUUUUGCUUCUAUUUUUGCUUACAGUUUUGAACAUAAAUUCUUGCUCAAAUAACCCAUAAUUAAAUAACACUAAUAUGGCUCGUGAAAUCCCAUAAUAGCUAAUUACGCAACUUUCUCCUCCUCCUCAAUUCUGUCUUCCCCUGCUCGUACACUAAAUUCAAAAUUCAAUGCCCCGAAAAACAACACAAGAAAUCUUUGAGUUAAUUCGCGACCAGUUUAUAUAUAGUAGCAAUUGAAAAAGGAAAAAGAAUAAAAGAGUUCAUUAUUAUUCAGACCUUCACUUAUUAGGAAGUUUGUUCUGCUGUUGGGUGAGAUCAAGCUCUCAGCAUAUACUUCCACAUUAUACUUUCUAACAUUUUCUUGAAAGCCAUCAAUCAUAAAAUCUUCAUACUUUUUUCCAUCCUUUGGAUCAAUAAGUACAAAUUUCUCAUCUAAAACAGACAAAAUAAAAUCACUGUCCUUCAUGGAACAUAAUGGCUGCAAUGCCUGAACUGAAUUGGCUAAUGAAAUUUGAGUCCAGGAUUCUCUCAGCCCAUAUUCUUUCAUAAUCCAAAAUUCUUUUCUUUCUCGACAUGGAACAUAGUCUUCUUUUCUUUCUGGACAUAUGUCUCUGUACUUUUCUCUCUCUACUGAUCCACACUUUUUCAUACUUCUAACUAUCAUUUUGUUUUUUUUUUGUUAAGUUGUGAUUUAUUCAAUUAUUUUGUAUUUUUAAUGAAAAUUAUUUAAUAUUUAGUUAGUUUUGAUAUUGAUUAGUGAUUGAAAGUGUAUUUUAGAAGACUUCCGGUCUCUUGGAAAAAGGAAAAAUGGAGACGAAGAAGAAGUGUUCUUGAUUUUUUUGUAGGCAUUAAAGUUAAACGGUUUGAAAUGAUAUUUUGUUUUAAUUUCACUCAUUAAUCUCAUUCAGGAUAAAAUUAUAAAUGCAAAUAAAUGGGGUUUCAUGAGUUUUUUUUAAUAGUGUUAAAAGGUCUACUCACUAAAUAAAUAUGUUUAACCCAAACCAAUGCGAUUAGUAAGUUAUUGGGUUGGGUUGAUCAGGUUAAAAAUUAAAAUUAAAAAUUAAAUAAUUAAAAAAGGCAUAAAAACUAUCUGUUACUUGAAAAUAAAAAGAAUUUCUAAUAGUUAGUUCUAAUGUCCCAUAUCCAAAACAUCCAUAUUAAAUAAAUAUUAUAAGUUAGAAAUACAAUAUCCAAGAAAGAAUGAAUGAAAUACCAUAUUUUUGUUGAGAAUUAAGAGUGUGAUUUUAAUUUUGAUAUUGGAGUCUAAAGUGCCACGUUUAAAUAAUCUCUUUUAUAAAAUAAUAAAAAGAGAUUAAAAAUUAGGUUAGCCAUUUAGGCAUUCAGGGUUUAGCAAUUAAGGAUGAACAUAUUAUUGUUGUUGUUUUUUGUUGUUGUUGUUGUUGUUGUUGUUGUUAUUAUUAUUAUUUAUAUGUUUACUAAUCCAAUUUACGUAUAAGUACAAAAGUUUCAAAUAUUGUCUAUUAUUUUUUUAACAUGCCUAUUCCUUGUGGAUAAUUCUGUCUCAUCACUAAUGUUGUUUCUUGCUUACAAUUUGUAUAGCGUCUCAAAAUAGACAAUAGGGGGAUUUUGAAUUUUUUAAGUCUCAAUAUAGUCUCUUAUCUUGUGAGACAGAUUUUCUUUCAAUAAUUUGGAGGUAAACAUAACAUAACUUUUUGGACUAAAGCCUAGCUCUGCUAAUUAGUAAUUGGUGGUAUCCUUUUCAAGACCUGAGUCUUUAAAUUCGAGUUUUAUAUAGUGCGCAUGUGUAUUUAAUUAAUAUUUUUUUAAAAAAAUUACAUCAAAUACUAAUAUUCAUGACAUAAUUUAGUUCAUAAUGUUUUUUUAAAUACAUCGAAAAUAUAAUUUUUUAACAACUUAUAGGCAUGACAAAUUUCAAGAUAUAAAUAUCAGUCAAAAUAAGUGAAAGAAAUAAUGGUGCCAAUUCUAAUUUCUUAACUAAAUUAAUUACUGCAUGAGCCCCCAAUACGGCACGAGAGUUUGAUGGGCUAACUUGGCACAAGAACAAUAGUUAAUUGAUUUAAGAAAUAAUUCAAUGAAAAAUAUAAUUGAUAAGAAUUUAGUAUUGAAAUGAGUUUUUUUCGAAACACUGAAUUAAUGAUUAUUAAGCAAGAACAAUAAAAAAAAUAAAAUAAAAAAUAAAGAUUAACCAUUGAUAAGCUUCAACAAGAACUUAACACAACCCUCAAUCCUAAUUCAAAUUAUAAAUGUCAUUCAUAUAUUCAUUAUAAAUCAAUAACAAAGGUUAUAAAUGUUUAGAAAUUCUAGAGGGAAGGAAGCUAUCGCCGGGCAAUCAACAACUAAAUUUGAUGUAAUUGUGGCACAAGAUGGAAUAUGAAAACUACACCAUAAUUUCAAAUGCCGCCAUAGACAUUGACUUAUCUACAGUAACAAUGAUCUAAUUAAAAUUAAAAUAAAGUUUAUGGGCAUUUAUUAUAUUUGCCAUUCCUCAUUUGCAAAUAGGGAUAUAAUUAUAAUUUUACUUAGUCAAAGCAAUCAGUAAUUUUUAGGGGUGUUCAAAAUUCAAUCCGAUCCGCUCAAUCCGUCUGAUCCGUAGAAAUCCGAUCCGUAAAAAUCUGAUCUGUGGAUUGGUAGAUUGGAUUGAAUUGAAAAUUUGAUAAUCCGCAAUCGGUGGAUUGGGUAUGGAUCUACUUCUGUAAAUUCGUAAAAAUCCGUGAAUCGGCAAAAAAUAAAAAGUAUUUAUUUAUUAAAAAAUAAAACUUGUAAAUAUGGCAAUAGUACUUACUAGUAAAUAAAUAAGUUAAAAUAUAGUUACAUUAACACUAUAUUAUAUCUUAUCCGAUAAUAAUAAAAAAUAAAAAAUAAUUAAAUAAACAAAUAUAACUUUCUAAAUAGUUAAUUUUCAUGUACUGAUCUAAACGAAUGAGAUUUUUUUUUUUUCAUUUUGGUGUGUUAUGUUUUGAACUUUAAAUGUAAUUUUUAGUUUUAUUUAAACAAGUAAUUUAUUUAAAUCUUAUUUAAUUUUAAAUUUGAUCGGCAAUAAAAUUAUUUAUAUUAAUUUUUUUUUAUUUAGUUAGUUCGUAGAUUGGACAGUAUUAAAAAUUUUCAGUCCGUAAACCAAUUCGCAAAAUGGUGGAUUGGAUAUGGAUUGGGUCAAAUCCGCAUCCAAUCCGCAGAUGUAUGAAUUGAAUUUCACCAAUCCAUGAAUUGGAUUGGAUUAAAAAUUUAUAAUCCGCAAAAUCGUGGAUCAGAUAUGGAUUGAGGUCCAAUCCGUAAAAUUUGAUCCGGAAACACCCCUAGUAAUUUUCUUCAUUAUAGGAGUGAAGUAAAAACAUUUAGAUUUUAAUGUAUGUACGGAAAAAUUUAUCUUUAAAAAUACUUUCUUAAUGUGUGUAUAUAUAUUGAAAUACUCAAACCAAUUUUGGUUAUUAUAUAAUUAAACAAAUUUUAAAAUAUGAAAAAUAUAAUGUAGUUAUAGUGGAUAAACAAUAAGUGAGCGCAAUAUAAUUAAUCAAAUAUCAUGCCAUCAAAAGUUAAUUUUAGAAAUUCCAAAUCCAACAGCCAACACAAUUCUUUUAAAAAAAAGCUGACACAAUUAAUAAAAUUAGUGACAUGAAUUUCACACCAUUGAUAAUAAGCAAUUAGUAUUACUUUCUAAACUUGCUUCAACUGGUCGUUGAUGUCCGGGGUCACCAAAAGUAUAAGCAAUAAUAAGGGGCAUUGGGCAAGAGUGAUGAAUGUUUAGUCGGUGCAUUUGAUUGCUAGAUAUAUAAAGGGCCGAAACUUGAGAUUAUAUUACUUUUACAAAUUUUAAUCCAAUCACAUAUUUAAUGAAAACAAAAUGAGUUAGGAUACUUUAUUUAGAACCCACAUUUUAAUAAGGCUUCAUUUGAUGUAGUUUUUUAAACAGUGAUUAUUUAAGUAAAUUUUCCUCAAUAGAGUUUUUAUCAAACAAAUUUAUUUAUUUAGUUGUCGAUAAGAGUUUUUAUUAAAAAUUAUAAAAUUAUUUAAAUAAACAUGUUUUUUAAAAUUACAUUAUAAAAAUAAUUAAAUAAAAUUAUAAAAGUAAAAUAUAUUUUAGAUAUUUUAAUAUUUAAGAAAAAUUUUCAAUCUCUACUUUCAAAAGCUCAAAUUUUUAGCUUUUAGUUGUAGAGACAAAAUAUUUUAUUUAAUCUUUAAAAGUUAUGCUAAAAACAAUCAAAUAACUACAAAAAUUUUAAUAAGAGUAUAUAAAAUUAAAUGGUAAUUUUUAAAAACCUCCCCUGAGGUUUGGGCUUGUUGCAAGUAGAUGGCGAGAAUCCAUUUAUUUGUAACAAACCCCCUACCGUCAGUUAAUUUUUGCAUUAACCGUUAGUUGACUGUGCAAAGACAAUAUUGUCCCUAAUGACAGUUUGUAGACUGACAUAGCUAAAAAAAAUGCUGAGAUUGUCGGCACGAAAAUCACAAAUAAUUUUUUUUUGACAAUUUUGUCCUUGUUAAUUCCAAGAUUUACAAUGUCAUAAGUAAGGAUUAUGACUAUUUUACCCUCUUAAAAUUAUUGAUAAUUCCUUAAAAUUUCUACAAAAAAGAUAAAAUUAAAAACUUGAAGAAAAAUAAAGUUCUCAAGCCGGCUAACCAAACACAUAGAAUAAAAAAUCCAUCGUUUGACAACAAAAACAACUUUCCAUAAACCCAAACAAAAAUAAACAAGUCCCCAUUACUCUAAUUGGCUUUGCUUGGAGCUGUUACUAUUGUGCAUACAUUUCUAGGCAAAGCAAAAUGACCCCAUGAUAUAAACCUUAUAAAACAUGCCUCCACUAUUCUUAAUUUUGGUAUAAUAAUAAUAAUAAUCACAAAAAAUUAAUUGAAAACUUGACUAAUUAUCUUUGGUGGAGAAUUUUAAACCGAAACCGAUUCAGGAACCUUAAAUUGAUCAAAAGGAAGCUAAUAAUGACAAAAAAGUAACCGAUCAAAAAUCAUUAAGCAUAAAAAAAUAUUGAAUUUAAAUAACUAAAAAUGCCAUCGGAAAUUGAAAUUAAUUAUUUAACAUAUAGCAUGAAAACAAAUCUUCACUAUUGGUGCUAGGCGGCUGUCGUUUAGCUUGGUUCUAAGAGGUGGCAGUCAGUCAACUUCGAGACGGUGCGUUCGAAGUCAACUAAGCUGCAGCAGAGGUUGCAGGGGGCAGAUUGCAGCGAAGUCGCGGUGGAGCAGAGGUCGCGUCGCGGUGGAGAAGAGGUCGCGUUGCGCUGGCUUGGCUUCACGGUGGUGGGAUGGCUGGGCGGGCUGGCCAGCUGUGUGCGCAUUGUAUAUGAUUGUUUUUCACUUUUUUAAUAUUUUCUUGUGCAUUAGUUCAGAUUAGAUUAGUGAGUUUGUGUGUGUGUUUGCAGUUGAUUUGGUUAAGAUAUUUAGGUUAAAAUAAUUUUUUUUAAUAAAUUUUUUUUUUCAAAAUGUCAACAAUGCCCACAACUACCCAAAUGGCAACUAAGCAGAGUAAAAACGUAGGGGUUUUUUUUUAUAAAUAAAUAGAUUCUCGUCAUCUAUUUGCAACAAACUCAAAUCUCGGGGGAGGUUUUUAAAAAUUACCCUAAAAUUAAAUAAGCAUUUAUUAAUAAUCACUUUGGUAUACUUAUCUAAUGACCAUAAGUGUUUAUUUAAUCUCAUAAGUUCUUAUUUAAUCUCAUGAGCUCUUUUCAAUUUUUUUUGUUGUUUGUUUUUUAGUAGAGUUUUUGAAAAUUAAAUAAACUAUUUUGUCUCUACUAGAAAAAACUCAAAUUUUAGAUUUUUGUGAGUAAAUGUUUAAUUUUUUAAAAAAAUAUUAAAAUAUCUAAGAUAUCUUUCCUUUAUUUCAUAAUCUUAUUUCAUUUUUUCAUAACAUAACUUUCAAUAACUUACCUAUUAAAAUAAUUUCACAAUUUCUAAUAAAAACUCUAAUUGACAAUUAACAAUUUUUUUUUGUUUGUAAAAACUCUAUUUAUAAAAAAUCUAAUAAAAAUUCUAUUUAAAUAAAUUAUAUUUGAAAAGGUGUACUAAACCAACCUAAGAUAAAAACAAAAAUUUUUACAUCCAGACAAUUAAGCUUAAAACAAUUUCAAAUGAAUUUUAGACUAAUCAAAGUACAAUACGUACCAAGUUUGGUAACUUAUUGACAUCUUCUCAUAUAACCUUCGAUCAAGUCGAUUCUCACCUGACGACUAAUUGGUACAUCACCGUUGUUCUCUAUACUCGCAUGCAUCCGAUCACAAAUCUCACUCCAAUUGUCGUCUUUCUUCGGCGUUUUAGCACAUCCUUCUUGAAUUUCCCGCAUUUCGUUCCCUCCUGUUACAAGUCUCCGGUCAGGUCAGUUCUCUUGACGAUUAAUUCGGCAAAUCUCGAAUCUCUUCUCGCGUCGUUUCACUUCAAUUUUUUGUGUCUCCUUUCAGUUUUAGUGAUUGAAUCAAUUUUAUUGCAGUCUGAGAGAAAUUAAGUAAUGCUCUUGGAUUUAAAUUUUUUUUGCUUUCGACUUUAGAUCUCGAAAGUCAAACUCUGCUACGAAUCCUUAGAUUCUCAAUGUUUAUAAUCUUAUUUGUGUUUGACCAGGUAACUGGAUCGUGAAAUUCGUCGUUUUGUAUCAAUUCAAGCUUUCGCGAGCUCAUGGAAUCACCUGGUGAGUUGUGGUGAAACGUUAUCGUUUCAAUUUUCGCUUAAUUCUUUAUUGCAUAUUUUUUCUCUAACAUUUCAGUUUAAUUUAGAAAAGAAAGAGGACCCAAAAAGAGAGAGAGAGAGAGAGACUCUACCAUACUCAAUUCCUUGCUCAUUCUGAUUUGGCCUGAAUGUUGGCAUUGACUAUUAUUUGUUUUCAUUUCGAUUUAAUUCUCAUUUAGACAGUCUUUACUAACGGUCAAUAAUAGUUUAAGGAAAAUGAUAAUAGGGAUUCUGCAAUAAUCUUUUUAAGGAAAAUGAUAAUAGGGAUUCUGCAAUAAUCUUUUUAAGGGAUGUAUAACUUAUUAAUCAGAGUCCUGUUAUUAUGGUUUGACACUACUGACAUAUUGUGUUGGUAUUUAUUUGUACUUCCCUUGGUUGAAUUAUUUGCUGUCCCCAUGCCAUUCGAUAUGGUGCUACUUGGUUUUUGAUCAUCCAUGACGCUAUAUAUAUGUAAAGGAUGAAUUGAUUGUUUUGGCUUGUAUUCUCACAUUUUAUGAUUGAUCGAUGGAAAGGUCUUCAUGUAUUAAAUUCAACCUCACAAGCGUAAGAUUGACAGAUUCUGGGCAAAUUUUCAGGAAAAGAAACUAGACUUCAUGGAAGCAAUGAAGCUUGAAAUUGAACGUCUGCAGCUGAAAGGGAUAGAGCUUUAUUGUCAAUUGGAACUGAUCCUGCCUCUAUAAAUCCAAAUGUAUUGCUUGAUGAAUCUUACAUGGGAAGACUGUCGAGUAGCAACCACUCUUGCAUUACUUGGCCAAACUUCCCUAGAAGACAAAAUUGUUGGUGCAAUGGCCUUGAGAAUAGUGAUGAUAGUGUUUUAGACUUCUGGAAUAUUACUAGAAUCGGAGAGAGUUGUUCUGGUGGCGCGUGCAAGGUUCGUGCAGAAACUAAGGUGCCUGCUCUUGCUUCCUCAACUGCAGCAUCUGUUGGAGCUUCACAAUCCCCUUUGUUGUGUUCUCUGUUGUGUUCUCUGUUGUGUUCUCAAUGUGAAAGAAAAGUUUGCAAAGUUUGUUGUGCAGGAAGAGGAGCUCUACUGUUUUCAAAUUAUAAAUCAAGGGAUGUGACCAACUACAAUGGCUUCUCAAGUCAGAGUGGAUCAAGCCAUGGAAGCCAAGUUGAUGUAUCUACCAGUCGUUCACUAACACUGGAUGGCGUUAUCUGUAAACACUGCUGCCAUGAGAUUGUGCUUGAUACAAGUUCACAACACCAUUACAAAGGAUUCAAAAUUCCCACACGAAAACAUCAAUGUACAGAUUAUAAACAAUCCGAAUUGGACACAAGAAAAACCCUUCAAUGGAUUGCUUGCCUUCCCAAUGCUAUAUACUGUGCAAACUGCGCACUGUCCAAGAAAAUGUUUUCAAUUUAGUGUAUUUUCAAAAUGCUUAUUUUCUCAGAAUAUAUAAAAAAAAAAAAAGAAUUCUUACAUGUUUCAUCAGCAUGAUUAAAAUCAAAGAAGAAAGCGAGACAUAAUGUCUCUGACAUAAUAAAAUUACAAAAAUUUAAAAAAAAAAAAGUUAAAACAUGUAAUCUUCAUAAGCAUAUAAUAAAAUAACACUUCCACAAAUUACUACAAUUUCAUGCAGUAGAGAUUGAAGAGUUGAAUUCCACUUAUAGACACCGACCUCUUAUUUUGUCUAAUGUUAACAAUGAAAAUAACAACAGUAAUGAAAACAACAACAGAAUACAACAACAGAAAACAACAAUCCGCUCUGCAAAUUCUCUUGGGACUUGGUUCCAAUUCCUCUUCAUCCGAAGUUCCACUCGAAUCAAAUUCACUUGCAGCAGUUCCACUCGCGCUUGGCAAAUCAUCCAAUUUCCAAACUUCGGUAGCAAAAUUGAGAGUAAAAGUGUUGGCUUUGGUCUCGCUGGGAUUUGCAUAUACUGGACAUACUCCGUAACGUUUUACCUUGUGACCCUUUUGGUUUUGGUAACAAUUAUUGAAGAACUUAAGUGAGACAGUUGUAUGAUGGUAACCAUCAGGAAAGCCAACAUUCAAGCAAGGUUUAAAACCAAGUAUGACAUGAUCUGAAUCAAGGGAGUAUUUAUUUCUAACACUUGUGGUUGCGGGCCCACUGAAACCUAGAUCAACAUGUUUGGUUUCAGAGAGAGUCUUUAUUUCUAAGUCGAGUUGAGAGCGGCCGAAAACAUUGCAGCAAUAACAAGAACCAACUUUCUUAAAAUUAAGAACCGCACAAAAAGCAAACCCGAUUAAGUUUCUGCAAGAAGAGUGCGGUGGCAGUUGAAUACCUAUCGAAGAUCCUGAACUUUGAUUGUUGAACCAGUCAGGAAUUUCGCUCCCAGGUAAAACAAUUAGGGAUGUCCUGAGUUCAGAAAGUUUCUGUGAAAUGACAUUUAAAAAAAGAAAAUUGUAAAAUGAAAACCAUGAUUUCAGAUAUAACAAAGAGGGACAGAGUAAACAAGAGAGGGAACUUGAUGCGUUCUAAAUGUUCCAUUUUCUCCAAGAUUUCUGGGAAACGCUCAAGGUUCAAGCAGCCAUGAAGAAAAAGCUCAACCAAAGAUUUCAAUUUACAAAACCUAGUUGAAAUCCUCUUCAGCCGUUCGCAAUCCCUCAAAUCCAACUUUUCAAGAUCAGUUAGGCACUCUAUUGAUGAUGGAACUUCUUCUAUUGCAGACUGGCUUAAGUAUAGCCGUGUAAUUUUCCCAGAAAUCUGUGGAAACUCUACGAGAUUAACACAAUAGGAGAAAUUAAUAGUUACUGGACAAACAAAAUGAAGAUUGCUUGGAAAAGACCUAAGACUUUUGCAGCCCACAAAAUCCAACCUACUGAGAUACUUGAAAUUCUGGAUAGAUGAGGGAACACAAGCCAUUUCUCCUUCCCAAAUUUGCUCAACUUUACUAAAACGCAAAUUCAGUCCAACAAGGUUCUUUGGCUUGAAAUUUGAUGGCAGUGUCCUUAAUGGAUAUGUGUCCCAAUGAAGAUAUCUCAAUUUUUUAGGAAGAUAAUCUAGGCCAUUUGGAAGCUGCACUUUAGAGUACGAAAGUUGCUCUUCAAUGCUCAUACUUAGAAGCUUUUCAAUCUCAUACUUAGGUACAUAAAAUUUGAGCAAUCUCAGAUUAGACAUAUUUGUGAAGGCUCCGGGGUCUAAAUUGAUGCCUUUUAUUUUGGACAAAUCCAAAAAUAUGCCUUCAAUUGCAUCGGUCCCCUUAUUAAAAAAAAAAAAAAAACAAAGAAUGGGUAAGCCUAAAACAGAAAAGAAACAUUCGUAAACUUUAUUAACUAAGAGCUCCUAAAACAAAACAAAUUCUACGAUCUUUGAUCUUAUUUUUUUAAUAUAUUAAAUAUCUAUAUGCGAGAAAAGAAAAUUUUGGGAACCAUUGCAAAAUUAAACUAACCGAAAAAAAAAAUCAAAAUUUCUCUAAUUUACAAACCUGUUAUCUUACUAUCUAGAAGUUGAGAAGACAGGGCCUAUUUGAUUGGUAUAAGAUUUCGAUUUUUUUUUUAGUCCAUAGAAUCCAAAAUGUUAGUUCAAAAUUAGGGAAAAAAAUGAAAGUUAUUUUUUUUCCACUAGUUGUAAUUGUAUCCAAGUCAAAUUGAGAUAUGACCCUUUUCGAAAGGAUUUAAUCAUCUUAUAGCCUCCUUAAAGGAGUGAUUGGAGGCCUAACUAGGUAGGCCAAUCAGUCCAUUUUAUUAGCGACUAUUGCUUAAAAACAUUUAUACUCUAAAACACACUUACUUUUUUGAAAAAAAAAUAUAAUUAUAUUGAAGUAGAACCAGGUGGGCCAAUCCUCAUGGCACUCACUUUGUUCUGACACUCUUCACUAAAUUUGAAAAAAAAUAAAAUUAUACUCUUCACACUCUUAUUCAACAUUCCAAAAUUGAUAAAAUCUGGAGUUUUCAUUAAAAAUUUAAAAUUUGAAGACUUGUUCUCUUGACACCCUCAGUCAUUAAUUUUACCUAAUUAUGGUUUUUAUGAUUUUGGUUGUUUUGUUCAUAAAAAUGAUUUUACUAAAGGAUGUUCUGGUAAUAAUAAAAUUUAUAAAAAAAAACAUGGUUGUGCUGGUAUGAUUGGAAAAAUAUGAGUGCAUAACUCCAAACAAAUAAAAGAUAUAUAAAAAAAAAUGGAGGAUUCUUACCAUAUUAUGCUUUAGUACGCGGCGGAUUUCCUUAGGAUCCCACAACCUCUUGCGUUUGCCUGGCUCUUUCUCAGAUUCUUGGCGUCGCCCCAUUUCUUGCAAUAUAUCAUGCAUUUGCAAGCGGUUAUAUGACACUGUUAUGAGUGACUUAUCAACAAGGACAUCCAGUCCAACAGACUCAGAAUCAUCAAGAAUCCUUGCCACAAAAUCUUUAUCCUCUCCCUCAAAGAAACACGCAAUAUCUAGAAAUAUGCUCUGCACCCUGGGCGUUAAUUCAUCAAAACUAAUCUUUAAUUUCUUAUAAAUAGCAUGAAUAUCAGAUUCACAAAUCCGAUUUAAGUCGUGCAAUACUUUUCCCCAAUGGCUUUUCCCCUUGAGGGAGGAACCCAACACUUUAAGAACUAAUGGAUUGCCAUCAGCAUACUUUACAACUCUCCGUGAGUCAGGUUUGAAAUCUUCAGGACAAUGCUUUUCUUUAAAAGCGAAGUUACAAAAAUGCUCGAAAGCCUCAUGAAAAUCCAUUCCAUUAACCCUAUAUAUUUUCUUCUCCUCCACUCCAAAUUUUUCGAGGACUCCUUUAUCCCUAGUGGUUACAACAAUUCUACUUCCUGGAACAAAUUGAUCAAGCUCUCCAAUCAGACCCUCUAAUUGUCCAACUUCAUUCACAUCAUCGAGUACUAUCAACACCUUCAUACGCCGGACCCUCUCUUUAGUAAAAUGUGGAAUAUUGGCACCAGCUACUUCAAGUUUUUCGCUUAAUAUUGUUGAAAGCAUUUCCUUUUGUAGGUCUUCUAGGCCACCCUCUGUUUCUGAUUUUCUCCUAACAUUUUUUGCAAAGUAUUUACCAUCAAACUCACCAGAGAAUUGAUUGAAAAUAGCUUCAGCAAGGGUGGUUUUGCCGAUACCACCCAUGCCCCAAAUUCCAACAAUUUGGACAGUAUCCGACAAAUCCAUACACAAAAAUGGUUUAAUCUGCUCAAUUCGUGAAUUUAAUCCAACUAGGCCGUUGGAUGAGUCCGUUGAGACUGUUAUUUUUUCCAACUUCUUCAAAACAUCUUCGACAAUUUUGUUUACAAGUUCCGCAUCGUGCCUAAUAUAAAGGUGCAAAGAUGCAAAAACAUUGAGUCAAAUCGGGCCAACACAGAAACAGAGAUAAGAUGAAUUAGGAAAGAGAGUUACCUGAAUUUCGUGGAUUCGUGGCCAGCAAGACCGGAUGUUUCUCUCAGUGCAUCCCUCCACCUCUGAACCAUUUCUGGCUUCUCUUUGAACUGUUGUUCGAGCUUACCAAAGCCGACCCCAAAAAUCCCAGUUUGAUGCCGCACAUCGGACGGACUUACGCCAUAGAAAACCGGAAUAAUGAUUUGGCCGUUUGUGUGCUUGCAUUCAAGAAUCUCGACAAGUUCAUACAGGCACCAUUUUGAAGAAGCGUAGUCCGUUGAGAAAAUGACCACCGAAAUUUUUGAACCUUGGAUUGCGUUCAAAAGGGCAGGUGAAAUCUCAUCUCCGCGCCUAAGCUCUUCAUCAUCAAUAAAUGUUCUGAUUUUCUUUCUUUUAGACAAAGCAUCAUAGAGAUGGCAAGUAAAGAUCGCACGAGUGUCCUCCCCUCUAAAAUUGAGGAAGACUUCAUAAAUGCAAGGAGAAGAAGCCAUGAAGGAAAUAUUAGAAAUUUGGUGACAGAAACAGAGAAUUAAUCUUGAGAGCUGAGAGAGGAGAUGUAAGAAUGAACAUGUGUGAAUAUUCUUGCGAGUACAUAGUAAAUAAUUGAAUGGCUCGAGCUUUCUUAGUUUCCUGGAAAUUUCCUGGAGCUUUCGUAUACAUGAUUUGUCAAGUCAAGAAACAUAGUCAUGAUAAUGGGGCAGACCAGGAAGAAAAGGAAAUUGGAAUUUUGUACAAUUUCUCCAGCGAGGAACUUUCACUGUCAUUACCUCACCGUUACAGUUUGGAUUAGGGUAAUUUUUACCCCGCACCCAAAUGUUUUGACAUACAGCACAACGCACCCAAUUCUUUUGCCCAUGAGCACCGCGCACCCAUUUCCGUUUAUUUUUCAGUUAACUGUAACAGAUCAGGGUAAAAUUGGAAUAACGCAUCAAAAUUUAAAAAUAAAAAAAUAGGUAAACUCGAUGUUUGCGCCAAAAUAAUUUCACAUCACUGUGCUUAUGUUCACUGCGUUUGCGUGUGAGACCAAGAAGCAUGGCCACACCUCCAUUGAUGCCAAAAUCGAGGAGGUGGGUGAAGAAGAAUUGGCGCCAAAAUCAUUCACAUAUGAUGUGCAAGGAAAUUAUUUCAGCCUUUAAAUACUUUUUUAUUACAGCAGCAUCAGCUAUUGCUCUGUUUCGAAGAUCUGCUCAAUUUCUAAGACAAUAGUUGGUUUGAGAGUUUAAGGGAAGUGAAUCCACUGAGCGUGCUAUUGAAGAAGUGGAGGUCAGUUUCAUUUCUUGCUCAAUUGUUUUAAUUUAUUCCAUUUUGUUUGCAUGUCAAUUAUUUACACAUUUUUAGCUGGAUUUUGCUUAUCUAUAAAACUUGAAUCAUUGUUAAUCAAAUCAGCUAUAAUUUACGCCUCAAUGUGGUUUGUAAGUUUAAGUUAUGUUGGAUUAUACCUGAAUAAUGUGGUGUUUGCGUUAUUGAUUUCAAUUUCUAUUGAUGAUUUUGAGUAUACAUAUUAGUGGAUGAAAGUUUUUAAUUAGGAUGAUUGGUCACGCAUAUAUGUCAUAGCAACUGUGUUUUUUUGGGUUAUGGUUGUACUGUAGAUCAGUAGUAGUAGUGAUUUGGAUAUAAACGCUAGUGCUUUUAUUGUAAAUGAUAGUGAUGAAGAUCCAGUGUUACAGAAUUUGAUGUAAAAGUUAUUGGUUUUUGGCUAAAUAUCUUAGAUAAAUAUGAUGCUCAUGCAAUCAAAUCCAAUGCUUAUGCAAUUUACACCAUGUUUAUGAUAAGUAAUUAAAAAAAUAAAUGACUAUUCCAGGUGAAAAUGGAUGAUGAUGAUAUUACAACUGUUCUUUGUACAUUCAAGGGCAAGACAUAUAAUGUUGGUGUAAUUGAUCCAGAUAAGUUUAGUAGAGUUUCUGUAAUUAACAAGGUUUUAGUUAGAGUCUAUGGAAGAAAGAUGAGGCCUGAUGAGAAGUUUACACUAAGUGUUUGGGUACCAUGGGUCUAUAAGGAAGUAGAGAUUAUGUCUGAUCAUGACUUAAUAUUCCAGCUGAGAGAGCAUAAUAAGAUGUUGUUCUACUGCAUGCAAUUGUAUAUUGAAGAAAUCCAUGUACCUCAUGAGUUUGUACCUAGAAGGGCUUUGUUUCAGCACUCAGCAGAAGAAAGCUUACAAGGGUAUGCUGAAACAAACUUUCCAGCCACUACUGACCUGCACAAACCUUAUACACAUGCUACAUCCACCAACACAAAUCCUUAUGAAAAUGACAGUAAUGACCAUUCGAACCAUGAACCCCCUGUCAAGAACUCCAGCAGCAUAAUGAUGCAUAAUGUUGCACUUGAUAGCAUCCAAUCACAGACCAAACCAGAUACCAACCCUGACCUAUAUCAAGACUUUUUGGAUACCUAUUUCAGAUCAUCACCACAACAGAAAACACCAUCAGCUGCCCAAACUAAUGCCGAAAAUAGUGAUAGUGAUAACACAUCUUCAUUUGGUACAAAUAAGACUCCUACUGAGCAGCUUCAACAAAACUUUGCCAUCUCUUCUGAGUUGUCCCCUUUAUUGCAGCAACAUGGACAUCAUGCAUCCCAAAAUGAACCUAUACCUUUUCACCAACCUGAGUUCUCAUCUCAACCAAUAACUCAAAACCCUCAGUCACAAGUUGUACAAGCAGAAAACUUCCAGCAACCAGAAGCCACUACACCAGCACUAGUAGAUUAUAACUCAGAUGAUAGCCAUUAUAGUGUAACUGAUAGUGAGGAAGAUCCAGAUCAUCCAUUAGGUGCUCCAAACAUUAAUAAUACUCCUAGGAAACCUUCUGUUAAUGUUGACUUAGGCUCUAUGCCUUCUGAUGAUAGUGAUGAAGAUUGUAUGCUAUCUGAUUGUGAGAGUGAUGACAAUGAGUUUGGGGAAGAAUCUGAUGAAGAGAUUGAUCAAGUGCUGGUCAGAAUGGAUGCUGUUAUGAGAGAGAACAUGUACAUUCCUAGUGAUACACCUGUUCAAUUCUUUAUUGGGCAGUGUUUUAGGAACUUCAGGCAGCUGGCAUGGGCAAUAAGGACUUAUGCUGUGGAAAACAAGUUCAAGGUUUAUAAGCACAAGUUUGAAAAAUCCAGAGUAACUGUUGGAUGUAAUUAUUUCAGGUGCCCAUGGUUUUUACAUGUUGCAAAAACUAGAUUUGGACAAACCUUUAUUGUUAGGAGGCUUCACAACGUACAUACAUGUCAGAGAGACUUAAAGAAUCCUGAAUGCACUGCAGAGUUCAUUGUUGCCAAGUUUGCUGCAACUAUAAUUGAGCAUCCAGAUACAAAGGUUGGGUGGAUUCAAAGUGAACUUAGAAGGAUGUAUGGAGCUAAGAUACACAAGUAUAAAAUUUAUAGAGCAAAGAAGAAGGUUUUACAGAGACAAUGAGCUGAUUAUGAGUCUAGUUACAUGUUGAUCAGAAAUUAUGCUCAGGCCAUACUUACUAAGAUGCCACAGGCCUUGGCAUUGGUUAAGGUUUUCAGGAUGCAUGGUCAACAACCUCAAACUCACUUUGACAGCACUGUUAUAUCUUUCCAUGCCCUCAGAGAUGGCUUCAACCAAGGUUGUAGACCCUUCAUUGGUAUUGAUGGAUGCCAUUUGAAGGGUCCAUAUAAGGGUGUUCUUUUAUCAGCAGUUGCUAUUGAUGCCAACAAUGGAAUCUUCCCACUUGCAUUUUGUGUAUGUAGUGUCGAGAGUACAACCAGCUGGACAUGGUUUCUAAGCCACUUUAGGGAAUUUUUACAAGAUACAAGACAACUGACCUUUAUGUGUGAUAGGCAGAAAGGAAUUCAGAAUGCUCUUGCCUUAGAGUUUCCUAAUGCACAUGUUAGAUUCUGUGCUAGACACAUCUUAGCAAAUAUUAAGUUAAAACAUCCUCAAUCUGACUUUAAAGCAUAUUUCUGGGCAGCAGCAAGAGCAUCAAACAGAAGGGCAUUUGAUGAUGCUAUGCAAAACAUAAGAGCAGCACAUGAGGGUGUAUAUGAGACUCUUAGGAGGAUACCACCAAAUUUCUGGUCAAGGCAUGCCUUUGACAAUAAUUGCAAGUCUGAUCAUUGCACUAACAACGUAACUGAAUCUUUUAAUGCAUGGAUUGGGAUUCAAAGAAAGUUGCCAAUAAUCUCAAUGCUGGAGUGGAUUAGGAAGAAGCUGAUGAAAAGAAUGAUUGGAAGAAGAAAUAAGGCAGAGUCUUGGGACAGUGAUAUACCAAGAAGAAUUUAUGCACAAAUGAUGAAGAAUUUACAGAUUGGCAGUGCAAACCCUAUCUGUAGAGCUAGUAAAUGGCUUUAUGAAGUGGAUGAAAAUACCAAGACUUAUAUCGUUGAUCUUGAACACCAUAUGUGUGACUGCGGACAAUGGCAAGUUAGUGGGAUUCCAUGUGUACAUGCAAUGCCUUGUAUUGUGAAUAGUCAAAAAGAUCAAGCUCAGUUCAUUAGCCAAUGGUUGAAGAAAGAUACUUACCUAAGGUGUUAUUCUGGAUUGAUUAAACCAAUUCCAGAUAGAACGUCAUGGGUAGAUGCUGGUGGUGAUGAAAUACUGCCCCCUUUAGUGAGAAGACCACCUGGACGACCUAAGAUGACAAGAAGAAGAGAAGCUGAUGAGGUACCAGCACAUAAUAAACGAUACAAGAUGCAAUGCACUAUUUGCAAGGGAUUUGGACACAACAGAAGGGGUUGUCCUGUUAACCCUCAUAAUGCUCACAAGACAACAAGACAAUAUAAGGUGAGUGUGUAUGCUUGUAAGAGAAUAUUCAAUUAUUUUUUGAACCAUGUUCCUCCCAUGUGAUGACAGCUAAUGUGCCUUGUUUGUUUGUGCUUUUUUAUAGAAUAACCUGAAGAAGCACGUGACAAGGACAAAUGGGGAGCAAAGUGAAGGUAUAAGAGUAAUUUACUAAGUUAUAUUACUAUAUUACUUUACAGCUGUAUUAGAUAAUUAUAUAGUUGUGUAUCACCAAACUAUAUUAAAUUAACUUAUUUAUUUAACGUUGCUUUAUUGGUAAUUUAUAAGGCCAAGUUCACGGAAUUACCUCAACUAUUUUGGAAAGCCAAGACAAUGACAUGGUCCAAGUAACUGUCUCAGGCCAAAACAUAACAAAGAACCAGCAGACUGCAUCUAACAAACGCAAGAUUGGCAAUCAAGCAGGGCCAUCAAAAGCAAAUGAAGUCAUUGGCAAGAGCAUGAAUGGGGUCAUAUCUGUAGCUCCAUGGGUAGGUGAACAGGGAAGAAAAGUAAUGUCAGCCGCUGGAUUAACCUUCAGCAAAGAGGAUGAAGUCGGCAACUAUACUGAAAUGAAGCAUUUGGACAAAGGGAAGGCACCAGCCUUCCCUUCGUAAAGGGUAAAACCAUAGUUUUCUAUUGAUAUAAAUUAAUAUUGGUUUUGGAAAUGAUAUUUAUAAUUUGUAACUUGUUUUGUAGUGAUUCUUUGGCUAUGAUGGAGACAUUGGCAGCAAACUUAUUAACAAACAGUGGAGGCAACAUUAUCAUUUUUUGACACCUUCCACAAUGCCACAUCAACCCACCAGGCACAAGGUUAAGGUUAUCUGGAUGCUGAUUUCAUUAGGAUCAAGUGGCCAAGUAAUGACCAGGCAUGUCAUUGUUUUCUUUUUCUUUUUUAUUUUGGAGCUGAAAUUGGUGGAAGUUGUUGGACAUUAAGCUUAAGCAUUAUAGAGCUGGAAGCUGUGAUGACCUACUAUAAGUAUGAUUGGAAGGGUUUAUGGCAUUUUGAAAGUUUUUGGGAUUAAGAUACAUAUAGGACUGAUAUCAACCAAACCAACACUUUUUUUUUUUGUUUUUUGGUCACAUGUAUGUAAACACCAGAUUGGAUGUGACUAACAUUGUAAGUUGCUGCCAAUAUGCAUUUAUAGAUAAAAUAACUUAUUGCUAUUAUUGAUAUCAUAUUUGAUUAAAUGGUAUAUGUCAAGAAACGAAUGCAUUUUAUUGAUCAUAAGAUUUCAUUUUACACAUUGUUCUAGCAUUCCUUACAGUACAAUACAAGCAAUACAAGUAUAGUUAUCACUAUAAUCGUGAUUUGAUACUUCUUAUUUUUAUGAAGUAAACCUUCAAUAUUGAUGAACCUGUUGUGGAAGUCCUCAAUGUUAAAUUGUUGAAUCUCACUUGCCCUGUCUGCAGCUUCUUCUUCAAACCUUUGUAACGCUGCUUCAAUUUCUAUAGCCUCACCUGUAGAUGGUUUCCACCAUCUAAAGAAACCACAAGAUGGGUCAUUAGGGCAUGUGUAAUAUAGUUUGUUGGGGUUUGUUUUUGAUUCUGACACUUUGAUUUCUGCCCUUCUUCGACAGUAGCAUACUGUGUUAUAGAACUUGAUGAUGCCCCCAUUGAUUUUAGGUAAAUCCCUUCUUCUGUUAUAAGUUGAUGAACUUGAUGCAUUCCUUGAAGUGGACAUUUUCUUCAAAUUUCCAAUGUCGUGUCUGUUAUAUUCUUUUUGAAAUACAGCACAACGUAUCUGAACUUCAAGUUGUUGUGCUUGUUUUGUGUGUGAAUGAAGCUGCUGUUGAAGUUGUAUUGUUUCGGUGGGUAAAACCAAAUGUUGUACUACUGUAAGUUGUUGCUGAGUAAAAAAAAUGGUGGAGUUUCCAGGUGAGUCAAUGAAAAUCACUGAGGUGUGAAGAGGGUAGGAAUUUAUAUGUGUUAAACAUCACAGCUUGUGGUGAUGCAUCAGCUCAAAUUUAUCAAUUUCUUUUACUGUUCUUGUAACCAUAUAGCCGUUAUUACUGUUGCUCAGAUUUUAUAGCCGUUGGAUUUUUGAUGCGCAUGGUAAUAAACCAAUAUGCUAAGGGCAAUAUAGUCAAUAUAAUUUAACAGUUAUAGUUGGUCUUCGUGUGUAAAUACACCUUUAAAUAAUGGCCAGUGGUAAAUUCCUUAGUUCAAUGACUCACCUGGAUGCAUUUGAAUUCAACGCAAGGGUAUAUUUGUCAUUUAAUCAAAAUAUAGACUGAUCCGUUACAAUUAACUAAAAAAUAAACAGAAAUGGGUGCGCGGUGCUCAUAGGCAAAAGAAUUGGGUGCGUUGUGCUGUAUGUCAAAACAUUUGGGUGCGGGGUAAAAAUUACCCUUUGGAUUAUGAUUUGAGGGUGCAAGUAUUUACCUAGAGUUUACCUCCGCACUAAAUUCUUAAGUUUUGAAAAUUAUGAGACCUUUAUAUUGGGAGAUAUUGUAAUCGAAUCAAAACUUAAAUUUUUUAUAAUGUUAAUAUUUAAUCUUUUAAAAAACAAUAACCUCGCCGUUACAGUUUGGAUUAAGAUUUGAGUAAGUAUUUACCUAAAUUUUACCUCCGUCUGUAAAUUCUUAAGUUUUGAAAAUUAUGAGACCUUUAUAAUCGAAUCAAAAUUUUGAAUUUCAAUAUUAUUAUUCUUUAAAAAAAAUUUUGAGAUAACAGAGUGAUUGAUAAUAUAGGAGAACUUGUCUAGGCAAGCACAUGUAUACACAGAAACGUGAUGGAUUCAAAAAGAAAUUAAAGUGAUAAUGCGAAAUCGCUUGGUGGCCCAGUAAAAUUACGACUGAAUUUUUUUUUUUUUUUUUACAAAAUUCAAGCUCAUAAAUGACAAAUUUCAUUUCCCUUUCACACGUCAUUAACUUUUGUAACAUGGUGUGUGCAUCGUCAAGUGAGGCAAAAGGGUUUCAAUUACAGUUGGAAAACAUGAACAAGAAUGCAUAAUGAAUAAUUCCUUCGAUAAACCGAAAAUUAAGCACAGAAUAAUCCUAAAAUUUAAACUCUAAUAUCUUAUAAUGUAUUGAUUAAAAAUAAUCCUAAGAGCUCCCAAUUGAAACUUUCAUAAGUAUUUUAAUUGUUUUGGAUAAACAAAUUGCACUAGGAUAAAAAUUUGGCAAAUUCAGAGGAUAAUGGAAAAUAGUUAUGCUUCAAUAGGCCAAAGAUUAGAGAACAAAUAAGAAUUAUUUAUUGAUAUACAAAAGAGAAACACUCCAAAAUUUCAAGCAAAAAUAGUUUCAUAUAUCAUUUCGAUUUUGAAAGGGAUGAGAUUUUGAACUUCAAUAGUUUCCUCUAAAAUUAAAAGGUAGCAAUUAAGCUAAAAAGAGCAAUGAAGACUUAUUGGUACCUUAUUAAAGGUAAACAUUAUGGAACUUUCAAUGUCAUUAUCUCACUGUUCAAUUUUUAUUGAGAUUUGUGUAAGCAUUUACCUAAAUCUUACCUCCGCCUUUAAAUUCAUAAGUUUUGAUUAAUUAUGAGACCUUAUAUUGGGAGAUAUUAUAAUCAAACUAAAACUUAAAAUUUCAAUAUCAUUAUUCUUUAAAAAGAAAUUGAGAUAUCAGAGUAAUAUCACAUAGAAAAACUUGCCCACGGACGGUAAGCCAAAAGUCUAGUCAACCACACGCAUAAAGCUAACUAGAACAAGAGAACAGAGAAACGCGUGGGUCCCUAAAAGAAAAGGCAAGCACAUAAAUAACUUUCAAAAUGCCCAAGCAAAUACCGAUGAAAAUCACUGUUUAAGAAUAAUUUAUUAUGUGGUUGAAGCUUUCUUUUUAUCAAUCUUCUUUCUACCCAUUAAUUUUCCCACGACUUUCCCGUUUCAUUUCUUGAAUCUCCAUGGAUUAACUUUCAAUAAACCAUAAAAUAAACUAAGGAAUCAUUUUCUCGAAUACAGCUAUGAUUUUAAUAAAUGGGCGGACCAUCUAGAAUAGUAUAUAUAAUUCUGUUUAAUUAAUAAGUUGAAAAAACCAUCAAGAGAAAUUCUAAUAUUAUGAGCUUGACACGAAUUCUUCACUAAUUCCAAAACAAGGAGCUGUUUUAUAAGAACUGUGGUUGGAUUAUUAAGUUUUACAAUUUGAAUAUAAAUAAGAAAAUAAAAUCAGUCGCGUUGAUGUUUUCGAUACAUUUCGCUGCUAACUUUUUUUUUUUUUUUAUUACAUGAGACUAUUGCUCAAAUUACAACUCAUAUUACAUGAGAAUAUAACUGAUAUUUACAAAUCAGACUAUAACUGGGACCAAUAUACAUCAAUACUAAUGGAGCGCUGCCCAGAUUUUAACCCUCUCAAAUAUUCAAGGGAUGUCUACACCUCACACUUGGGUAAGGAAACAGACUGUCUUCACUUAAAUUUACUUGAGGAAUGAAGACCCCCACAAUACAUUGUGGGGGUUCACCACUCGACCAAAGGCCGAGUGGCUCAUUUCGCUGCUAACUUAAUUAAUUACUUUACUUCAACUUUAUUUCCUUAGGGGCACUUUAUGGUGGGUCCAAGAUGGGACCUACAAUAAUCAAUCCUAAAAUUUAGUAUGGUUACCAAAUAGCUAGUAGCUAGUGUUAUUUUGUGUUUGGUGGAAGAGAUUGAAUAUUUAGUUUUAACUUAACCAUUCAACUAAUUAGAAAAUAAAUAAAAUUAAAUGAAAUGUUUAGAUAUCAAUUUAAAUAUUAAUAUCGGGGAUAUAAAUUAGUUAUAAUAUAGUUCAUUACAUAAAAUUGAUUAAAUUAAUAAUUACCCGUGAACAUAGAUGUAUAUGCUUUCCAAUUUCCAAAGUGCUCAAAGCACUUUUCUCACCAAACUUUCCUCUGAAUUUCCCGUAGCUGACUCCUUUGUUUGCGUUUUGUGAAAUUUCUAGGAACUUUUUUCGAUUUAGAAUAUUGUACAUUUUUCUUUUCAGCUGAGAUUAAUUUAACUUAUAGAAAAUCUUAUCCUUUUUUAAUAUUAUUUAAAUAAAAUUUGUCUAUCUUUUAUUUUAUUAGUCUACUUUUUACCCAUUAAUUAAGACUUUUCAAUUUCUUUUUUACCUGAGGUUUUCAGUGACUAUCUUUCAAUAAACCAUAAAAAUUACUUAGUCAUUUAUCGAACAAUUAGAUGACCAUAUUUCAAAAUAUCAACUAGAAGUUGUCCUGAAAUAUUUAAUUAAUAGUUGAAGAAUUGUGAUUAGUGUGGGCAUCUACAUAAAAAUUAUAUUAAAACACCGCUAAAAGAUAAAAAUAAAAUAAAAUAGUACAAACAUACACCCAUAGGUUAAAACAAAGAAAAAACACGAACCAAUACACUAAAAUGUUUUAGCUGUAGUUAGUUUUCAGUUUCAUUACUUAAGUCCCACGUGCAUGUCACGUGACUGAGGUCAAAAAAUGAUUGUCACAUUAAAGUUCAAAAUACGGAGCAGGGUAAUUAAGGAGUGGAGCUAUUGGCACCCCUCCAUUAUUCUUACAAAACUCCACUUUAAAUCAAAAUAUAAUUAAGAAUAAUUGAAAAUUAAACACUUAUAGAUUUCUUUACAACAUGUUGAGUGAUAAAAAAGCACCAGUCGGGCAUGUCCCCAUUUCUUACCCGGUGCCGAAUCUCCACGGUCGAAUGGUAUGAGUAGACUCUUGGUGAUGUCUUCUAUGUGGAGCACGUAACAACAGACCAGGAACUAGUACCAACCAAAAACGAGUACUGAUCGAAACAAGCAUGACCAGAAACGCAUACCGACCAGAGACUUGUGGGUCCGUAAAAGAAAAGGCAAGCACACAAAUGAAAAAGCCAUUACAUUUCUAUUUUACAUGUCAUUCCUAAUUUUUGUAACACGAUGUGGCAGCAUAUGCACAAUCAAAUGAGGCAAAAGGGAUUCGACUAUCGUGGCAGAACAUGGACGAGGACGCGUGAUGAAUAAUUCCUUCGAUAAAACGAAAAACAAACGCAGAGAAAAGAAUUUCUUAUAUGACAAGAAAUUAAAGUAAUGUGACGGAACAUGAUGAAGAAAUUGCAGAUCGAUCAAUUAUCCCCAUGGACUCCUAUAAAUUCAACCAAAAUAACAAUUCCAAUAUUACCAAAUUCUUGAGUUAAAUUUAUUCAAUGCUUUUUUUUAAGAGAAAUUUUUUCCAAUGCUACUUUCCCUUUUUUGGGGAAAUUAGAACUGCGGCAUGUAUAGAAGACAUUGAGGUAUAAAGCAACAUUAAUUUCAUGGGUUAUGCGUUAUACGCAUAAUAUAUUUUCAGUCCAAAUUCAACUAUGCAAAGAGGCUUGAGAACUUAAAAUUAAGCACAAACUAAACAGACGAAGUAAAUACAUGAUUAUGCAACAUAACAUUAAUUCUCUUAAUUUAUAACCGUUUUGCCACAUGAAUCUUGCACAGUUAAUCCUAAUUGAAGACUAAAAAAGAACAAUUGGAACAAGGUUUUGAAAUAGAAUGAUAGACAAUCGAUAUGAUCCAUUUCCAGUCGUCAACGCUAAUUAACUGCAGUUUCUAGACUCCUAAUUAUACUAGCCAUAAGAAACUGUUUAGAAAACUGGUGAUCAGAUUAGAUUUUGAAAUGAAAUAAUGUUCAUUUUCCCUUCGUUACCCUUUUAUUUAUUUAUUAUUUUUAUACCAAAGAAUUCUAUCAUGAAACGAAUCAAUUUAAUCACCUUUUCCAGCAGCACAAUUUUUCUUUUAUAAAAUUUGACCACAGAGACAAAGAAGAAUUAUUCAUACCUUCAUCAGUAAGGAAAUACUUUUCGGUAUGGCUAGGGUGAGAAAAGGCUUUCCACAAACACUUGUACUUUGUAUUCCUGUAAAUUUUCUUUAAAGUCAAUAAAAAUCAUAAGUUCUUUACAAUAACCAUCUCUUUGAUAAAAAAAGUGCCGUAUUCCUUUAGAAUUUAAAACCGGCAAAAUCGAAUCAGUGUCUUUGAAGAGACAUAAUGGUCAUAAUUCUUUAAAGAGUUGGCUAUGGAAAUCCUUAUCCAAGAUUCUUUUACGCCAUAUUCUUUCGUAAACCAAAAUUCAUUUUGGAAUACUCUGUUGAGAAUGUCAAAUAAAACGGUAUUGAAGGAAGUUUUCAAAGGCAGAAUCCGCACUUGUCAAAGGGAUGAUCUGCAUUUGUCAGAGACACAAUCUGCGUCGAAUGAAUCGACACAUUUCCUUUUGUAUUCGCAUAUGUAAUUUUUGAAAAAAUGUAGCUUCUGCAUCUAUAAAUAACGCUCAGUGUAUAAUGUUUUAUUCAAAAAAAGAAAACAAGUUUCUUCAUACUCGUCGUCCGAACAUACAGAGACCGUCUCUCAUAACUUCAGCCGAAUACUUAUGAUGAUGAUCAUUUGUGAUUUCAUCAGGCAUAGGGUUGAUGGUGAAAAAUUUUGUAUGUGUGAAGAAUUGAGCUGUGGAUAUAGGGGACUUAAGUGUAAUCGAAAGAGAGUUAUUAGGCCAUAGUGUAGAUUGCAUUCAGUUUAUGAGUCGAUAUGCAAAUAAUUUGUUGACGUGGCGAAAUUUGUUAUGGUCGUUACUAUUGUUUCUGGAAAUUUUCUAGAAACCUCAGCAUAAAAGGGGCUUUUGGAUAGCCUCUGGUGUGCGUGUGAUUUCUCUUUCGUUUCCUCAUCAAAUUCUGUAAUUCUUGCUUUGAUAAAAAGCUUGUAAUCUCUUCUGUAAUUGUGAUCAGUGCGUAAUCAUUUUGAGCGAUAAAAGCUUGUAGGUUUUUCCUUCAAACAAUGUCGUUUUGGUCAGUUUGUUAGUUUGAUCUGUUGGUGGAAUUUUCUUUGGUUAUUUGUUCUCAAAUUUCAACCUUAUAUAAAGUUUGAACUCUAAUGGCUUAUAAUGUAUUGAUUAAGAAUAAUCCUAAGAGUUUCCGAUUGAAAUUUUUAAUGACUAUUUUUAUUGUUUUGGAUGCACAAAUUGCAUUAAGAAAAAAUAUUGUCAAAUUCAGAGGAUAACGGGAAAUAAUUAUGCUUCAAAAGGCCAGAGAUUAGAGAAUAAAGAAGCAUUCAUUACUGAUAUAAAAACUGCUUCUAUUUGGAUUUUGAAAGGGGUGAAGUUUUGAACUUCAGUUGUUCCUCUAAAAUCAAAAGCAAUAAUUAAGCAUUCUCAAUUAGAAAGAGCAAAGAAGACUUAUUGGUACCUUACUGAAGCUAACAUUAUGGCACGGUUGUUCAUAUGUAAUGGCUGCUCUGUUAUGCUAGCUUCUCUGUUUUUGCUUCUAUUUUUGCUUACAGUUUUGAAGAUAAAUUCUUGCUCAAAUAACACAUAAUUAAAUAACACUAAUAUGGCUCAUGAAAUCCUAUAAUAGCUAAUUACGCAACUUUCUCCUCCUCCUCAAUUCUGUCUUCCCCUGCUCGGACACUAACUUCAAAAUUCAAUGCCCCGAAAAACAACACAAGAAAUCUUUGAGUUAGUUCGUGACCAGUUUAUAUAUAGUAGCAAUUGAAAAAAGAAAAAGAAGAAAAGAGUUAAUUAUUUUUCAGACCUUCACUUAUUAGGAAGUUUGUUCUGCUAUUGGGUGAGAUCAAGCUCUCAGCAUAUACUUCCACAUGAUACUUUCUAACAUUUUCUUGAAAGCCAUCAAUCAUUAAAUCUUCAUACUUUUUUCCAUCCUUUGGAUCAAUAAGUACAAAUUUCUCAUCUAAAAAAGACAAAAUAAAAUCACUGUCCUUCAUGGAAUCAGAAUUGAGCUUACAAAAACCGAAGUGGACAGUUCCAUUCAGAUUGGUCGCCCGAGAACAAUGAUGAGAAGACUUAAAAUCAGUUUCAAAGGUUUUCCAAGUAUUGUUCCUCUAAACCACUUGUAUAUUUUACCAGAACUCUUGGUUAAGAAAAUCCUAGUCCAUGGAGUAUGAUAUAUCAAUCAUGCAACAAUGACCUACAACAUCUAUGUGGAUUGAUUUUUGCAAAAUAAAGAACAAUGCUGACUGAGGAAUAAGGUGCAUACCCGAUUAGCAAUAUCUCAGCAAGUAACCAACAAUUUUUUAUCUGAUAAGAAAAAAUUACAAUUUCUUGAAUAUACAUGAAACAUUUUGCAGAAAGAACCAUGUCAUAAUUAUUAGUCCAACUGAAGAAUUAUCAAUACUUAUCACAUGAAACGAAAGAUACCCGAGUUCACUUAAUGAAAUUCUCUUUUUUUUUUCUCUAACAUUGAGAUAAGCAAAAACUUUUAACUAAAGACAAUCAUCUAGUGAUCUCAAACAAAUGAGGUUAGUAUGAAACCAUCAUAAUUUGUUCGCUCAUUGCCUAAUUUUAUUAAUGCAAGAGCCUGGAAGCAACUCAAAAAGAAAAUAACCGACAUAGGAAGUGUCAUCUCAUAUCUCACCAAUGAAUGGGAACAGCUUGAUGUGGCUGAGCAAACUGGCAGAAUUGUCAUUUUAACACACGUUCAAGAAACUCAGCAAAUUCUCAUAUCUGUUUAAAUUCCACAGCAAAGAUAGUUACAAGAAAUCUAAUCAAAAUUUAAAAUGUCAGAAGGCAAAUCUUCCAAUUAGGAUCAAAAGAAGAUAAUUAUAAUUUGUCAUUUCAAUUCUGAAUGUACAAUUUUAUUUUUUUAUGUGUGCAUUAAUUAAGAUUCUACCUUCUCUGCAAAAUUGUGAUGGACUUGGUAAAUAAUGAAUUGUAUCGACUUGAAUUUUAUACAACUUAUUGAGAUAAUAAUACGCCAAAUUCAACACCGUCCAUCCCAAAUCACAACAAGAAACUCAAACUUUUAUCCCCUCAAGUGGGUUCUUGAAACUGAAGCUUUAGUGCCAGUACAAUUUUGAAAGAUUGUGAUCAAACUAAAACAUCAAAUAAAAUAAGACGUAACAAAAACACGUCUUCAGAAAAUUAGUAUAGGAAUAAGAUAAGCUACACAGACCUACUUCAAUGAAUUAGAAAAAUUAUGAUAAACUUGAUGCAUUUCGAAAAACAACAAACAAAUAUUCCCAGGAAAACAAAAAAAAGACAACUUUGUUUAAGCUUAGACAAAAAUAACUAAGGACAUAUGAAUGCAUCAUAAUAGUAUCUCUAUGGGUAAUUUUCAGAAAUCUCCCCUAAGGUAUGGUGUAUUCUUAGUUUGAUAGAAAAUAUCUAAGUAUUCUUAUAGACCUCCCCUACUGUUAGUAUUCCAUUUCGUAUAUGUUAGGUAGAUGAGGGUAAGAUCGUAAUUUGAAUAAGUUAAUGAUAAAAAAUCCAGAAAUUUUAAGAUUUUCACAUUGGCCUCUGGGCUUUAUUCAUCUCUUUCAUCCACCAAAACCAGAAAUACAACUCACCUCUCUCCUCCACCUAAAUCGAAGCAAGGUAGCUCAAAACUCAUUUCAAAAAAUUGAUCAAUUACUUGGGUCACAAACUAGAGACAAUGACGACGAAGUUGAUGACGCCAAUAUCGACGACGAAGCUGAUGACGCCAAUAUCGACGACGAAUGAUUCGCAACUGCCAGGUAAGAGAGUAUAGUAGGUUUCGCCAUCGAACGCCCAAUCAUCCAGUUGUUUUGGAGCCGCGUUAUUUUUAUUAGCUAAAAUUAGAAUUUUUAGUGAAAAAUUGAAAGUGGGUCUCAAAAUUUUUUGAGAGCGUAUAUGUUUCUCCUGAUUUUUCGAUCGAUUCGUGUUAGUUGCAGUUAAAUGAUUAAUCCAAUUCGUGUUGAAGAUAGAGCUAACUCGAAUAUCUCUAUAGUCCUGUAAUUGAUUGAAAAUGGGUCUUGAAAAUUGUUUUAGAUUUCAGCUGUGUGCUUCUGAUUUUUUCCAUGGAUUCAUGAUAGAUGAAAAUGGUUGAUGAAGAUUUGCUUGACAUGUAUAUAGAUGGUAUUUUGUUAAAGGGGUUUUAAUUUUUUCCUUUUUUGGUGGUUUCGAUUGUGGUAUUUACAUGCCUUAGGUUGAGAAAAACGAAAAUGGUUUGUUGCACUCUUUUGUGUUGGAUCAGUGAGUUUAGGCGAUUUGAAAUGGUUUGCGGCAUUCAAUUGAUUGUUUUAUUUAUGUGGUUUGAUAUGGGAAAAGUAUAAUAAAAUUCAAUUGUUCCAUAUGUCAAUUUGGAUGUUUUGAAAUUAUGAACUACAAAAAGUUAAAAUUAAUUUCUUAUUAUAUUUUCAAUUGAAAGUUACUAUUGUCUUCUUUUUAGUACUUAGUAUGCAUUUUUCCCCAUCUUCUAGUGGUGGUGUUGCACCCAUUUUGAAUUUGAUCGGCAUCUUCUUCUGUACAUGCAUGUUUCUUGGACUCCAAUUUUUGUUUCAUAUGAUGAAGCUAAUUUAAUUCCUCCUUUUUAAUAUCAACUUUGUUCAUCUAGGUUUGCGAUUUUGAUCUUUCUCAUUUGAAGGCAAACACAUUUAUGUCAUCAAAAUUUCCAAUAUUUUUUAUUUUAUAGUAUCCAAACUGCUUAUGGCAAUAUGAAAUUGAGAAUAUUUCUUUCAUCAUGUUAACCUAAGUGGAUGGUGGAUGAUGUUUGUGUAAGAGAUUUAAGUUAUUUGUAUUAUAGAAUAUGUCUUAUGUUUUGAUUUGCAAUUUCACCAUUAAAUUGGCUUUGUAAAUGAUUAGAAGCUAAAUGCAUAAAAUGAAAACAAUAGUAACAUUUCUGAGUGGGGUAUAAUCAGAUGCUAACAUGGCGAUCCAUGACUUGUAAUUUCUAUUGUCGUUAUAAUUGGACUAGAUCGAGGUAAACUGACUUUUCUUGUUCUGUUUUUUUUUUCAUUUCUUUGUUCUAGAUUUUUCUUUCUUUGUUUUACUUCUGGUUUCUUCUUCAGCAUAUUCAAUAACUAGCAUGAGCAAAUGGAGAGGAAAAGGGUAGAAUAUGCUUUUAAAAAAAAAGAAAAGAAAAAAAGAGAUAGCUCUAAUUCAAAAAUAAGGAGGAGAAAAGGGCAAUGAUUGAAGUUGUGGAGAAGAAAUUCUUAAUGCAUAGGAGAUGACAACAAAGUGUUGCAACUGGGAGCAGUUUUAAAGUGCUAUUCGAUUGCUUUUGUAAUCAAAUUGUCUUUUGUACCUAUUUAUACACACACAUAUUUGUAUUUGUAAUUUGAAUUUUACAUUUUCUCAAGACAACUAUGUUUAUUUUAAAAAAAAUCUAAAUGUAACUAAAAUAUUAAAGUUUUUGUACUUAUUACUCCAUUUGAUGAUUUUUUUUAUUUUUUUGCUGACGAAUAUUCCAUGUCAAUUUUUUUCCCUUCAGCUCGUUUAAGGUGUUUUAUUGUCUGAUGUGAUAUUUGGUGCUCGGGAGGAAGGGUGUUUUAAGUCUUUUUUGGUGUCAGGGGCAAUUUUGUCUUUACAUCAGUCAACAAAUAGUCAAUGGAUGGAAAUGCAAACAGCAGGGGAGGUGUCUGAUAAUACACGGAUACUUUCUAUCAAACUUAUAAUACACAAAAUCUCAGGGGAGGUUUUUGAAAAUUACCCAACUGUGCAAAAUUAUGAAAAAAAUGAGCUAAACAUAUAUAGCAUUUCAGAGGAGUGCUUACUUGACAAAUCACUAAUACAAAGCUGCGAAUGGGCAUUCGGAAUGUUUUGAGAGACUCGUAUGGAUAAAAUAUGUAGUUAUUUAAGUAAUGACAGAAGGAGAAUCGUGUGGCUUGUCAAAGCCGUUAGCUCCAUCUCAUUUGCCUCGUCCUCUCGUUUUGUUUCUGUGGGGACAUAUUUGAUAUUUUGGAUUUUGUCUAAAAUUCGUCAUGUUUUUGGAUACUAACAUCUGCGCCUCUAGACCAAUAGCCAUUUGAUUAAGUGGGAGAACCCUUACACUAGUGUAAGAAUUUGAACUUUUAUAAAAUUAUUUAUGAGAUUAUUUAUAAUUUUUUUUAAUUAUCAAAUAAUUGAGUAGAGUCAGUUUAAUCCUUACGAAAUAUUUACUAUUCAUAAAUAUCUUUUUUUUUCUCUAUCUUACAAUUGAAUAUUCUCUCUCUACUCCAACAUUAUGUAACCUAAAUAUUUAAUUUCACUCUUUUUUAAUUUAUUUUUUUGUCUUUUCUUAGUAUAUUAUAAUCUUUAUUUCAUGUUUUCUAUAUAUAAGAAUUUUUUUAUAUCUAUUAAAUUUUGUGUUUAGUGAAAAUUAAUUUCUUGAUAUUUUUAAUUUUUAUAAUUGAUAAAAAUAUAUCAAUGUUCAUUUUUAAAUGAUGGGUUUUGUUCAUUUUAGUUUGUUAUAUUAAUUUUUUGUAGGUAAAAGAAUAUAUUUGAAUGAAUUGAAGGAAAAUUGUGAAAUUGAGAAGAGAAAGAGAAGAAAAAGUUAAUUAAAUAAUUUUUUCAAAAAUUAUUUAAAUAAUAAAAUUCUUAAUUAAAAACAAAGAUGGAGAGAGAAAUUUAGUGGGUUCAAAAUACUUAUUUUAAAUCCAAAAAAGAACCAAUAAAAGAAAUCAAAAGAUGAUUCUUUUCUUUCUGACAUAUUUCUCUGUACUUUUCUCUCUCUACUGAUUCACAAUUUUUCAUACUUCUAACUAUCAUUUUAUUCAAGUAUUUUGUAUUUUUAAUGACAAUUAUUUAAUUUUUAGUUAGUUUUGAUAUUGAUUAGAGAUUUAAAGUGUAUUUUAGAAGACUUCCGGUCUCUUGAAAAAAGGAAAAAUGGAGAAGAAGAAGUGUUCUUGAUUUUUUGUAGGCGUUAAAGUUAAAUGGUUUGAAAUGAUAUUCUUUUUUAAUUUCACUCAUUAAUCUCAUUCAAGAUAAAAUUAUAAAUGCAAAUAAAUGGGGUUUCAUAAGUAUUUUUAAUAGUGUUAAAAGGUCUACUCACUAAAUAAACAUGUUUAACCCAAACCAAUGCGAUUAGUAAGUUAUUGGGUUGGGUUAAUCAGGUUAAAAAUCAAAAUUAAAAAUUAAAUAAAUAAAAAAGGUAUAAAAACUAUCUGUUACUUGAAAAUAAAAAGAAUUUCUAAUUGUUAGUUCUAAUGUCCCAUAUCCAAAACAUGCAUAUUAAAUAAAUAUUAUAAGUUAGAAAUACAAUAUCCAAGAAAGAAUGAAUGAAAUACCAUAUUUUUGUUGAGAAUUAAGAGUGUGAUUUUAAUUUUGAUAUUGGAGUCUAAAGUGCCACGUUUAAAUAUUCUCUUUUAUAAAAUAAUAAAAAGAGGUUAAAAAUUAGGUUAGCAAUUUAGCCAUUUAGGGUUUAGCAAUUAAGGAUGAACAUAUUAUUGUUGUUGUUGUUAUUAUUAUUAUUAUUUAUAUGUUUACUAAUCCAAUCCAAUCCAAUUAUUAACGAAUUUGAAAAAAUUGAUUCAAUCAAGCCAUAAUAAUUCAUUCAACUCGUCUAAAUUGGAUUAGGUUGAAUUUGGUUUGCCACCCUUGUUUUGAGCAACAAACCUCAAUGUGAUUCCAUGAGCUCUUUGAUUGUUUAUAAAAUUGUUUAUGAAAGUGCAAAAUAAAUUAUUGUAUACAUUAAAAUGUGCAAAACAAUGAAUUAUAUGUACGAACGAGUGCAAACACAUUUUUCAAUAAGAAGUUAAAAGAUAUUUAUGCAUGAAAAAGCCUACGUUUGUAGUUAUUCUAAAUUUUAAAAACAAAAUUUACAUUUAGAUCCCUAAAAUUUACGUAUAAGUACAAAAGUUUCAAAUAUUGUCUAUUAUUUUUUUAACAUGCCUAUUCCUUGUGGAUAAUUCUAUCUCAUCACUAAUGUUGUUUCUUGCUUACAAUUUGUAUAGUGUCUCAAAAUAGACAAUAGGGGGAUUUUGAAUUUUUUAAGUCUCAAUAUAGUCUCUAAUCUUGUGAGAAAGAUUUUCUUUCAAUAAUUUGGAGGUAAACAUAACAUAACUUUUUGGACUAAAGCCUAACUCUGCUGGUUAUGGUGGUAUCCUUUUCAAGACCUGCGUCUUUAGAUUCGAGUUUUAUAGUGUGCAUGCGUAUUUAAUUAAUAAUUUUUUAAAACAAUACAUCAAAUAUUAAUAUCCAUGACAUAAUUUAGUUCUUAAUUUUUUUUUUAAAUACAUCAAAAACAUAAUUUUUUUAACAACUUAUAGGCAUGACAAAUUUCAAGAUAUAAAUAUCAGUCAAAAUAAGUGAAAGAAAUAAUGGUGCCAAUUCUAAUUUCUUAACUAAAUUAAUUAGUGCAUGAGCCCCGAAUACGACACGAGAGUUUGAUGGGCUAACAUGGCACAAGAACCUGAAUAAAUAAUUGAUUUAAGAAAUAAUUCAAUGAAAAAUAUAAUUGAUAAGAAUUCAGUAUUGAAAUGAGUUUUUUAUGAAACACUGAAUUAAUGAUUAUUAAGCAAGAACAAUAAAAAAUAAAUAUUAAUCAUUGAUAAGUUUCAACAAAAGCUUAACACAAUCCUCAAUCCUAAUUCAAAUUAUAAAUGUCAUUCAUAUAUUCAUUAUAAUCAACAACAAAGGUUAUAAAUGUUUAGAAAUUCUAGAGGGAAGGAAGCUAUCGCUGGGCAAUCAACAACUAAAUUUGAUGUAAUUGUGGCACGAGAUGGAAUAUGGAAACUACACCAUAAUUUCAAAUGCCGCCAUAGACAUUGACUUAUCUACAAUAACAAUGAUCUAAUUAAAAUAAAAAUAGAGUUUAUGGGCAUUUAUUAAAAUAAAAAUAGGAGUGAAGUAAAAACAUUUAGAUUUUAAUGUAUGUACGGAAAAAUUUAUCUUUAAAAAUACUUUCUUAAUGUGUGUGUGCAUAUUGAAAUACUCAAACCAAUUUUGGUUAUAUAUAAUUCAACAAAAUUUAAAAUAUGAAAAAUAUAAUGUAGUUAUAGUGGAUAAGCAAUAAGUGAGCACAAUAUAAUUAAUCAAAUACUAUGCUAUCAAAAGUUAAUUUUAGAAAUUCCAAAUCCAAUAGCUAACACAAUUCUUUAAAGAAAUAACAAGGGGCAUUGGGCAAGAGUAAUGAAUGCUUAGUGGGUGCAUUUGAUUGAUAGAUAUAUAAAGGGCCGAAACUUGAUAUUAUAUUACUUUUACAAAAUUUAAUCCAAUCACAUAUUUAAUGAAAACAAAAUGAGUUAGGAUUGUUUAUUUAGAACCCACAUUUUAAUAAGGCUUCAUUUGAUGUAGUUUUUCAAACAUUGAUUAUUUGAGUAAUUACAAAGUACAAUACGUACCAAGUUUGGUAACUUAAUUGACAUCUUCUCAUAUAACCUUCGAUCAAGUCGAUUCUGACCUGACGACUAAUUGGUACAUCACCGUUGUUCUCUAUACUCGCAUGCAUCCGAUCACAAAUCUCACUCCAAUUGUCGUCUUUCUUCGGCGUUUUAGCGCAUCCUUCUUGAAUUUCCCGCAUUUCGUUCCCUCCUGUUACAAGUCUCCGGUCAGGUCAGUUCACUUGACGAUUAAUUCGGCAAAUCUCGAAUCUCUUCUCUAUCCCUCUCGUUUUCUCGUGUCUCCUUUCAGUUUAAGUGAUUGAAUCAAUUUUAUCGCAGUCUUAAGAGAAAUUAAGUAAUGCUCUUGGAUUUAAAAUUUUUUUGCUUUCGACUUUAGAUCUCGAAAGUCAAACUCUGCUACGAAUCCAUAGAUUCUCAAUGUUUAUAAUCUUAUUUGUGUUUGACCAGGUAACUGGAUCGUGAAAUUCGUCGUUUUGUAUCAAUUCAAGCUUUCGCGAGCUCAUGGAAUCCCCUGGUGAGUUGUGGUGAAACGUUAUCGUUUCAAUUUUCGCUUAAUUCUUUAUUGCAUAUUUUUUUCUCUCUAAUAUUUCAGUUUAAUUUAGAAAAGAAAGAGGACCCAAAAAGAGAGAGAGAGAGAGAGAGACUCUACCAUACUCAAUUCCUUGCUCAUUCUGAUUUGGCCUGAAUGUUGGCAUUGACUAUUAUUUGUUUUCAUUUCGAUUUAAUUCUCAUUUAGACAGUCUUUUUUAACUAGCAAUAAUCUUUUUAAGGAAAAUGAUAAUAGGGAUUCUGCAAUAAUCUUUUUAAGGAAAAUGAUAAUAGGGAUUCUGCAAUAAUCUUUCUGCAUUGUUCAAGUUAGUAGACAAUGAAUAGGGUGUUUAUGUUUACCUCAUUUUGAACCCUGAGGGCUUCGUUGAGUAGUUGAUCCAACAUAUCCAGCACCGGUUGAUGUGAGAACAGGAUGCCAUUUAGAUAGGCUUAAACUGAUUUUGGAGGUUUGUAUUCAUUCUAUUGUAUGUCUUGCUUACAAAUUUUUUAUUUUUUAUUUUUAAUUUUGUAUAAUAUGCUCUUUGUUGGUAAAUCUCAUUUGACUUAGAAGAGAUAGUUUUAUCCCAACAGUGGGAUAAAUCAUUGAGAUGCAUGGCAGUGUGAAUAUAGUAGACAAAAUCAUUGAGACAGAUGGUGGUGUGAACAUAGUAAACUUUGUCAAACACAGCUAAGAUAAACAAAUUGUUUCAUUAGCCUUUAUCUUAUCUGCUGUGAUGAUUCAAAUUAAUGCUGUUUGGUAGGUUGCAAAAAACGAAAUGAGCUGACUGUUCAUAUUAUUUAGUCAGAUCUAUUGCAAUAAGUUGAAGUUCACUGUCACAUGGGUUGGGAGUAGCGUGGGCUGUGAGUAGUAGAAUGGAUUUAUGGAGUUGAUACAAGUGCCCAUAAUCUAUCAUGUCAUUCUAGGAUUAAAUGGAUUGCACAUUACUGUAAAGAUGGAGGUUAAAUUUAUAUAAUUCGGAUUGAUUGUAAAAUGGGAGGCAGAGAUGAGUUAGAAAAAAAAUGACCUGUGUCCUUUUUGAGCUGUUUCUAAAUCUCCCUGGUGUGCUUCAUGCUUAACACGUGUCUGUCCAAAUAAUUUUGCUUAACCUGUGCUUGUCUACUUCUUGUGCUAUUCUGUGCCUGGUCCUGAGCUGUGUUGGUAGAUUGACAUAAUUUUGCUCUGCUAAAUGUAUAACUUAUUAAUCAGAGUCCUGUUAUUAUGGUUUGACACUACUGACAUGUUGUGUUGGUAUUUAUUUGUACUUCCCUUGGUUGAAUUAUUUGCUGUCUCCAUGCCAUUCGAUAUGGUGCUACUUGGUUUUUGAUCAUCCAUGACGCUAUAUAUAUGUAAAGGAUGAAUUGAUUGUUUUGGCUUGUAUUCUCACAUUUUAUGAUUGAUCGAUGGAAAGGUCUUCAUGUAUUAAAUUCAACCUCACAAGCGUAAGAUUGACAGAUUGUGGGAAAAUUUUCAGGAAAAGAAACUAGACUUCAUGGAAGCAAUGAAGCUUGAAAUUGAACGUCUGCAGCUGCAUCUUUCUGCAGCUGAAAGGGAUAGAGCUUUAUUGUCAAUUGAAACUGAUCCUGCCUCUAUAAAUCCAAAUGUAUUGCUUGAUGAAUCUUACAUGGGAAGACUGUCGAGUAGCAACCACUCUUGCAUUACUUGGCCAAACUUCCCUAGAAGACAAAAUUGUUGGUGCAAUUGGCCUUGAGAAUAGUGAUGAUAGUGUUUUAGACUUCUGGAAUAUUACUAGAAUCGGAGAGAGUUGUUCUGGUGGCGGGUGCAAGGUUUGUGCAGAAACUAAGGUGCCUGCUCUUGCUUCCUCAACUGCAACAUCUGUUGGAGCUUCACAAUCCCCUUUGUUGUGUUCUCAAUGUGAAAGAAAAGUUUGCAAAGUUUGUUGUGCAGGAAGAGGAGCUCUACUGUUUUCAAAUUAUAAAUCAAGGGAUGUGACCAACUACAAUGGCUUCUCAAGUCAGAGUGGAUGAAGCCAUGGAAGCCAAGUUGAUGUAUCUACCAGUCGUUCACUAACACUGGAUGGCGUUAUCUGUAAACACUGCUGCCAUGAGAUUGUGCCUGAUGCAUUGAUGUUGGACCAUGUUAGGGUCUUGAUUAGCUUGCGAAGAAGUUCCUGUGCAGACAACGCAGUCAUACAAUGCUUUGAAUGAGGUUGUUGGAUCCUGCUUAAAGGAUAGUGUUUCUGAAAGGAUUCAGUCUUCCGAUAACGUGCAAGCUGCUGAAGUCCUUCACCAAUUAUGUGGUGGACAGGAAUCACUUGCUGAAUUUCCAUUUGCUAGCUGUUUGCACUAGGUAUGUUCUUGGUUUGUAUUCAGUUCUCAUCAUGUUAUGUUUUCCUUUUAAAUUUCUUUUCUUGAUUAAAAUUUUUAGAAAUAUGUUUUAGUAUUUGUUCUUAUGAUAUAUGCCCAGAACAUUCAUCCCACUUAUCCAUGAGAAUCCUUGUCUGGUUUGAUUUUCAAUUGAGACAUUUUUGGGAACCCUGAGCAGGUUCCAUAUGCUAAUAAUCUUUGAGGUAAGGUGUUGUAGGAUGCCUUGAGAAGCUAAAAACCUAUUACAAGGAAAAGCUCUUGCAUUGUUUUGUGGAAUCUGUGUUGUGAAAAUAGGUAGAGAAAAAGUUUAUGGAAUAAUUCUCUUAUUUCAUAUGUUCAUGAGACUGUACACAGUCUUUAUAUAGGGAUACAAGAGACUAAGAAAGGAAAGAAAAAAUUAAAGCAGAAUAUUACACACUGAUUUCUAGGAAGCAAUAACUCUAUAUUUACACCAAAUAUACACCUAAAUAUAUAAGGAAAACCAAAUCAAUUUGAUUUGGUCAACCUUUCAACACUCCCCCUCAAGCUGGUCUAAAAAUGUCUUUCAUGGCCAGCUUGCAAACCAAUUUCUCAAAAUGUUUCUUAGGUAGUCCCUUGGUGAGUAUAUCAGCAAUCUGCUCAUUUGUAGGAAUGUAGGGCAUGCAGACCAAACCACUGUCCAGUUUUUCUUUUAUGAAAUGUUUGUCCACUUCAACAUGUUUAGUUCGGUUGUGGAGUACUGGAUUAUGUGCUAUUGCAAUGGCAGAUUUGUUGUCACAAUAUACUUUCAUAGGUAGAGAAUUAUUUGCCUUAAGUUCUUCAAGAACUUUUUUGAUCCAAAAAACCUCACAAAUUCCUAGAGCUACUGCUCUAUAUUCUGCCUCUGCACUACUUCUUGCUACCACAGUUUGUUUCUUGCUGCGCUAAGUGACCAAAUUUCCUCCGACAAAGGUGCAGUAACCCGAAGUGGAUCUUCUAUCGGUUACACUACCAGCCCAGUCAGCAUCAGUGUAGACUUCUACUUGUAGGUGCCCGUUUUUUCUAAACAAAAGACCUUUACCCGGAGAUCCUUUUAAGUAUCUAAGGAUUCUAUAUACAGUUUCAAAGUGUUCUGGUCCUGGAGCAUGCAUAAACUGGCUGACUAAGCUCACUGCAAAGGCUAUGUCCGGGCGUGUAUGUGAAAGGUAGAUUAAUCUACCUACAAGGCGUUGGUACCGAUCUAUGUUGGUCACAUCUUCAAUAUUAGCUGGCUGUAAUUUCAUAUUAGGAUCUAUGGGUGUCUCGGCUGCUUUACAUCCGAGUAAACCUGUCUCUUCAAGCAAAUCAAGAACAUACUUGCGUUGAGACACAACAAUCCCAUCUUUUGAUCUAGCAAACUCCAUGCCCAAAAAAUACUUCAGGUUGCCUAAGUCUUUGAUUUCAAAGUCACGUGCAAGCACUUUCUUUAAUCUGCAAAUCUCAACUAAGUCAUCACCAGUCAAAAUUAUAUCAUCUACAUAUACAAUUAACACGACUAAUUUCCCUUCAAUAGAAUGUUUGUAAAACAUUGUAUGAUCUGCCUGACUUUGGGAGUAGCCGUGUCCCUUUAUAACAUUACCAAAGCGUUCAAACCAUGCUCUAGGAGACUGUUUGAGCCCAUACAAAGACUUAUGUAGUUUACACACUUUACUGUUGCCAUGAUUUCCCUCAAAACCUAGUGGUAAAUCCAUAAAGACUUCUUCUUCUAGCUCCCCAUUCAGAAAAGCAUUUUUAACAUCUAACUGGUAUAGAUUCCAAUCAGAAUGUACAGCCAAUGAGAUAAGGACCCGGAUGGAAUUUAUCUUUGCAACGGGGGCAAAAGUUUCUUGAUAAUCAAUUCCGUAGGUUUGAGUGAAUCCUUUUGCUACAAGCCUUGCCUUAUAUCUCUCAACACUCCCAUCAGCAUUACAUUUAAGUGUAAACACCCACUUUCAACCCACAGUUUUCUUUUCUUUUGGUAAAUCCACAAUCUCCCACGUACCAUUCUUCUUUAGAGCAUUCAUUUCCUCUAAAACUGCUAACUUCCAAUCUGGGUGGUCUAGGGCUUCUUUUAUGGUUUUAGGAAUUGGUAUUUGAGAGAUUUUUGUGGUAAAGGCUCUUUGUUUAUUGGACAACUUUUCAUAGGAAACAUAUCUAGCAAUGGGGUGCUUAGUACAGGUUCGGGUUCCUUUCCUAUGUGCUAUGGGUAAGUCAAGAUCAGGAAAAAAAGUGCUGAAAUGUUUAGGAGAAGAAAUGUUACCUGAAUUUUCUGAGGAAUCAGUGCUUGGAGGCAACGAUUGAGGCUGUAUCGAGUUUAUGAGAGGGUCUUUACUGUUGUGAUGAUACUUUCGAGUAUAAACACGCAGCUCUGGUGGUGGAAUUUUAUCUUGUAGUAUUUCUCCCCCUGUCUCUGGUACAUUAACACUUGGUUCCUGUAGUUCAAGGUUUCCUAGGUUUUCAUUAUUAGAAAUAUCAGUUUUUUGAGUUUGAGUUGGAGUGCCCAGAUCAGGUAAAAACUGAUUAGGCAUAGGUGUAGAAGUAUGCCAAAAAUGAUCUUCACUAUUUUCUUUCUCCCCCUGAAGAGAAUUUUGGCCAAAAAAAGGUUGAUUUUCGAGAAAUAUAACAUCCAUACUGACAUGGAAUUUCUUUGUUUGAGGAUUGAAACAUUUGUAACCUUUUUUAUUAGGUGCAUAGCCCAAGAAAACACAUUUUUCAGAUCUAGGAUCCAAUUUAGAUCUAAGAUGGUUAGGAACAUGAACAAAUACAGUGCACCCAAAGACUCUUAACUGAAUAUUGGAGGUAAUCCUACUAGAAGGAUAUAUAAGUGUGAAGUAUUCUAAAGGUGAUUGAUACUUUAAAACACGGGUAGGCAUCCUAUUAAUCAAAUAACAUGCUGUUAAAACAGCAUCACCCCACAAAUAUUUAGGAACAUGCAUAGAGAGCAUGAUAGCCGACUAACUUCAAGUAAAUGGCGGUUUUUUCGUUCCGCAAUUCCAUUUUGUUGUGGAGUAUCACGACAAGUGGAUGUGUGAAUUAUACCCUUUUCCUUACAAAACACCUCUAGAUAAUUAUUAAAAUAUUCAGUACCAUUAUCUGUAUGGAGUAGACUUAUUUUUGUUUGAAAUUGAUUUUCAACCAUGUUAUAAAAAUCUUUGAAUAACCCCUCAACUUCAGAUUUUUCUCUCAUUAAAUAAACCCAACAAAGCCGAGUAUGAUCAUCUAUGAAUGUUACAAACCAUUUUUUUCCAGUUAAAGUGUUGAUUUUUGAGGGUCCCCAAACAUCACUAUGAAUUAAAUAAAAAGGUUUUGAGGCACGAUAAAUAAGUGCUUUAUAUGAAACUCGAUGACUUUUAGAUAAAAAACAACUUUCACACUGAAAAGUAGUACAAUCAACAUUUUUAAAUAAAUUUGGAAACAAAUAUUUCAAAUAAGGAAAGCUAGGGUGUCCUAGUCUAAGGUGCCAAAGCAUUAUUUGAUCCCUAGCAGAGUUUGAACUAAUACUACUGCUCAAACCUUGAGUUUGUUUAUUCCUUGAUAAGUAGUCAUCAAAAUAGUAAAGACCUUCUCGCAAACUAGCACUGCCAAUCAUCGUCCCCAAGUCCCUGUCCUGAAAUUCACAAUGGGAGUCAAAAAAGACAGCACAACAAUUAGAAUCUUUGGUUAAUUUACUGACAGAUAACAGAUUGCAAGAAAGUUUAGGGACAUGUAGCACAUUUUUAAGCUCAAUGGUUCCAGAGAUUUUUAUUGAUCCUUUUCCAGCUAUGGAAGAUAAGCUUCCAUCAGCAACUCUUACCUUUUUGUUACCAGGGCAAGGAUAAUAGGAAUCAAAUAAACUAGAAAUGCUAGUCAUAUGAUCAGAAGCACCCGAAUCAAUAAUCCAUGGUGCAGUAGUUGAGUGGCUAAAUAGAGCAUUAAUAAUACUACCUGUUUGGGCUAGUGAACCACUAGGAGUACUAGGUGGAGGAUUAGAAGUCAGCAGCUUUAUGAGAUGGUCAAUUUGCUCCUUGCUGAGAUUUUUUUCUAGAUUCUCCACUUCAUUGGCAGACGCACGGCUAUGCUUGCUGUUUUUCCAAUCUGCAGGCUUUCCGUGGAGUUUCCAGCAAGCCUCCCGAGUAUGGCGUGGUUUAUUACAGUAAUCACACCAUACUCGAGGUUUUUGUUGCUGUUGAGUGAUGGAGCGGGUAGCAUUAUCUGCUGUAACAAGGGCAGAUUUUUCCACAGAGACAACGGAGUUCUUUUUUCCCAACAUAACACCUCGACGACUUUCUUCUCUCCUUACUUAAGAGAAAACAUCCUCAAGAGUAGGAAGUGGCUUUCUCCCAAUAAUUCUUCCUCUUACCUCAUCAAAUUCAACAUUGAGCCCAGCCAGGAACUUGAAGAUUCGCUCAUUAUUGACAGUUUGUUUGUGGUGUUUAAAAUCUUCCAUGCUCUCCCACUCGUAGUCGUUGAAUAAGUCCAGAUCUUGCCACAAUCUCUUUAGAGUAUUGAAGUAUUUUGUUAUACUAUAAUCUCCUUGACGGAUAUCUCCAAGAGCAAGCUGCAACUCAUAGAUCUGGGACUGAUUUCCAUAGUCAGAGUACAUCUGACUCACAUUAUCCCAGAGUUCUUUUGCAGUAGAGUAGCACAUAUAAUUUGCACCAAUGUCUUCAUCCAUGGAGUUGACUAACCAUGCCAUAAUCAUGGAGUUUUCGGCAUCCCAAACACCAUAAGAGGGAUCAGAUAUUUCAGGAGCCUUAACAUCUCCGGUAAGAUAACCAAUCUUCCCUCUUCCCCUAAUAUACAUUCUAACCGACUGAGACCAUCUUUGAAAAUUUCCUUCAUUCAGCCGGAUAGUUGUAAUCUGGACAGAAUGAGAUUCAGAAUGGGAAAUUUUUGGUUCUAGUCUUUUUGAGGUGACUGUGGUUUCAGAAGAUUGGUCAGACAUGGUAGGGAAGAGAUCAGAAAGAAAGGGAGCCUAGCUCUGAUACCAUGUGAAAAUAGGUAGAGAAAAAGUUUAUGGAAUAAUUCUCUUAUUUCAUAUGUUCAUGAGACUGUACACAGUCUUUAUAUAGGGAUACAAGAGACUAAGAAAGGAAAGAAAAAAUUAAAGCAGAAUAUUACACAUUGAUUUUUAGGAAGCAAUAACUCUAUAUUUACACCAAAUAUACACCUAAAUAUAUAAGGAAAACCAAAUCAAUUUGAUUUGGUCAACCUUUCAACAUGUGUGCUAGCAAGUCAUGUCUCUAAUAAUUUCAUAGUUUGCUUGAUUGGAAUUUUUUAUCUUGAUAUGGAUUGUUUAUUCUAGAUUCCUUGGUGCUGUAGGUUGAAACAGCAAAAGAUUCAGCACCGAUUUUGUCACUGCUUGCUCCAUUAAAUUCUGGAUCAAGGCACUCAUAUUGGAGAGCUCCACCUUGUACUACUUCUGUUGAAUUUGUUAUUGUUCUCUGUUCUGUUUCUGAUGUCAGUGGGGUUAUCUUGCUUGUUAGUCCUUGCGGCUAUUCUGUGGGUGACACUCCGAUGGUAAGUGCCAUAUUUAUUCCCUUAUUUCCUUGUUGUUCAAUAAAUUUGGUGAUAAGCCAAGUGGCCUUAAUAAUGAAGCCCAGUACCAGGGGUGGUGGGUAAUCGAUAUUCAACUUGUGAAUAUUCCUAAGCAAGCACUGAAUCAACAUAGACCUCGGCAAAAGUUCUCCAUGCUAUUAUAACGAAAGUCAUAUUUUGAAAUGAUUAAAAGAGUCCCUGUGUAGUGCUAUUUCCAAAGAAAUUGCAGCUGGAGGUUUAGUUUCAUGUAGGUUAGUUUCCGAUAAUAAACUUUCCAUUUCAUUAAUUGCUGAUGAAAAAACCAAGUAAGAACAGUUUUGUUGCUCGUCAUUUAUGUAUAUUUUGGUAAACUGUAAUUUUAAAUUCUCAACGAUCUUCCCUUUGUAGGUAAGAAGAUGGUCCACUCACUUGAUAUUUAUGAUUGUAGAUCAGGUUUCUAUUGGUUUGCCUUUAUCAUUCGGAACCCAAGUUUGAUAUUAACAGAGAUCACGUCAAUAAUAUCCUAUUUGGGUAGAUGUGGGUGAGGAUUUAAAAUCAAAUUUGAAAUUGAGGGCAAAGAAGAGAAAAGAAACCGCAAUAAUUAAACAAAAUAUUAGGAACUAUUCUGAUGAGUUUUAAUCUCGAGAGGAACAAUUUUCAAAUGCAAAAUUUAACUGCUAGAGAAAUUGUAGCUUUUUGUCAUUAGUUAAGAGGAAAGAGAAUAAGAACUAUCUGGCCCUUUCCUUCAUGAAUGUGUGUUGAGGUUGCUGUAUUAUUUAGUCAGUAUUUGUAAUUUUCUUCCCUGCAGUGCUCUCUGCCUCCUGAAUUUGCUACUGAGUCCAUAUUUUUCUUUGAGCUGUUGCUUCCUAUUGCUGUUACAGGUACAAAUCUGGGCAAGCAAUAAGAUACACCGGGAGGACAGGUCAUCAAUGGGAAAAUGGGAUGUCCAAUCCCUCAUCACAUCUUCUUCAGAUUUGUAUGGUCCAGAAAAGUCUGCUAGUGUUGAAAAAUUACCUAGGCAUGUAAAAUUUACUUUUAAGAAUCCUGUUAGGUGCCGCAUUGUUUGGAUCACAUUACGUCUUCAGAGACCUGGUUCGGCUUCAGUUAAUUUCGGGAAUGACUUCAGUCUUUUGUCUCUUGAUGAAGAUGAAAACCCCUUUGCACAAGUAGACAGACGUGCUUCAUUUGGAGGAGCAGUUGAAAAUGAACCAUGUAUUCAUGCCAAAAGAAUUCUUGUAGUCGGAAGCCCAGUAAAAAGGGAGGGGCUUACCACAUCACAGAGCUCUGAGCAGCUAAGUAUUAGAAACUGGUUGGAUAGAGCUCCACAAAUGAGUAGAUUCAAGGUAUUAGUUGCUUUCACUCUUUGUUCAUUCAUAAUUCCAGCUUUCUGCUUGAUGCCUUGCCUCUGAUAAACCUCUUUUUUCUCUUCAGGUCCCAAUUGAGGCCGAGAGAUUGAUGGACUACGAUCUCGUCUUGGAACAGUAUCUACCUCCAGCGUCACCUUCGCUUGCCGGAUUCCGUCUAGAUGCUUUCAGUGCAAUAAAACCUAGGGUUACCCAUUCACCUUCCUCAGAUUCAGAUAUCUGGGACAAAUCAGUAACAUUUUUAGAAGACAGGUACAUCUCUCAAGCUGUGUUGUAUUUACAAGUAUCCGCACUCCAGGAACCACAUAACAUGGUAACUAUUGCGGAAUAUCGACUGCCGGAGGCUAGAGCCGGAACGCCAAUGUACUUUGAUUUCCCACGACCGAUACAGUCCCGACGAGUUUCAUUCAAGCUUCUUGGAGAUGUUACAGCAUUUGCAGAUGAACCUUCAGAACAAGAUGAUUCAGGAUUGAGAGCUCCACUUGUGGCCACAGGUUUGUCUUUGUCAAACAGAAUCAAGUUAUAUUAUUAUUGUGAUCCUUAUGAGCUCGGAAAAUGGGCAAGCCUUUCUGGAGUUUGAUCGUUAUUUAUAUGUCAGAGAAAGGGUUUUGGGUUUGAUUUUGAUUUUGAUUUGUAAUUUUUGUCAGUUUAUUGAAAUUUUUUGUUGUAUAAAAGCAGAAUGUAAAGGUAUAAAAAUUCAUUGAUGCUGCAAUGUCUGUGCUUUUGAGAAAGAAAGAAUUCUAUGGCUUUUCUAUGCCAUUGGAUUUUCCACUGCCUGUAAACUUGGGCUGUCGAAUGCUCUGUGAACCUUAAGGGCUAUAAAGUAAUUUUCAAGACUGAAGGAUUUAUUAAUCGAGUUCAAAAGAUUGCAAGUUGGUGAGCGUUGGCAUUUAAAAAAUCAAUUGUUAUUCUCUCAAUAAUCUCUGUCUUCUGCCGACACCCCAUGCUCAGAAACCCAUUGUUCCGACGGACGUGUAACACUUCUAGAAAUUGUUUUGAUCUCUCCUCGUGAAGUGUUUUCUUUUUCGAGUGAAGGUGGUUUUCUACUUGCAUACGUCGGGGGUCUUAUGAUAUGUAAUGUGUGAAAUUUCUUUCUCAUUUUACCAUAAAGAAAAAUGUUGUAAUAAUCUAAAGCUCGAGUCUUAAAUUAUCUUAAAUUUAUAUUUAGAGUGGAGCUAUUCGCAAUCCUACAUUAAAAUUACAAAUAAAAAUAAUUGAAAAUUAAACACUUAUAGAUUUUUUUUACAACAAAUUAUUUAAUUCAUAAUCAAUCCUUUAAAAAAAAAAAUCCAUAUGUUACUUGCUAUCUAACUAAAAUAAAUUUUACAAAUUUAGAAUAAUCUAUUGAUUUCUUUUGAUUUCUUAUUAAUUAAAUAUUUUUAUACAUAAAAUUGCUUUGAAAUUAUAAUUUGAAAUAUGUGUUAUUUCAGCCAAUGAUUAACACUAAAAAACUUAUCACCCAUAUAACUUUUUAAUUUGUGUGUAGGGUAAUAAUAAAAUCAAAAAUAAUUAAAAAAAUAGUACAAUAAUGAGUUUUAACAAUAAAACAAAUCAAAUGAAAAUUGAAAAUUUAGAAAAAAUGUAUCUAAAAAAGGGAACGUUUUUUAAAAUAAAAUGAAUAUAACUAAAAAGGGGUUUUAUGAGAAGAGCAGAGGGGUGCCAAUAGUCCAACUUGUAAUUAAGAAUCUCCCAUUAUAUUGUCAACCAAAAAGACACUUGAAUAAGAAGAAGAAUUUAUCAGUUUGAUUUUAUUUAUAGAUCCAACAUUUCUCAUAUCCUAAACGCCUUUCCGUAUCAAAUUAAAACAGUAGUCGCAAAAUCGUAGUAUUAAAAUCGUAGUGCACAUUCAAUUAACCAACUAAUAGUCUUUGGUAUAAGAUUUUAUAUUAGCUAGCCAAGUAGGUUGUCCAUCCCACUCAGACAUGAACGAAAGCUAAAUUCAUCAAAUGGUGUUAUACUAUUAAAUAUUUUUAUAUUUAAAAUUACUUUGAAAUUAUAAUUUCAAAUUAAAAUAGUAGUAGCAAAAUCGUAGUGCACAUUCAAUUAACCAACUAAUAGUCUAAGAAGCAAAGAGAGGAUUACAAGUUCACAACACCAUUACAAAGGAUUCAAAAUUCCCACACGAAAACAUCAAUGUACAGAUUAUAAACAAUCCGAAUUGGACACAAGAAAAAGCCCUUCAAUGGAUUGCUUUCCUUCCCAAUGCUAUAUACUGUGCAAACUCCGCACUGGCCAAGAAAAUGUUUUCAAUUUAGUGUAUUUUCAAAUUGCUUAUUUUCUCAUAAUAUAAAAAAUAAAAAAGAAUCCUUACAUGUUUCAUCAGCAUGAUUAAAAUCAAAGAAGAAAGCGAAGACGUAAUGUCUCUGACAUAAUAAAAUUACAAAAAUUUCAAGGAAAAAAAAAAGGUUAAAACAUGUAAUCUUCAGAAGCAUAUAAUAAAAGAACACUUCCACAAAUUACUACAAUUUCAUGCAGUAGAGAUUGAAGAGUUGAAUUCCACUAAUUUUAAUAAUGAAAACAACAACAGAGGAUUAACUGAUGCUUUGACUUAUUAGCAGGUUGCUUUGACUUAUUAGUUCUGCAGCUAAGUUAAAUAAAAUAAGCUAUUUUCAAAAGCAAAAUGGAAUACAUAGAUAAAAACAUCAUCUUAAACAAAUCACAAUCUAGAAUUAGAGCAUUUUCGACAUACCUAAGGAACACGAAUACGUGAAAACGGGUGAUUUAUUUGUUAAGGAGUGUUGAUUUGGUCGUCUCUGCAAAUUCUUUAGGGACUCGGUUCCAAUUCCUCUUCAUCAAAACUGUAAUAUAAUUCCCCUUCAUCAGAACUCGAAUCGAUGCAAUAUAAUUCCCCUUCAUCAGAACUCGAAUCAAAUUCACUUGCAGCAGUUCCACUCGCGCUUGGCAAAUCAUCCAAUUUCCAAACUUCGGUAACAAAAUUGAGAGUAAAAGUGUUGGCUUUGAUCUCGCUGGGAUUUGCAUAUACUGGACAUACUCCGCAACGUUUUAUCUUCUGACCCUUUUGGACCUUUAUUAUGUUUCGGUGACACUCAUUGAAGAACUUAAAUGUGGCAGUUGAAUGAUGGUCACCAUCAGGAAAGCCAACAUUCAAGCAAGGUUUAAAACCAAGUAUGACAUGAUCUGAAUCAUGGGGGUCUUGAAUUGAGUGCAAAUUGUAACCCAGAUGAACAUGUUUGGUUUCAGAGAGAGUCUUUAUUUCUAAGUCGGAUCGACAGUAAACGUAAAAAUAACGAAAACGAUCAGAAUAAAGUUGCUUAAAAUCAAGAACAGCACAAAAAGCAAACCCGAUUAAGUUUCUGCAAAAAGAGUGCGGUGGCAGUUGAAUACGUAUCGAAGAUCCUGAACUUUGAUUGCUGAACCAGUCAGGAAUUUCGCUCCCAGGUAAAACAAUUUGGGAUCCCCUGAGUUCAGAAAGUUUCUGCGAAACGACAUUUAAAAAAAGAAAAUUGUAAAAUGAAAACCAUGAUUUCAGAUAUAACAAAGAGGGACAGAGUAAACAAGAGAGGGAAUUUGAUACCUCGUUGUAUGCAUUUUCAUAGCCCAGUCUCAGUGAUGCUGCAAUUGCCAUACGUAGUGAAUCUGCCAAAAUCUUGUUGUUUGCUUUUCCAUCAAGUUUCAAGCAGUUAGUAAACUCAAAACAAAUUGGUUGUGGCGUCACAUAUUCCGGAUGCCAUUCACGAAGGUCAGGAGAGGGUUUGGAUAGCUUUUCGAGUACGGAUGCAUCUAGUUCUUGUACACAUGACGGAAUCUCUGGCAAAGAUUGAAGCCGGUUGCAGUUCAUUGCUUUUAGUGACUGUAGACACAAUGGAAGUUCUGGUAAUGACCGAAGCAUGUUACAAUCCUCCAAGUGAAGAGUUUCUAGACCCAAUGGAAGUGCUGGUAAUGACUGAAGCAUGUUACAACGCCUCAAGUAAAGAGAUUUUAGACACAAUGGAAGUUCUGGUAAUGACUGAAGUAUCUUACAAUCCCUCAAUUCAAGAUAUUUUAGACACAAUGGAAGUUCUGGUAAUGACUGAAGCAUAUUACAAUCCUCCAAGUUAAGAUAACUUAGCCACGACAGUUGCUUGAUACUUGCAGGUAAACUCUCAAAGUUAUUUCCACUUAAAUUGCCAAUGUUAUCCGGCAACUUGUCAAGUAUAGAGCAACCACUUACGGACAAAAAUGAAAGCCCCGGUAGAUUUUCAAAUGGCGAUGGCAGCUCUGUAAUUGCCGUCCAGACUAAAUAGAUGCAAUUUAAAUGUUCCAUUUUCUCCAAGAUUUCUGGGAAACGCUCAAGGUUCAAGCAGCCAAAAAGAAAAAGAUCAACCAAAGAUCUCAAUUUACAGAACCUAGUUGAAAUCCUCUUCAGCCGUUUGCAAUGCCCCAAAUCCAACACUUCAAGAUCAGUUAGGCACUCUAUUGAUGAUGGAACUUCUUCUAUUGCAGACUGGCCUAAGGAUAGCUCUGUGAUUUUCCCAGAAAUCCGUGGAAACUCUUUGAGAUUAACACAAUAGGAGAAAUUAAUAGUUACUGGACAAACAAAAUGAAGAUUGCUUGGAAAAGACCUAAGACUUUUGCAGCCCUCAAAAGACAACGCACUGAGAUACUUGAAAUUCUGGAUAGAUGAGGGAACACAAGCCAAGUUUGUAUAAUCCAAAAGAUUUGUUUCAACAUUUGGGGUUUCUAAUGGGCCUGGCAUCUUAAUGAAAUGUCGAGAAUGAUUGAGGUUAAUAGAUUUUAACUUGAAAGCUUCCUGCAAUAACAGAUAUAUAAAGACUAUAUUAAUUAAAAAGCAACAUUGAAUUCAACAAUUAAUUGCACGUAUGUUUAAAGAAAGAAAAAAAUUAAUGUUUUAGUUUUAGUACAAAACUUACCUUUUCUCCUUCCCAAAGUUGCUCAACUUUACUAAAACGCAAAUUCAGUUCAACAAGGUUCAUUGGCUUGAAAUUUGAUGGCAGUGUCCUUAAUGGAUAUGUGUCCCAAUGAAGAUAUCUCAAUUUUUUAGGAAGAUAAUCUAGGCCAUUUGGAAGCUGCACUUUAGAGUAUGAAAGUUGCUCUUCAAUGCUCAUACUUAGAAACCUUUCAAUCUCAGGUACAUAAAAUUUGAGCAAUCUUAGAUUAGACAUUUUUGUGAAGGCUCCUGGGUCUAAAUUGAUGCCUUUUAUUUUGGACAAAUCCAGAAAUAUGCCUUCAAUUGCAUCGGUCCCCUUAUUAAAAAAAAAAAAAACAAAGAAUGAGUAACCCUAAAACAGAAAAGAAACAUUCGUAAACUUUAUUAACUAAGAGCUUCUUAAACAAAAACAAAUUCUGCAAUCUUUGAUUUUAUUUUUUUAAUAUAUUAAAUAUCUAUAUACGAGAAAAGAAAAUUUUGGGGACCAUUGCAAAAUUAAACUAACCGAAAAAAAAUUCAAAAUUUCUCUAAUUUACAAACCUGUUAUCUUAAUAACUAGAAGUUGAGAAGACAAGGCCUAUUUGAUUGGUAUAAGAUUUCGAUUUGUUUUUUAGUCCAUAGAAUCCAAAAUGUUAGUUCAAAAUUAGGGAAAAAAAAUGAAAGUUAUUUUUUUUCCACUAGUUGUAAUUGUUUCCAAGUCAAAUUGAGAUACGACCCUUUUCGAAAGGAUUUAAUCAUCUUAUAGCCUCCUUAAGAUACAUUUAAGCUAAAAGGAGUGAUUGGAGGCAGAACUAGGUGGGCCAAUCAGUCCCUUUUAUUAGUGACUGUUGCUUAAAAAAAAUUAUACUCUAAAACACACUUACUUUUUUGAAAAAAAAUAUAAUUAUAUUGAAGUAGAACCAGGUGGGCCAAUCCUCAUGGCACUCACUUUGUUCUGACACUCUUCACUAAAUUUGAAGAAAAAUAAAAUUAUACUCUUCACACUCUUAUUCAACAUUCCAAAAUUGAUAAAAUCUAGAGUUUUCUUUAAAAAUUUAAAAUUUGAAGACUUGUUCUCUUGACAUCCUCAGUCAUUAAUUUCACCUAAUUAUGGUUUUUAUGAUUUUGGUUGUUUUGUUCAUAAAACAAUUUUACUAAAGGAUGUUCUCGUAAUAAUAAAAAUUAUAAAAAAAACAUGGGUGUGCUGGUAUGGUUGGGAAAAUACGAGUACAGAACUCCAAACAAAUAAAAGAUUUAUAUAAAAAAAAAUGGAGGAUUCUUACCAUAUUAUGCUUUAGUACGCGGCGGAUUUCCUUAGGAUCCCACAACCUACUACGUCUGCCUGGCACUUCCUCAGAUUCUUGGCGAACAGUCUCUUGGCCCAUUUCUUGCAAUAAAUCAUGCAUUUGCAAGCGGUUAUCUGACACAGUUAUGAGUGACUUGUCGACGAGGACAUCCAGUCUGUGAGACCCAGAAUCAUCAAGUAUCCUUAACACAAAAUCUUUAUCCUCUCCCUCAAGGAAACACGCAAUAUCUAGAAACAUACUCUUCACCCUGGGCGUUAAUUCUUUAAAACUAAUCUUUAAUGUAUCAUAAAUACCAUGAAUAUCAGAUUCACAAAUCCGAUUUAAGUCGUGCAAUACAUUUUCCCAAUGGCUUUUCCUCUUGAGAUACAGGGAGGAACCCAACACUUUAAGAACUAAUGGAUUGCCAUCAGCAUACUCUACAACUCUCCACGAGUCACGUUUGAAAUCUUCAGGACGAUGCUUUUCUUUAAAAGCGAAGUUACAAAAGUGCUCGAAAGCCUCAUCAAAUUUCAAUCCAUUGACCCUAUAUAUUUUCUCCACUCCAAAUUUUUCGAGGACUCGUUUAUCCCUGGUGGUUACAACAAUUCUACUUCCUGGACCAUAUUGAUCAAGCCCUCCAAUCAAACCCUCUAAUUGUUCAUCUUUAUUCACAUCAUCGAGUACAAUCAACACCUUCAUGCGUCGGACCCUCCCUUUAGUAAAUUGUGGAAUAUUGGGACCAGCUACUUCAAGUUUUUCACUUAAUAUUGUCGAAAGCAUUUCCUUUUGUAGGUCUUCUAGGCCACCCUCUGUUUCUGAUUUUCUCCUAACAUUUUUUGCAAAGUAUUUACCAUCAAACUCACCAGCGAAUUGAUCGAAAAUAGCUUCAGCAAGGGUAGUUUUGCCUAUACCGCCCAUACCCCAAAUUCCAACAAUUUGGACAGUAUCCGACAAAUCCAUACACAAAAAUGGUUUAAUCUGCUCAAUUCGUGAAUUUAAUCCAACUAGGCCGUUGGAUGAGUCCGUUGAGACUGUUAUUUUUUCCAACUUCUUCAAAACAUCUUCGACAAUUUUGUUUACAAGUUGCGCAUCAAGCCUAAUAUGAAGGUGCAAAGAUGCAAAAACAUUGAGUCAAAUCGGGCCAAGACAGAAACAGAGAAAAGAUGAAUUAGGAAAGAGAGUUACCUGAAUUUCGUGGAUUCAUGGCCGGCUAGAUGGGAUGUUUCUGUCAGUGCAUCCCUCCACUUCUGAACCAUUUCUUGUUUAUCUUUGAACUGUUUUUUGAGCUCAUCAAAACGGUCUCCAAAUGUUCCGUUUUGAUGCCGCACAUCAGAUGGACUUACUCCAUAGAAGAAUGGAAUAAUAAUUUGGCCGUUUGUGUUCUUGCAUUCAAGAAUCUUGACAAGUUCAUUCAGGCACCAUUUUGAAGAAGCGUAGUCCUUCGAGAAAAUGACCACCGAAAUUUUUGAACCUUGGAUUGCGUUCAAAAGGGCGGGUGAAAUCUCAUCUCCUCGCCUAAGCCCUUCAUCAUCAAUAAAUGUUUUGAUUUUCUUUCCUUCAUACAAUUUAUCAUAGAGAUAGCAAGUAAAGCUCUUACGAGUGUCCUCCCCUCUAAAGUUGAGGAAGACUUCAUAAUUGGCACAAGAAGAAGAGGAAGCCAUGAAGGAAAUUUUAGAAAAUUGGUGACAGAAACAGAGAAUUAAUCUUGAGAGUUGAGAGAGGAGAUGUAAGAAUGAACAUGUGCGAAGAUUCUUGCGAGUACAUAGUAAAUAAUUGAAUGGCUGGAGCUUUCUUAGUUUCCUGGAAAUUUCCUGGAGCUUUCGUAUACAUGAUUUGUCAAGUCAUGAAACAUAAUCAUGAUAAUGGGGCAGACCGAAAAGAAAAGCAACAAUUCAAAUAUUUGAUUCAACCAGUAUAAAAAGGAAGGAAAAGCAAAGAAAGGAAAUGUUGAAAGUAGAGUUAGGGAAUUAUAAAAAGCUGAAGGAAAUUGGAAUUUUGUACAAUUUCUCCAGCGAGGAACUUUCACAGUCGUUACCUCAUUGUUACAGUUUAGAUUAAGAUUUGAGGGUGCAAGCAUUUACCUAGAUUUUACCUCCGCACUAAAUUCUUAAGUUUGAAAAAUUAUGAGACCUUUAUAUUGGAAGAUAUUAUAAUCGAAUCAAAACUUAAAAUUUUAAUAUUGUUAAUCUUUAAUCUUUAAAAAAAAUUACCUUGCCGUUACAAUUUGGAUUAAGAUUUGAAUAAGCAUUUACCUAAAUUUUAUCUCCGCCUGUAAAUUCUUAUGUUUUAAAAAUUAUGAGACCUUUAUAUUGGGAGAUAUUAUAAUCGAAUCAAAAUUUUGAAUUUCAAUAUUAUUAUUCUUUUAAAAAAAAUUUGAGAUAACAGAGUGAUUGAUAAUAGAGAACUUGUCUAGGCAAACACAUGCAUACACAAAAAUGUGAUGGAUUCAAAAAGAAAUUAAAGUGAUAAUGUACGUGGAUCCUUAAAACAAAAAGCGAAAUCGCUUGGUGGCCCAGUAAAAUUAAGACUGAAUAUUUUUUACACGAGAAGUGUAGCUCAUAAAUGGCAAAAGCCAUUUCAUUUCACUUUUACGCGUCAUUGACUUUUGUAACAUGGUGCAUGCAUCGUCAAGUGAGGCAAAAGGGUUUCGAUUACAGUGGGAAAACAUGAACAAGAAUGCAUAAUGAAUAAUUCCUUUGAUAAAGCGAAAAUUAAACACAGAAUAAUCCUAAAAUUUAAACUCUAAUAUCUUAUAAUUUAAUGAUUAAAAAUAAUCCUAAGAGUUCCCAAUUGAAACUUUCAGAGAUAAUAGAAAAUAGCUAUGCUUUAAAAGGCCAAAGAUUAGAGAACAAAGAAGAAUUAGGUAUUGAUAUAAAAAUUAUUAAUUUUUUUGAUUUCAAGCAAAAAUAGUUUCAUAUACCAUUUCGAUUUUGGUAGGGGUGAGGUUUUGAACUUCAAUAGUUUCCUCUAAAAUCAAAAGGUAGUAAUUAAGUUAGAAAGAGCAAAGAAGACUUAUCGGUACCUUAUUGAAGGUAAACAUUAUGGAACUUUCAAUGUCAUUACCCCACUGUUUAAUUUUUAUUGAGAUUUGUGCAAGCAUUUACCUAAAUCUUACCUCUGCCUGUAAAUUCAUAAGUUUUGAAAAUUAUGAGACCUUAUAUCGGGAGAUAUUAUAAUCGAACUAAAACUUAAAAUUUCUUUUCUUUUUUUUUUUUUUUAUCAUAAAAGGGCUCUUAAGAGAGCUAAGGCAACACUAAAUGGGAGUGUGCAACCCCAUGAACAUCAUUAAUCAAUAUGUUUAGCGUAUUUGGAGGAAUAGAUUGAAAGCAAUGUAAACCCAAAGGAAAAGAAAAGCUGUACGAAGUAAGGAAAUCUGCUGCUACAUUGGUUUCUUGGUAGAUAUGAUCCACUUUGAUCAGCCAAUCACGCCGAAGGAGUUCUUCGAUGGCCUGAAUGAGAGUAAAAUGCUCAUUGACGGGAGGGUUUGAGUUAGAGAUUAACUUCAUAACACACAUGCUGUCCACUUCCACGUAAAACUUAAAAUUUCAAUAUUAUUAUUCUUUAAAAAAAAAUUGAGAUAUCAGAGUAAUAUCACAUAGAAAAACUUGCCCACGGACGGUAAGCCAAAAGUCUAGUCAACCACAUGCAUAAAGCUAAGUAGAACAAGAGAACAGAGAAACGCGUGGGUCCCUAAAGAAAAGGCAAGCACAUAAAUGAAAAAGCCAUUACAUAUCUAUUAACACGGUGUGGCAGCAUAUGCACAAUCAAGUGAGGCAAAAGGGAUUCGAUUAUCGUGGCAGAACAUGGACGAGGACGCGUGAUGAAUAAUUCCUUCGUUAAAACCAAAAACAAACGCAGAGAAAACAAUUUCUUAUAUGACAAGAAAUCAAAGUAAUGUGAAGGAACAUGAUGAAGAAAUUGCAGACUGAUCAAUUAUCCCCAUGGACUCCUAUAAAUUCAACCAAAAUAACAAUUCGAAUCUUACCAAAUUCUUGAGUUAAAUUUAUUCAAUGCUUUUAUUUUUUUAGAAAAUUUUUUUCCAAUGCUACUUUUCCUUUUUUGGGGAAAUUAGAACCGCGGCAUGUAUAGAAAACAUUGAGGUGUAAAGCAACAUUAAUUUCAUGGGAUAUGCGUUAUACGCAUAAUAUAUUUUCAGUCCAAAUUCAACUAUACAAAGAGGCUUGAGAACUUAAAAUUAAGCACAAACUAAACAGACGAAGUAAAUACAUGAUUAUGCAACAUAACAUUAAUUCUCUCAAUUGAUAACUGUUUUUGCUACAUGAAUCUUGCACAGUUAAUCCUAAUUGAAGACUAAAAAAGAGCAAUUGGAAGAAGGUUUUGGAAUAGAAUGGUAUACAAUCGAUAUGAUCCUUUUCCAGUAGUCAACGCUAAUUAACUGCAGUUUCUAGACUCCUAAUUAUACUAGCCAUAGCAAACUAUUUAGAAAACUGGUGAUCAAAUUAGAUUUUGAAAGGAAAUAAUGUUCAUUUUCCCUUCGCUGCCUUUUCUUUUCUUUUCUUUUUAUAGCAAAGAAUUAUAUCAUGAAAAGAAUCAAUUUAAUCACCUUUUCCAGCAGCCCAAUUUUUCUUUUAUAAAAUUUGACCACGGAGACAAAGAAGAAUUAUUCAUAACUUCAUCACUAAGGAAAUACUUUUCGGUAUGGCUAGGGUGAGAAAAUGCUUUCCACUAACACUUGUACUUUGUAUUCUUGUAAAUUUUCUUUAAAGUCAAUAAAAACCAUAAGUUCUUUGCAAUAACCAUCUCUUUGAUCAAAAAGUGCCGUAUUCCUUUAGAAUUUAAAACCGGCAAAACCGAAUCAGUGUCUUUGAAGAGACAUAAUGGUCGUAAUUCUUUAAAUGAGUUGGCUAUGGAAAUCCUUAUCCAAGAUUCUUUUAUGCCAUAUUCUUUCGUAAACCAAAAUUCAUUUUGAAAUACUCUAUUGAAAAUGUCAAAUAAAACGGCAUUGAAGGAAGUUUUCAAAGGCAUAAUCCGCACUUGUCAAAGGGAUGAUCUGCACUUGUCAGAGACACGAUCCGCGUCGAACGAAUCGACACAUUUCCUUUCGUAUUCGCAUAUGUAAUCUUUGAAAAAAUGUAGCUUCCGCAUCUAUAAAUAACGCUCAGUGUAUAAUGUUUUAUUCAAGAAAAGAAAACAAAUUUCUUCAUACUCCUUGUCCGAACAUACAGAGACAGUCUCUCAUAACUUCAGCCGAAUACUUAUGAUGAUGAUCAUUUGUGAUUUCAUCAGGCAUAGGGUUGAUGGUGAAAAAUUUUGUAUGUGUGAAGAAUUGAGCUGUGGAUAUAGGGGACUUAAGUGUAAUCGAAAGAGAGUUAUUAGGCCAUAGUGCAGAUUGCAUUCAGUUUAUGGGUCGAUAUGCAAAUAAUUUGUUGACGUGGCGAAAUCUGUUAUGGUCGUUACUAUUGUUUCUGGAAAUUUUCUAGAAACCUCAGCAUAAAAGGGGCUUUUGCAUAGCCUCUGGUGUGCGUGUGAUUUCUCUUUCGUUUCCUCAUCAAAUUCUGUAAUUCUUGCUUUGAUAAAAAGCUUGUAAUCAUUUCUGUAAUGUGUGAUCAGUGCGUAAUCAUUUUGAGCAAUAAAAGCUUGUGGGUUUUUCCUUCAAACAGUGUCGUUUUGGUCAGUUUGUUAGUUUGAUCUGUUGGUGGAAUUUUCUUUGGUUAUUUGUUCUCAAAUUUCAACCGUAUAUAAAGUUUGAACUCUAAUGGCUUAUAAUGUAUUGAUUAAGAAUAAUCCUAAGAGUUCCCGAUUGAAAUUUUUAAUGACUAUUUUUAUUGUUUUGGAUAUACAAAUUGCAUUAAGAAAAAAUAUUGUCAAAUUCAGAGGAUAACGGGAAAUAAUUAUGCUUCAAAAGACCAGAGAUUAGAGAAUAAAGAAGCAUUCAUUACUGACAUACAAAAGAGAAACACUCCAAAAUUGCAAGCAAACUAGUUUCAUAUACUAUUUGGAUUUUGGAAGGGGUGAAGUUUUGAGCUUCAGUUGUUCCUCUAAAUAGCAAAGAAGACUUAUUGGUACCUUACUGAAGCUAACAUUGUGGCACGGUUGUUCAUAUGUAAUGGCUGCUCUGUUAUGGUAGCUUCUCUGUUUUUGCUCACAGUUUUGAACAUGAAUUCUUGCUCAAAUAACCCAUAAUUAAUUAACAUUAAAAUGGCUCGUGAAAUCCCAUAAUAGCUAAUUACGCAACUUUCUCCUCCUCCUCAAUUAUGUCUUCCCCUGCUCGUACAAUAAAUUCAAAAUUCAAUGCCCCGAAAAACAACACAAGAAAUCUUUGAGUUAGUUCGUGACCAGUUUAUAUAUAGUAGCAAUUGAAAAAAGAAAAAGAAGAAAAGAGUUAAUUAUUAUUCAGACCUUCACUUAUUAGGAAGUUUGUUCUGCUAUUGGGUGAGGUCAAGCUCUCAGCAUAUACUUCCACAUGAUACUUUCUAACAUUUUCUUGAAAGCCAUCAAUCAUAAAAUCUUCAUACUUUUUUCCAUCCUUUGGAUCAAUGAGUACAAAUUUCUCAUCUAAAACAGACAAAAUAAAAUCACUGUCCUUCAUGGAACAUAAUGGCUGCAAUGCCUGAACUGAAUUGGCUAAUGAAACAUAGUCUUCUUUUCUUUCUCGACAUGGAACAUAGUCUUCUUUUCUUUCUCGACACAUGUCUCUGUACUUUUCUCUCUCUACUGAUCCACACUUUUUCAUACUUCUAACUAUCAUUUUGUUUUUUUUUUUUGAGUUGUGAUUUAUUCAAUUAUUUUGUAUUUUUAAUGACAAUUAUUUAAUAUUUAGUUAGUGUUGAUAUUGAUUAGUGAUUGAAAGUGUAUUUUAGAAGACUUCCGGUCUCUUGAAAAAAGGAAAAAUGGAGAAGAAGAAGAAGUGUUCUUGAUUUUUUUGUAGGCAUUAAAGUUAAACGGUUUGAAAUGAUAUUUUGUUUUAAUUUCACUCAUUAAUCUCAUUCAGGAUAAAAUUAUAAAUGCAAAUAAAUGGGGUUUCAUAAGUAUUUUUAAUAGUGUUAAAAGGUCUACUAACUAAAUAAACAUGUUUUACCCAAACCAAUCCGAUUAAUAAGUUAUUGGGUUGGGUUGAUCAGGUUAAAAAUCAAAAUUAAAAAUUAAAUAAAUAAAUAAGGCAUAAAAACUAUAUGUUACUUGAAAAUAAAAAGAAUUUCUAAUAGUUAGUUCUAAUGUCCCAUAUCCAAAACAUGCAUAUUAAAUAAAUAUUAUAAGUUAGAAAUAAAAUAUCCAAGAAAUAAUGAAUGAAAUACCAUAUUUUUGUUGAGAAUUAAGAGUGUGAUUUUAAUUUUGAUAUUGGAGUCUAAAGCAAUAGAUAGUACAAUGAAAUCAUGAAUGCUACGUUUAAAUAAUCUCUUUUAUAAAAUAAUAAAAAGAGGUUAAAAAUUAGGUUAGCAUUUAGGGUUUAGCAGUUAAGGAUGAACAUAUUAUUAUUGUUGUUGUUGUUGUUAUUAUUAUUAUUAUUAUUAUUAUUAUUAUUUACAUAUUAAUUAAUCCAACCCAACUCAAUUAUUAACGAAUUUGAAAAAAAAUGACCAAAUUAAUCCACAAUAAUUCAUUCAACUCGUCUAAAUUAGAUUAGAUUGAAUUUGAUUUGCUACACCUACAUUGAGCAACAAACCUCAACGCGAUUCUAUGAGCUCUUUGAUUGUUUAUAAAAUUGAUUUAGAGUACAUAAUGGAGUGUAUCGACAAUGAAAGUGCAAAACAAAUUAUUGUAUACAUUAAAAUCUGCAAAACAAUGAAUUAUAUGUACGAACGAGUGCAAACACAUUUUUCAAUAAGAAGUUAAAAGAUAUUUAUGCAUGAAAAAGCAUACGUUUGUAGUUACUCUAAAUUUUUUAAAAAAAAUUUACAUUUAGAUCCCUAAAAUUUACGUAUAAGUACAAAAGUUUCAAAUAUUGUCUAUUAUUUUUUAACAUAUGCCUAUUCCUUGUGGAUAAUUCUGUCUCAUCACUAAUGUUGUUUCUUGCUUACAAAAAACAAAUGUCAUCUCCUUUUACAAUUUUUAUAGCGUCUCAAAAUAGACAAUGGGGGGAUUUUGAAUUUUUUAAGUCUCAAGAUAGUCUCUAAUCUUGUGAGAAAGAUUUUCUUUCAAUAAUUUGGAGGUAAAGAUAACAUAAUUUUUUGGAUAGUGUGCAUGUGUAUUUAAUUAAUAAUUUUUUAAAAAAAUACAUCAAAUAUUAAUAUCCAUGACAUAAUUUAGUUCUUAAUUUUUUUUAAAUACAUCAAAAACAUAAUUUUUUUUAACAACUUAUAGGCAUGACAAAUUUCAAGAUAUAAAUAUCAGUCAAAAUAAGUGAAAGAAAUAAUGGUGCCAAUUCUAAUUUCUUAACUAAAUUAAUUAGUGCAUGAGCCCCGAAUACGACACGAGAGUUUGAUGGGCUAACUUGGCACAAGAACGUGAAUAAAUAAUUGAUUUAAGAAAUAAUUCAACGAAAAAUAUAAUUGAUAAGAAUUCAGUAUUGAAAUGAGUUUUUUUGUGAAACACUGAAUUAAUGAUUAUUAAGCAAGAACAAUAAAAAAAUAAAUAUUAAUCAUUGAUAAGUUUCAACAAAAACUUAACACAAUCCUCAAUCCUCAUUCAAAUGAUAAAUGUCAUUCAUAUAUUCAUUAUAAAUCAACAACAAAGGUUAUAAAUGUUUAGAAAUUCUAGAGGGAAGGAAGCUAUCGCCGGACAAUCAACAACUAAAUUUGAUGUAAUUGUGGCACGAGAUGGAAUAUGGAAACUACACCAUAAUUUCAAAUGCCGCCAUAGACAUUGACUUAUCAUAAUAACAAUGAUCUAAUUAAAAUAAAAACAAAGUUUAUGGGCAUUUAUUAUUUUGCCAUUCCUCAUUUGCAAAUAGGGAUAUAAUUAUAAUUUUACCUAGUCAAAGCAAUCGGUAGUUUUCUUCAUUAUAGGAGUGAAGUAAAAACAUUUAGAUUUCAAUGUAUGUACGGAAAAAUUUGUCUUUAAAAAUACUUUCUUAAUGUGUGUAUGCAUAUUGAAAUACUCAAACCAAUUUUGGUUAUAUAUAAUUAAACAAAUUUUAAAAUAUGAAAAAUAUAAUGUAGUUAUAGUGGAUAAACAAUAAGUGAGCACAAUAUAAUUAAUCAAAUAUUAUGCCAUCAAAAGUUAAUUUUAGAAAUUCCAAAUCCAAUAGCCAACACAAUUCUUUUUUUUUUAAAAAAGUUGACACAAUUAAUAAAAUUAGCGACAUGAAUUUCACGCCAUUGAUAAUCAGCAAUUAGUAUUACUUUCUAAACUUGCUUCAACUGGUCGUUGAUGUCCGGGUCACCAAAAGUAUAAGCGAUAAUAAGGGGCAUUGGGCAAGAGUGAUGAAUGUUUAGUCGGUGCAUUUGAUUGAUAGAUAUAUAAAGGGCCGAAACUUGAGAUUAUAUUACUUUUACAAAUUUUAAUCCAAUCACAUAUUUACUGAAAACAAAAUGAGUUAGGAUACUUUAUUUAGAACCCACAUUUUAAUAAGGCUUCAUUUGAUGUAGUUUUUCAAACAGUGAUUAUUUGAGUAAAGUUUCCUCAAUAGAGUUUUUAUCAAAUAAAUUUUAUUUAUUUGGUUGUCGAUAAGAACUUUUAUUAAAAAUUAUAAAAUUAUUUAAAUAAACAUAUUUUUUAAAAUUACAUUAUAAAAAGAAUUAAAUAAAGUUAUAAAAGUAAAAUAUAUUUUAGAUAUUUUAAUAUUUAAGAAAAAAAUUUUGAAUCUCUACUUUCAGAAGCUCAAAUUUUUAGUUUUUAGUUGUAGAGACAAAAUAUCUUAUUUAAUCUUUAAAAGUUCUGCUAAAAACAAUCAAAUAACUAUAAAAUUUUUAAUAAGAGUAUAUAAAAUUAAAUAAGCAUUUAUUAAUAAUCACUUUAGUGUACUUAUCUAAUGACCAUAAGUGUUUAUUUAAUCUCAUAAGUUCUUAUUUAAUCUCAUGAGCUCUUUUCAAUUUUUUUUGUUGUUUGCUUUUUUUAGUAGAGUUUUUGAAAAUUAAAUAAACUAUUUUGUCUCUAUUAGGAAAAACUCAAAUUUUAGGUUUUUGUGAGUAAAUGUUUAAAUUUUUUUUAAAAUAUUAAAAUAUUAAAGUAAAAGUUGUAGAGACAAAAUAUCUUAUUUAAUGUUUAAAAGUUCUGCUAAAAAUAAUCAAAUAACUACAAAAAUUUUAAUAAGAGCAUAUAAAAUUAAAUAAGCAUUUAUUAAUAGUCACUUUAGUAUACUUAUCUAAUGACCAUAAGUGUUUAUUUAAUCUAAUGAGCUCUUUUUAAUUUUGUUUGUUUGUUUUUUUAGUAGAGUUUUUGAAAAUUAAAUAAACUAUUUUGUCUCUAUUAGGAAAAACUUAAAAUUUAGGUUUUUGUGAGUAAAUGUUUAAAUUUUUUUUAAAAUAUUAAAAUAUCUUUUCUUUAUUUCAUAAUCUUAUUUCAUUCUUCACAACAUAACUUUAAAUAACUCACCUAUUAAAAUAAUUUCACAAUUUAUAAUAAAAAUUUUAAUUGACAAUCAAAUAACAAAUUUUUUUUUAUAAAAACUCUAAUAAUAAAAAUUCUACUUAAAUAAAUUAUAUUUGAAAAGGUAUACCAAACGAACCUAACAUAAAAACAAAAAUUUUUACAUCCACACAAUUAAGCUUAAAACAAUUUCAAAUGAAUUUUAGACUACUCAAAGUACAAUACGUACCAAGUUUGGUAACUUAUUGGGGUCCGCUUGUAAUACAGCGUCUGUAUCUCAUACAGCCAAAUUUAAUAAUUUAUUAAGAAAAAGGGCAACCAUUAGAUAGAAGUAGAUACAUCCAACGGUUAAAAUGUUUGAUUACUCAUUUUGGCGACCGGAUAUGCCAGUUAUUAUUUCAUCAAUUAACUUACCUAAAAAAUCACAGCCGUUGGAUUGAGAUGCCUCUCUUUCCCUCAAAAUAACAGCCUUCGUAUUCUCUCUGCUAUUGUUUUCUCCUACAUCCAGAAUUUUGGAUGAAUGAACUUGGUAUUCAACAAUAUUCACCACCCAUCACAGCAAAGAGCAAAGAUGUAGUCAAAGGAGUGCCAUUUAUUCAGGCUAACUCGAUCUGUCACUCUCGCUUCAAUUCGUCACUCAUUUUCUCGCGCUCAGCUUCAAUCUAUCACUCUCAGCUUCAGUUCGUCACUCACAGCUUCAAUUUUUCACUGUCGUGAAUCAUCUCUCUUGCUGUAUCUCUCUCUUAUGUCUUCCAAUAAUUUCGGUGAGCUCUCUCUCUAAUUUAAUAUAUGAUUAAAAAUCUUAUCAUCUUAUCAUGUCAUUUAAAUAUGCUUGAAGUUUCAAUUUAGUUUAUGAAUAUUACUUGAAAUUUCAGUUUCAAUAAUUUGAUUUUGCAAUUGAGAAAUUAUUACUUGAAAUAUUGAGAUGAUUUCUAGGGAUUGAUAAUUGAAUGAUAAUUGCUAAGGCUUGUCAUUUUUUGUUUUUGAACAGAUAGAGUUACAAUUAAGUCAUACUGCAAUAUUUUAUCUUGAGAUUCUAUUAUUCACAAAAAGAAAAAAAUCAUAAAUUGAAAAAAAAAAAAAAGAGGUUACGAGCAUCAAGCAACUGCAAGUAAUGGGGUUUGUUUUGAUGAGCUGCGAAUUGGGGCCUGUCAUUUUCUUGAAGUAUCUUCAAUAUAAGUGGAAGGAGAUUUCUUCUCUCCAAAAAAUUAUUGUAUAUUUCCUUUUAAAUUCUAGAUUCGCAUGUAGCUGAUUUUUUAUGUUUGAAGGAUUUUAUUAAAGAAUGUGCUGCUGCUAGUGGCAUGAAUUAAUGUAGUCUCGCUAGUAUUCGUGAUUUGGGGUAAGGAUCGAAUUGAACAAUUAUAUUUCUAUUAUUCUUAUAUUCGAAUCCAGUGAUAUUGUGGUGGUUUUAUGAUAAUAUUCAAUUGUUUUGUGCCUCAAAUCAGCCAAUGAGUUGGGUAUGUGCUGGGUAUAUGCCGUAUGGGCUUGUUGUUGAAUUUGCUUGACCUUGGAUGUGAUUCUUGCCGUGUUUAUAAGAAAUAGACACAGGUCUUUGUGUGGUAAUAGAAUUGUCUAAGGUGCCUUACAAUAAAUUUAAGAGUCUUAAGUAACUAUGCUUUGUAACCUUAAACCUUUAUUUGUACGACUUGGUGUUCUUGGUUGUGAAAGAAUGUUAAAUGUUGACCUAUUUUCAUCGGUGAAGAUAAAUGAAGUUAGGGAAGGUUUGUAAUCACUAUAACCCUGACAAUUUUUUUGGUGGGCCGUGAUAAUUUUAUUCAUGGCAUGUACUUUGUUUUUAUCAGAAGGCCCUGUUUGCUUGUAGUCUCAAAUCUAGGGUAAUAUUUUAAAUAAGUUCUGCAAUAUAUGUUUUGCUAUUUUUCUUUUUUGUUUUUAUUUUAAUUAGUUUUAGUAUUACUUGGAGGGGAAUUCUGAUCUGCUGAAGUUUAUCAAGCUGGUGCAGUGGUGCAGCAAGCAGACCUUUAUCUUAAUCUUAUGAUUGUGCUAAGUGGAAUUUUGUGUAAGUUACAACAAUAUAAUUUUUUAAAGAGCUGACAAGACGCUCUCUCUUUUUUUUGGAAUGUUGAGCAAAACUUUUCUUUCUUAUUAGGUGUUUAUAAUAAUUCAUAGCAUGGGUUUUGUCAUAUUGGUUUCAAUGCAUUGAUUUGAUCUUGGUUACAACCCAUCAGCCCUUACUCCUCAUUCCCAGCAGCUUUUAAUGCCUUUUUUUUAAGCAUUGUACUUUGUUUCAUGAUGAAAUUUGUUUAUAUGACGCAAAGUUGAGGACACGGUAAUAGUCAUUAUUUUAAUUUAUGCAACAAAGAUCAUUAUCCAUUAAAUUUUAUGUUGUUGAAAUAUUUAGAUUUUGUAAAUUUUGUUGUAAGAAAUGAGGGCUCUUGAUCCCAUCCCUUUAUUAUAUACAAUUUUUUUUCACUCUGUCAUUCAUUUAUUGUGUGUUAGAGGUAUUAGUCAUGUGCAAAAGUAAAGAUCUUUAUUUUGUUAUUUUUGUCAUCUUGUGCUUCAUUGGUAUAAAUGAGGAAAAAAAAGAAUAAAAUAAAAUAAAAUUAUAGUUUGUGCAUGAAUUCCACCAUAUAUGAAAUGUUUAAUAGAUUAAAAAGUAAGGAGUACACAGUGACUUUGAAUAGCAGGUGGGGGAACUCAUUUUGUUUUAAAAAAAAUUAAUACAUAUUGAUAGAAUAAUUAUCCUUCACUUAAUUAUUUAAAAAUUUUAUUUUGGAAGAAUACAAAUGGACAGUCACCAAUGAAAGCGUAAACGACUACCAGGGGGCUUACAGAAAAAAUUGCUCCUAUUCUAAAAGUAGAUGGUCAGGACAAAGUUCCAACAACUUCAACUUAUGGAUUUGUCUCUUACUUGUAAGGUAAUCUCUUCUUGUAGGGUGUUUAAUUGAAUUAAAAACAGAAUAUUAUUUGCAUUAUAGAGUACAGGCAUAAAUUCAUUAUCUAUGUCAGUUCAUUCAUGAUUUUACUCCAAAUGGAGUAAUAGAUCACCAUUAAUUUAUUGAUACAUCGUCCAUGUUUGUUUUCGUCUUCAAUUUUUAUAUUACAAUAUCUAAUCUAUUUAGUAUUCGUAAAAAAACAUACGAGAAAAAGUUGGAAAAACACUUUAGGGGUGAUUGUGUACACUUUCGUAUGGCACAAAUAGCGUUAGGCUUUGUUUUUUAAGUGGACGACGUGUCCAUUUUUUGUGUUACAUCUUACUCAUUAAUAUAUUUUUGAGUUUCUUAUGGAAAAAAAAUUGAAAAAACACUUUAAGUGAAAAAAAUUUGUAUUUCAAUUUAUAUGUAACAGUGAAUUGGAAAAUAAAUUCUACCAAUAAUUAAAAGAAUACUUUUCUUUUAAUUAUUAAAAAGAUAAGGUAGUUACUCAUUACCCAUAUAAAUGGACAGUUUUAAUUUGUUCCAUAUCUAUACAACAGAAGAGCUUCAGACACGGUUUGCAGCGUUCCACGAUCACUUCCAUUCUAAGCAGCAGCGUCUUCCGUCUUUUUGCACACCAACAGCAGAUUCUAGAUGGCCAGAAGCUCAUCUGCCGCACUCUCGGGAUUUCGCUGCCAUCCUCAUCUUCAUCUCCACUACCUCCUCAGUGAUUAUCCCCUGGUUUUAUGCUCAGAAAUUAUGAUUAUUAUGUAUCUUGUUUUCAGAUUUGUCAAUACUUGUUAUAUUUUGAUUAUGCAUUAUGGACAUUUUUCAUAAGAUAGCUUAAUUUUGUGGUUUGUGUUGACGAUUUCCAUGUAUGGAUGUUUGGAUAGGUAAUUUCGCCUUCCAUGCAUUCUUCAUUCCUGCAUCCUGUGGGAGAAAAUUGGAAAAAGUGGUUUUUGAUGAGAAACGGGGAGAAGGAUGAGAUAUAUAUUUUUGAAGUGUCACAUUAUUUCAAAAACAAACCCCAAAUUUAAUUUCUCUUACCGAUCAUGAGUUAAAAUAUAAAAAUUAACGUUUACUCAUCACACUGUUAUAAGUAUCAAAGCAUUACUUAUAGAAAAAUUAUCGUCACCUAUCCUACAUUUGUGAUUGAAUAGUGGCACAAUUUUAAUUGGGAUAUUUAACAUUACUCUUUGUAAUUGUUUGGUCUUAUUUGAAGUUUGUAAAUUUUUCAUAACUAUGACUUCAACAGCAUAUUUCAGGUUGCAUUUAAUCGUUGCUAUAAUUAGGUACUUUGAAAUAAUUUAUUGGCCACGAUUACAGUCAUUGUUAUUAGUCACCCCUCUUUUUUCUCUUUUGGCCAACCAGCUCUUGGAUAUUUGGGAACCGAUGACAAUAGUUGGGAAAUUAUGUAAUAUUGGUGUGUUUGCGAAAUAAAUCAAGAGAUUUGCCUUGCCGAAGUUAAAAGAGAUAUUGUGGCCUGAAUUUUUUUUUUUUUUCUCUAGGGGCCAUGGCUCUCAAGGACAAGGCAUGAAUCAUGCAUUAUAAUUGCUCGAAAGGGUUAGUAAAAUAGCAAUCUAAAAUACCCAAGUUGGAUCUGCUGUUGAAUCACAAAAAGAACAUAAUUGGGAUAUGAAGUCAUGGUUGCAAGUGUUGGACCCUUAGGUUACGUUUGGCACGUAGGAUUGGAUUGAACUAAUUACUAAAAUUGGAUUGAAUUAUAUUCGAUUGGAUUAAACUGGAUUAUAUUAUAUAGUUCUAUGGUUAGUACAAUAUCGGAUUAAACUAUGUUAAAUUAUAUUUAAAUAAUAUUAAAUAGCAUUUAAGUUGGUAUUUUAAUAUUAAUAUCAAUUAUUCAUGAAAUUUCAUAAUCAUAAUUAAAAUAAAUUUAAAAAACAAUUACCAGGAAAAUUAAAUAUAUUGUAAAUAAGUUACUGGGUAGUCAUAAUACAGUAAACAAAUGAACAUAGAUAAAAAAAUUAAAUUUUAAAUAAUUUUUAUCAAAUUUUAAAAAAAAAUUAUAUAAAAUCAAUUAUUUAAUGGUAUUAUUAAUUUUCAUGAUUAUUUUUAAUAGUAUAUAACAAUGAUUAUUAAAUUUAAUACAAUCAAAUAAUGCAAUAAAUAAUUAAACAUUUAAUUUUAUCAAUAAAUUACUAAAUAUACAAGUGGUGAAAAUUUAAUCUCCAGAGUUAGUACAAGUAAAGGUAUUAAUUUAAUUAGAUCAUAGAUAAUAAAUAAAAAUAAGUUUUAAGUAAAUCAUAUUAAAAAUUAAUUAAUUAAUUAAUACUAGGUGUAAAUAAAAAAAAUGAUAUAAAUAAAAAUCUCAUAAAUGGACAACUUUUUUCUUUAAUCUUAUCCCAACUAAACCCAUGCGUAAAUUAGGAUUAUCAAUUCCAUGAUUUUAGGAUUAAAUUUAAAUUACUACCCCCUUAAUCCAAUCCAACUAAGCUUGCCAAACAUUGGAUAAAUAUUUAAUUCCAAAAUUAGUCUAAUCCCAUACUUAAUCCUAGAAUCCAAACAUGGCAUUAGCACCUUAUAUAACAAAGUGUCACUGAAAUACAGCAAAACGUUAUAAACAAGAACUUAUUUCUGUACAAAAUGUUAUUUACUUUUUGUGAACUUCCAAAUACCUACUAUAUGAUUUGCAAACCCUACAAAAGUCUACCUUGCAUGCUCUUUCUAACGUGAAAUUUGAUUUUUAUUAAAUUUUUGAUGUGUUCACUAAUAAAUAAUUGGAAUCUAAAAAAAUUAGAAAAAAAUAGAAUUAGAAUGAGCUACAAUAAAAAUGAGGAAUAACAAAAAAAAUGAUAUUUGUUGAGAUGAAUGAAACACAAUUGAAAUACUCUAUAUCGCUCUUAAUAUGUUCACUUUGUGAACAUAAAUUAGAAUUAGUUGUUAUAACUUAGUAAUUUAUCCUCAAUCAAUUAUUAUCAUUAUUACUAUUUGUUAUAAUAAUUGUAAUUAUUAUUUUUGAUAAUUUUAAUACUAAGAAAAUUAUUGUUAGGGGUGGAAACACCAUAUAGAGAAGGAACAAUUAAAUUUAUAAAAUUUAGUGGGGAUAAAAUAGUCACUUAAGACAGCAAGCGUCUCCCAUUCUCACCUCCACGAGCAUGAAAACACUAGUAAUCAUUCUUAAAUUUUGAUGGAAUCUGUUGCUUUUAUUCUAAUAACGAACGCAAAACCUAUGGAAUUAGUUGGAAUAACGAAUGCAAAACCUCUGGAAUUACAAUUGAAAUACGUCAACCCAAAAUGGAGAAAGCACAACUAAAAUUAGAGACCUACAAAACCAAAAAUAAACUUAUAGAAAACAAACCCGGUACCUAAUCUCAAUAAUUGGAAUCUCAACCAGUUAAUGGAAAUAUUCAACUCAAAAUUAGGGAAAAAUUAGAUGAAACACGUGAACCAUUGAGAGAGAAAGUAUGACGAAAAUUAGAAACUCAUUUAACGAAAAAUAAUAUUUACUUGGAAUCUAACCCAUGAUACUGGUACCUAAGGAACUUUAUAGGAAUAUGAAACGCAAAACCAGUGGACCAAUAAGUUGAAACAUGUGAACCAAAAAAUGAAAAACUAUAACCAAAUCUUGAGACUAAUCAAACCAAGCAAAAGUAAUAUUGAUAUUUAACCCAUAUAAUUGGAAUUUUACCAAAUUAGUUGGAAUAACGAAUGUAGAACUUGUGGAAUUACAAUUGAAAUACAUCAACAAAAAAUGGAGAAAGCACAACCAAAAUUAGAGACCUACAAAACCAAAAAUAAAUUUAUAGAAAAUAAAUUUGGUACCUAACCACAAUAAUUGGAAUCUCAACCAGUUAAUGAGAAUUCUCAACGCAAAACUAUAGGAAAAAUUAGCUGAAACACAUGAACCAUUAAGAGAGAAAUUAGAACGAAAACUUGGAACUUAUCCAACGAAGAAUGCUCGUGACUUGGAAUCUAACAACAAAUAUUGGUACUUGACUAAUUUAGUAGGAAUAUCAAAUGCAAAACUCAUUGACCAAUAAGUUGAAACAUGUAAACCAAAAGAUGAAAAAGUAUAACCAAAACCUGAGAAUAAUCAAACCAAGAAAAAGUAAUAUUGAUUUUUAACCCAUAUAAUUGGAAUUUUACCAACUUAAUUGGAAUAACGAAUGCAAAACCUGUGGAUUUACAAUUGAUAUACGUCAACCCAAAAUGGAGAAAGCACAACCAAAAUUAGGGACCUACAAAACCAAAAAUAAAGUUAUAGAAAACAAACCUGGUACCUAACCUCAGUAAUUGGAAUCACAACCAGUUAAUAGGAAUAUUCAAUGCAAAAUUGGGGAAAAAAUUAGAUGAAACACGUGAACCAUUAAGAGAGAAAGAACAACGAAAACUAGGAACUUAUCCAACAAAGAAUGAUAGUUACUUGGAAUCUAACAGUAAAUAUUGGUACUCGACGAAUUUAAUAGGAAUAUCAAACGCAAAAAUAGUGGACCAAUAAGUUGAAACAUGUGAACCUAUAGAUGGAAAAGAAUUACCAAAAUUUGUAACUAAUCAAACCAAAAAAAGUAAUAUAGAUAUCUAACCCAUAUAAUUGGAAUCUCGACAAAUUAGUUGAAAUAUUAAACAAAAAACUAGUGGAAUAAUAGUUGAAACACAUGAACCAAAUGUGGAGAAAGUUUAACCAAAUUUUGAAACUUAUCCAAUGAAGAAUGCUAGUUACGUGGAAUCUAACAACAAAUAUUGGUACUCGACGAAUUUAAUAGGAAUAUCAAACGCAAAAAUAGUGGACCAAUAAGUUGAAACAUGUGAACCUAUAGAUGGAAAAAUAUUACCAAAAUUUGGAACUAAUCAAACCAAAAAAAGUAAUAUCGAUAUCUAACCCAUAUAAUUGGAAUCUUGACAAAUUAGUUGAAAUAUUAAACGAAAAACUAGUAGAAUAAUAGUUGAAACACAUGAACCAAAUGUGGAGAAAGUUUAACCGAAUUUUGAAACUUAUCCAACGAAGAAUGCUAGUUAUUUGGAAUCUAACAACAAAUAUUGGUACUCGAUGAAUUUAGUAGGAAUAUCAAACGCAAAAAUAGUGGACCAAUAAGUUGAAACAUGUGAAUCUAUAGAUGGAAAAGCAUUACCAAAAUUUGGAACUAAUCAAACCAAAAAAAGUAAUAUCGAUAUCUAACCCAUAUAAUUGGAAUCUCGACAAAUUAGUUGAAAUAUUAAACUAAAAAUUAGUGGAAUAAUAGUUGAAACACAUGAACCAAAUAUGGAGAAAGUUUAACCAAAUUUUGAAACUUAUCCAACGGAGAAUGCUAGUUACUUGGAAUCUAACAAAAAAUAUUGGUACUCGACGAAUUUAGUAGGAAUAUCAAACGCAAAAAUAGUGGACCAAUAAGUUGAAACAUGUGAACCUAUUGAUGGAAAAGCAUUGCCAAAAUUUGGAACUAAUAAAACCAAAAAAAGUAAUAUCGAUAUCUAACCCAUAUAAUUGGAAUCUUGACAAAUUAGUUGAAAUAUUAAAUGAAAAACUAGUAGAAUAAUAGUUGAAACACAUGAACCAAAUGUGGAGAAAGUUUAACCGAAUUUUGAAACUUAUCUAACGAAAAAUAAAUUUAAUUGGAAUUUAACCCAAAAUAUUAGUGUUUAACGAGUUUAGUGGGAAUAUUAAACAUAAAACUAGUGGAUCGGAAAAUGGAGAUAAGCAAACCAAUUAGUGAGAAAGUUGAAUCAAAAUUAGGUAUAUGUGAAAUUAACUUGGAAUGUCACCUAAUAUAUUGAUAUUUAACCAAAAGAAUCGAGACAUGCUCAUUUUAAUUUUUUUAAACUUUUGUUGCAAUUAAAAAUAAUUUUUUCACUUAAAUAUUGUUUGUGUUAAAUAUUUACAAAAUUUCCUUAAUUUUUCCUGUUUCAUUUUAUUUUUUCUACAUUAAAAAUAAUUUUUUAAAAAUUAUUAAAUGAACAACCGGUAAAAUACCGGUUGUUCAAGUUUCCUUUUUACUGUUGAAGGGGCUGUAUUUUAUACAGCACUGUACUAUAGGAAGACUCAACUUAUUGACAUCUUCUCAUAUAACCUUCGAUCAAGUCGAUUCUGACCUGACGACUAAUUGGUACAUCACCGUUGUUCUCUAUACUCGCAUGCAUCGGAUCACAAAUCUCACUCCAAUUGUCGUCUUUCUUCGCCGUUUUAGCGCAUACUUCUUGAAUUUCCCGCAUUUCGUUCCCUCCUGUUACAAGUCUCCGGUCAGGUCAGUGAUUGAAUUUCCCGCAUCUCUAUCCCUCCCGUUUUCUCGCGUCGUUUCACUUCAAUUUCUCGUGUCUCCUUUCAGUUUAAGUGAUUGAAUCAAUUUUAUCGCAGUCAUAAGAGAAAUUAAGUAAUGCUCUUGGAUUUAAAAUUUUUUUGCUUUCGACUUUAGAUCUCGAAAGUCAAACUCUGCUACGAAUCCAUAGAUUCUCAAUGCUCAUAAUCUUAUUUGUGUUUGACCAGGUAACUGGAUCGUGAAAUUCGUCGUUUUGUAUCAAUUCAAGCUUUCGCGAGCUCAUGGAAUCACCUGGUGAGUUGUGGUGAAACGUUAUCGUUUCAAUUUUCGCUUAAUUCUUUAUUGCAUAUUUUUUUCUCUAAUGUUUCAGUUUAAUUUAGAAAAGAAAGAGGCCCCAAAAAGAGAGAGAGAGAGAGACUCUACCAUACUCAAUUCCUUGCUCAUUCUGAUUUGGCCUGAAUGUUGGCAUUGACUAUUAUUUGUUUUCAUUUCGAUUUAAUUCUCAUUUAGACAGUCUUUACUAACGGUCAAUAAUAGUUUAAGGAAAAUGAUCAUAGGGAUUCUGCAAUAAUCUUUCUGCAUUGUUCAAGUUAGUAGACAAUGAAUAGGAUGUUUAUGUUUACCUCAUUUUGAACCCUGAGGGCUUCGUUGAGUAGUUGAUUCAACAUAUCCAGCAACGGUUGAUGUGAGAACAGAAUGCCACUUAGAUAGGCUUAAACUGAUUUUGGAGGUUUGUAUUGGUUCUAUUGUACGUCUUGCUUACAAAUUUUUAAUUUUUAAUUUUGUAUAAUAUGCUCUUUGUUGGUAAAUCUCAUUUGACUUAGAAGAGAUAGUUUUAUCCCAACAGUGGGAUAAAUCAUUGAGAUGCAUGGCAGUGUGAAUAUAGUAGACAAAAUCAUUGAGACACAUGGUGGUGUGAACAUAGUAAACUUUGUCAAACACAGCUAAGAUAAACAAAUUGUUUCAUUAGCCUUUACCUUAUCUGCUGUGAUGAUUCAAAUUAAUGCUGUUUGGUAGGUUGCAAAAAACGAAAUGAGCUGUCUGUUCGUAUUAUUUAGUCAGAUCUAUUGCAAUAAGUUGAAGUUCAUUGUCACAUGGGUUGGGAGUAGCGUGGGCUGUGAGUAGUAGAAUGGAUUUAUGGAGUUGAUACAAGUGCCCAUAAUCUAUCAUGUCAUUCUAGGAUUAAAUGGAUUGCACAUUACUGUAAAGAUGGAGGUUAAAUUUAUAUAAUUCGGAUUGAUUGUAAAAUGGGAGGCAGAGAUGAGUUAGAAAAAGAAUGACCUGUGUCCUUUUUGAGCUGUUUCUAAAUCUCCCUGGUGUGCUUCAUGCUUAACACGUGUCUUUCCAAAUAAUUUUGCUUAACCUGUGCUUGUCUACUUCUUGUGCUAUUCUGUGCCUGGUCCUGAGCUGUGUUGGUAGAUUGACAUAAUUUUGCUCUGCUAAAUGUAUAACUUAUUAAUCAGAGUCCUGUUAUUAUGGUUUGACACUACUGACAUAUUGUGUUGGUAUUUAUUUGUACUUCCCUUGGUUGAAUUAUUUGCUGUCUCCAUGCAAUUCGAUAUGGUGCUACUUGGUUUUUGAUCAUCCAUGACGCUAUAUAUAUGUAAAGGAUGAAUUGAUUGUUUUGGCUUGUAUUCUCACAUUUUAUGAUUGAUCGAUGGAAAGGUUUUCAUGCAUUAAAUUCAACCUCACAAGCGUAAGAUUGACAGAUUGUGGGCAAAUUUUCAGGAAAAGAAACUAGACUUCAUGGAAGCAAUGAAGCUUGAAAUUGAACGUCUGCAGCUGAAUCUUUCUGCAGCUGAAAGGGAUAGAACUUUAUUGUCAAUUGGAACUGAUCCUGCCUCUAUAAAUCCAAAUGUAUUGCUUGAUGAAUCUUACAUGGGAAGACUGUGUCGAGUAGCAAACACUCUUGCAUUACUUGGCCAAGCUUCCCUAGAAGAGAAAAUUGUUGGUGCAAUUGGCCUUGAGAAUAGUGGUGAUAGUGUUUUAGACUUCUGGAAUAUUACUAGAAUCGGAGAGAGUUGUUCUGGUGGUGGGUGCGAGGUUUGUGCAGAAACUAAGGUGCCUGCUCUUGCUUCCUCAACUGCAACAUCUGUUGGAUCUUCACAAUCCCCUUUGUUGUGUUCUCAAUGUGAAAGAAAAGUUUGCAAAGUUUGUUGUGCAGGAAGAGGAGCUCUACUGUUUUCAAAUUAUAAAUCAAGGGAUGUGACCAACUACAAUGGCUUCUCAAGUCAGAGUGGAUCAAGCCAUGGAAGCCAAGUUGAUGUAGCUACCAGUCGUUCACUAACACUGGAUGGCGUUAUCUGUAAACACUGUUGCCAUGAGAUGGUGCUUGAUGCAUUGAUGUUGGACUAUGUUAGGGUCUUGAUUAGGUUGCGAAGAAGUUCCUGUGCAGACAACGCAGCAUACAAUGCUUUGAAUGAGGUUGUUGGAUCCUGCUUAAAGGAUAGUCUUUCUGAGAGGAUUCAGUCUUCCGAUAAUGCGCAAGCAGCUAAAGUCCUGCACCAAUUAUGUGGUGGACAGGAAGCACUUGCUGAAUUUCCAUUUGCUAGCUUUUUGCACUCGGUAUGUUCUUGGUUUGUAUUCAGUUCUCAUCAUAUUAUGUUUUCCUUUUAAAUUUCAUUUCUUGAUUAAAAUUUUUAGAAAUGUGUUUUAGCAUUUAUUCUUAUGAUAUAUGCCCGGAACAUUCAUCCCACUUAUCCAUGAGAAUCCUUGUCUGGUUUGAUUUUCAAUUGAGACAUUUUUGGGAACCCUGCGCAGGUUCCAUAUGCUAAUAAUCUUUGAGGUAAGGUGUUGUAGGAUGCCUUGAGAAGCUAAAAACCCAUUACAAGGAAAAGGUCUUGCAUUGUUUUGUGCAAUCUGUGUGCGAGCUAGUCAUGUCUCUAAUAAUUUCAUAGUUUGCUUGAUUGGAAUUUUUUAUCUUGAUAUGGAUUGUUUAUUCUAGAUUCCUUGGUGCCACUGUAGGUUGAAACAGCAAAAGAUUCAGCACCGAUUUUGUCACUGCUUGCUCCAUUAAAUUCUGGAUCAAGGCACUCAUAUUGGAGAGCUCCACCUAGUACUACUUCUGUUGAAUUUGUUAUUGUUCUCGGUUCUGUUUCUGAUGUCAGUGGGGUUAUCUUGCUUGUUAGUCCUUGCGGCUAUUCUGUGGCUGACACUCCGAUGGUAAGUGCCAUAUUUAUUCCCUUAUUUCCUUGUUGUUCAAUAAAUUUGGUGAUAAGCCAAGUGGCCUUAAUAAUGAAGCCCAGUACCAGGGUUGGUGGGUAAUAGAUAUUCAACUUGUGAAUAUUCCUAAGCAAACACUGAAUCAACAUAUACCUCGGCUAAAGUUCUCUAUGCUAUUAUAACAAAAGUCAUAUUUUGAAAUGAUUAAAAGAGUCCCUGUGUAGUGCCAUUUCCAAAGAAAUUGCAGCUGGGGGUUUAGUUUCAUGUAGGUUAGUUUCCGAUAAUAAACUUUCUAUUUCAUUAAUUGCUGAUGAAAAAACCAAGUAAGAACAGUUUUGUUGCUCGUCAUUUUUGUAUAUUUUGGUAAACUGUAAUUUUAAAUUCUCAACGAUCUUCCCUUUGUAGGUAAGAAGAUGGUCCACUCACUUGAUAUUUAUGAUUGUAGAUCAGGUUUCUAUUGGUUUGCCUUUAUCAUUUAGAACCCAUGUUUGAUAUUAACAGAGAUCACGUCAAUAAUAUCCUAUUUGGGUAGAUGUGGGUGAGGAUUUAAAAUCAAAUUUGAAAUUGAGGGGAAAGAAGAGAAAAGGAACCACAAUAAUUAAACAAAAUAAUAGGAACUAUUCUGAUGAGUUUUAAUCUCGAGAGGAACAAUUUUCAAAUGCACUGCUAGAGAAAUUGUAGCUUUUUGUCAUUAGUUAAAAGGAAAAAGAAUAAGAACUAUCCGGCCCUUUCCUUCAUGAAUGUGUGUUGAGGUUGCUGUAUUAUUUAGUCAGUAUUUGUAAUUUUCUUCCCUGCAGUGCUCUCUGCCUCCUGAAUUUGCUUCCUAUUGCUGUUACAGGUGCAAAUCUGGGCAAGCAAUAAGAUACACCAGGAGGAAAGGUCAUCAAUGGGAAAAUGGGAUGUCCAAUCCCUCAUCACAUCUUCUUCAGAUUUGUAUGGUCCAGAAAAGUCUGCUAGUGUUGAAAAAUUACCUAGGCAUGUAAAAUUUACUUUUAAGAAUCCUGUUAGGUGCCGCAUUAUUUGGAUCACAUUACGUCUUCAGAGACCUGGUUCGGCUUCAGUUAAUUUCGGGAAGGACCUCAGUCUUUUGUCUCUUGAUGAAGAUGAAAACCCCUUUGCACAAGUAGACAGACGUGCUUCAUUUGGAGGAGCAGUUGAAAAUGAACCAUGUAUUCAUGCCAAAAGAAUUCUUGUAGUCGGAAGCCCAGUAAAAAGGGAGGGGCUUACCACAUCACAGAGCUCUGAGCAGCUAAGUAUUAGAAACUGGUUGGAUAGAGCUCCACAAAUGAGUAGAUUCAAGGUAUUAGUUGCUUUCACUCUUUGUUCAUUCAUAAUUCCAGCUUUCUGCUUCACUGAUAAACCUCUUUUUUCUCUUCAGGUCCCAAUUGAGGCCGAGAGAUUGAUGGACUACGAUCUCGUCUUGGAACAGUAUCUACCUCCAGCGUCACCUUCGCUUGCCGGAUUCUGUCUAGACGCUUUCAGUGCAAUAAAACCUAGGGUUACCCAUUCACCUUCCUCAGAUUCAGAUAUCUGGGACAAAUCAGUAACAUUUUUAGAAGACAGGUACAUCUCUCAAGCUGUAUUGUAUUUACAAGUAUCCGCACUCCAGGAACCACAUAACAUGGUAACUAUUGCGGAAUAUCGACUGCCGGAGGCUAGAGCCGGAACGCCAAUGUACUUUGAAUUCCCACGACCGAUACAGUCCCGACGAGUUUCAUUCAAGCUUCUUGGAGAUGUUACAGCAUUUGCAGAUGAACCUUCAGAACAAGAUGAUUCAGGAUUGAGAGCUCCACUUGUGGCCACAGGUUUGUCUUUGUCAAACAGAAUCAAGUUAUAUUAUUAUUGUGAUCCUUAUGAGCUUGGAAAAUGGGCAAGCCUUUCUGGAGUUUGAUCGUUAUUUAUAUGUCAGAGAAAGAGUUUUGGGUUUGAUUUUGAUUUUGAUUUGUAAUUUUUGUCAGUUUAUUGAAAUUUUUUUGUUGUAUAAAAGCAGAAUGUAAAGGUAUAAAAAUUCAUUGAUGCUGCAAUGUCUGUGCUUUUGAGAAAGAAGAAUUCAAUGUCUUUUCUAUGCCAUUGGAUUUUCCCACUGCUUGUAAACUUGGGCUGUCGAGUGCUCUGUGAACCUUAAGGGCUAUAAAGUAAUUUUUUAGACUGAAGGAUUUAUUAAUCGAGUUCAAAAGAUUGCAAGUUGGUGAGCGUUGGCAUUUAAAAAUCAAUUGUUAUUCUCUCAAUAAUCUCUCUCUUCUGCCGACACCCCAAGCUCAGAAACCCAUUGUUCCGACGGACGUGUAACACUUCCAGAAAUUAGCCUUUUCUUCUAUAUGAAGGUUGAUCUCUCCUCGUGAAGUGAAGGUGGUUUUCCAAUUACAUACGUCGGGGGUCUUAUGAUAUCUAAUGUGUGAAAUUUCUUUCUCAUUUUACCAUAAAGAAAAGUUCUGUAAUGAUCUAAAGUUGGGAGUCUUAAAUUAUCUUAAAUUUAUAUUUAGAGUGGAGUUAUUGGCACCCUACAUUAUUCUUACAAAAUUCUAUUUUAAAUAAAAUUAUAAUUAAAGACAAUUGAAAAUUAUAGAUUUUUUUACAGCAAAUUACUUAAGUCAUAAUUAAUCCUUAAAAAAAAAUCUAUAUGUUACUUCUUAUUUAAUUAAAAUAAAUUGUACAAAUUUAAAAUAAUUUAUUGUUUUCUUUUGAUUUUUUAUUGAUUAAAUAUUUUUAUACUUAAAAUUACUUUGAAAUUAUAAUUUAAAAUAUGUGUUAUAUGCAAUAGUUCGAUUUACCGAACCACAAAGGGAGCCAAUGUGGUUUUGCCAAAAUCACAUACUGUAGCAUAAUAACAGAUAUUAUUAUUGUAUAAUAGAUGGGUUUAGAAAAAUUGAAGAACCAAGUAAGUUAUUUGAAAAAUGUCGAUUCUCGUACCAAACCCAUGUUUUAUGCCAAUUGUUUUUGGAUUGGAGUGCAGGCAUUAACAAUGAUGGAGAUGGAGGAACUGUAGCAUUAGUCAUAUGAAGAGUACGUGUCAGGUUUGAUUUUCAUGUGAUUUGGUUAGUGACGACGAAAACGACGACGUCGUAGUUGAAAAGCGUUUGAAUUAAUGUUGCGUUAAAAAAAAAAUUUAACUUGUUCCACUAAUUAAGUCAACAUUACUGAUGUCUUAUCACCCUCGGCCAACUUAACAAUUGGUGUCCUUUGGACAAUUAAAUAUGAUUUAUUCAAAAAAAAUAAAACUAUUAAAUAUUAAAAAUUAGGUCCAUUAAUAAUAAUAAUAAUAAUACUAAGAAUUAAGAAGAUCUAAUUACAUAUCAAAAUGACUCAAACAAAUUAAUUAAUUUCAUAUUAGCUAGCCAAGUAGGUUGUCCAUCCCACUCAGACAUGCACGAAAGCUAAAUUCAUCAAAUGAAUUACUUAAGGAGUAUUUGAUAAUUUUGAAAUUAUAAUUUCAAAUUAAAAUAGUAGUAGCAAAAUCGUAGUGCACAUUCAAUUAACCAACUAAUAGUCUAAGAAGCAAAGAGAGGAUUACAAGUUCACAACACCAUUAAAAAGGAUUCAAAAUUCCCACACGAAAACAUCAAUGUACAGAUUAUAAACAAUCCGAAUUGGACACAAGAAAAAACCCUUCAAUGGAUUGCUUGCCUUCCCAAUGCUAUAUACUGUGCAAACUGCGCACUGGCCAAGAAAAUAUUUUCAAUUUAGUGUAUUUUCAAAAUGCUUAUUUUCUCAGAAUAUAAAAAAAAAAAAAACAAAAAAAGAAUUCUUACAUGUUUCAUCAGCAUGAUUAAAAUCAAAGAAGAAAGCGAAGACAUAAUGUCUCUGACAUAAUAAAAUUACAAUUUCAUGCAGCAGAGAUUGAAGAGUUGAAUUCCACUUAUAGACACCGACCUCUUGUUUUGUCUAAUGUUAAUAACGAAAACAACAACAGAGGAUUAACUGAUGCUUUGACUUAUUAUCAGGUUGCAAUGAAUUAUUAACUGAUGCUUUGACUUAUUAGUUCUGCUGCUAAGUUAAAUAAAAUAAGGUAUUUUCAAAAGCAAAAUGGAAUACAUAGAUAAAACAUCAUCUUAAACAAAUCAUAAUCUAGAAUUGGAGACAUACCCAAGGAGAAAGAAUACGUGAAAAUGGGUGAUUCAUUUGUUAAGGAGUGUUGAUUUGGUCGUCUCUGCAAAUUCUUUAGGGACUCGGUUCCAGUUCCUCUUCAUCAAAACUGUAAUAUAAUUCCCCUUCAUCAGAACUCGAAUCGAUGCAAUAAAAUUCCCCUUCAUCAGAACUCGAAUCAAAUUCACUUGCAGCAGUUCCACUCGCGCUUGGCAAAUCAUCCAAUUUCCAAACUUCGGUAGCAAAAUUGAGAGUAAAAGUGUUGGCUUUGGUCUCUCUGGGAUUUGCAUAUACUGGACAUACUCCGCAACGUUUUAGCUUAGUGAAGAACUUAAAUGAGGCAGUUGUAUGAUGGUAACCAUCAGGAAACCCAACAUUCAAGCAAGGUUUAAAACCAAGUAUGACAUGAUCUGAAUCAAGGGAGCCAGUGCACACCAUGAAACCCAGAUCAACAUGUUUGGUUUCAGAGAGAGUCUUUAUUUCUAAGUCGAGUUGAAAGCGGACGUAAAUAUUGCAGCAAUAACAAGAAUGAAGGUGCUUAAAAUCAAGAACAGCACAAAAAGCAAACCCGAUUAAGUUUCUGCAAGAAGACUGCGGUGGCAGUUGAAUACAUAUCGAAGAUCCUGAACUUUGAUUGCUGAACCAGUCAGGAAUUUCGCUUCCAGGUAAAACAAUUAGGGAUCCCCUCAGUUCAGAAAGUUUCUGUGAAAUGACAUUUAAAAAAAAAAAUUGUAAAAUGAAAACCAUGAUUUCAGAUAUAACAAAGAGGGACAGAGUAAACAAGAGAGGGAAUUUGAUACCUCGUUGAUUGCCUUUUCAUAGCCCAGUCUCAGUGAUGCAAUUGCCACAUGCCGAAUUCUUAGUUGUGAAUCUGCCAAAAUCUUGUUGUUUGCUUUUCCAUUCAGUUUCAAGCAGUUAGUAAACCCAAAAUAAAUUGGUUGUGACUCCAGAAGUCCGGUUGCCCAUUGACGAAGGUCAGGAGAGGGUUUCGAUAGCUUUUCUAGUACGGAUGCAUCUAGUUCUUGCAGACAUGACGGAAUCUCUGGCAAAGAUUGAAGCCGGUUGCAGUUCGUUGCAUCUAGUUCUUGUAGACACAAUGGAAGUUCUGGUAAUGACCGAAGCAUGUUACAACCCGUCAAGUGAAGAUAUUUUAGACACAAUGGAAGUGCUGGUAAUGACUGAAGCAUGUUACAACGCCUCAAGUCAAGAGAACACAGCCGCGACAGUUGCUUGAUACUUGCAGGUAAACUCUCAAAGUUAUUUCCACGUAGAUCCAAGCUUUUCAGUGAGGAUAGAUAGGCAAUCUCUUGUGGAAUUUCCAUUACAGCACAGUUCAUUAUGUAUAGAAGUCCCAAAGAAGAUAAACCUAAUAAUAAUGAUCGAGGCAAUGAUACCAAACCUUUGCAGCGAGAGAAAUCAAGAAUUAAAAGUGCGUUUGAAUCUGCAACAGAGGAUGGUAGUUGACUAAUAGCUGAUCCAGCUGCUGAGAUGUGACGCAAAGAUUCUAAAUUGCCAAUGUUAUCCGGCAACUUAUCAAGUUUAGAGCAAUCACUUACGAACAAUUCUUCAAGCCCCGGUAGAUUUUCAAAUGACGAUGGCAGCUCUGUAAUUGCCGUCCCGUCUAAAUUGAUGCGUUUUAAAUGUUCCAUUUUCUCCAAGAUUUCUGGGAAGCGCUCAAGGUUCAAGCAGCCAUUAACAAAAAGAUCAACCAAAGAUCUCAAUUUACAAAACCUAGUUGAAAUCCUCUUCAGCCGUUUGCAAUCCCUCAAAUCCAACACUUCAAGAUCAGUUAGGCACUCUAUUGAUGAUGGAACUUCUUCUAUUGCAGACUGGUCUAAGUAUAGCCGUGUAAUUUUCCCAGAAAUCUGUGGAAACUCUAUGAGAGUAACACAAUAGGAGAAAUUAAUAGUUACUGGACAAACAAAAUGAAGAUUGCUUGGAAAAGACCUAAGACUUUUGCAGCCCUCAAAAGACAGCGCACUGAGAUACUUGAAAUUCUGGAUAGAUGAGGGAACACAAGCCUUUUCUCCUUCCCAAGGUUGCUCAACUUUACUAAAACGCAAAUUCAGUUCAACAAGGUUCUUUGGCUUGAAAUUUGAUGGCAGUAUCCUUAAUGGAUAUGUGUCCCAAUGAAGAUAUCUCAAUUUUUCAGGAAGAUAUUCUAGGCCAUUUGGAAGCUGCACUUCAGAGUAUGAAAGUUGCUCUUCAAUGCUCAUACUUAGAAACCUUUCAAUCUCAUAAAACUUACUUGGAAACCUUUCAAUCUCAUAAAACUUAGGUACAUAAAAUUUGAGCAAUCUCAGAUUAGACAUAUUUGUGAAGGCUCCGGGGUCUAAAUUGAUGCAUUUUAUUUUGGACAAAUCCAGAAAUAUGCCUUCAAUUGCAUCGGUCCCCUUAUAAAAAAAAAAAAACAAAGAAUGAGUAAGCCAAAAAUAAAAAAGCAACAUGCGUAAACUUUAUUAACUAAGAGCUCCUUAAACAAAAACAAAUUCUGCAAUCUUUGAUUUUAUUUUUUUAAUAUAUUAAAUAUCUAUAUGCGAGAAAAGAAAAUUUUGGGGACCAUUGCAAAAUUAAACUAACCGAAAAAAAAUUCAAAAUUUCUCUAAUUUACAAUCCUAUUAUCUUAAUAUCUAGAAGUUGAGAAGAGAGUGCCUAUUUGAUUGGUAUAAGAUUUCGAAAUUUUUUUUUUUUAGUCGAUAGAAUCCAAAAUGUUAGUUCAAAAUUAGGGAAAAAAAUAAAAGUCAUUUUUUUUCCACUAGUUAAAACUGUAUCCAAGUCAAAUUAAGAUACGACCCUUUUUAAAAAGAUUUAACCAUCUUACAGCCUCCUUAAGGUACAUUUAAGCUAAAAGGAGUAAUUUGAGGCAGAACUAGGUGGUCCAAUCAGUCCAUUUUAUUAGUGUCUGUUGCUUAAAAAAUUUAUACUCUAAAACACACUUUUUUGGAAAAAAAAAUAUAAUUACAUUGAAGUAGAAUCAGGUGGGCCAAUCCUCAUGGCACUCACUUUAUUUUGACACUCUUCACUAAAUUUGAAGAAAAAUAAAAUUAUACUCUUCACACUCUUAUUCAACAUUCCAAAAUUGAUAAAAUCUGGAGUUUUCUUUAAAAAUUUAAAAUUUGAAGACUUGUUCUCUUGACACCCUCAGUCAUUAAUUUUACCUAAUUAUGGUUUUUAUGAUUUUGGUUGUUUUGUUCAUAAAAAUGAUUUUACUAAAGGAUGCUCUGGUAAUAAUAAAAUUUAUAAAAAAAAAUGGGUGUGCUGGUAUGAUUGGAAAAAUAUGAGUGCAUAACUCCAAACAAAUAAAAGAUAUAUAAAAUAAAUGGAGGAUUCUUACCUUUUUAUGCUUGAGUACGCGGCGGAUUUCCUUAGGAUCCCACAACCUGCUGCGUUUGCCAGGCUCUUUCUCAGAUUCUUGGCGAACAAUCUGUCGCCCCAUUUCUUGCAAUAAAUCAUGCAUUUGCAAGCAAUUACCUGAUAUUGAUAUGAGUGACUUAUCAAUAAGGACAUCCAGUCCAUCAGACUCAGAAUCAUCAAGAAUCCUUGCCACAAAAUCUUUAUCCUCUCCCUCAAAGAAACACGCAAUAUCUAGAAACAAACUCUUCACCCUAGGAAUUAAUUCAUUAAAACUAAUCUUUAAUAUUUCAUAAAUAUUAUGAAUAUCAGAUUCACAAAUCCGAUUUAAGUCGUGCAAUACAUUUUCCCAAUGGCUUUUCCUCUUGAGGCACAGGGAGGAACCCAACACUUUAAGAACUAAGGGAUUGCCUUUGGCAUACUCUACAACCCUCCGUGAGUGCCAGUUGAGAUUUGUAGGACAAUGAUUUUCUUUAAAAGCGAAGUUACAAAAAUGCUCGAAAGCCUCUUCAAAUUCCAAUCCAUUAACCCUAUGUAUUUUCUUCUCCUCCCCUCUAAAUUUUUCGAGGACUCCUUUAUCCCUGGUGGUUACAACAAUUCUACUUCCUGGACCAAAUUGAUCAAGCUCUCCAAUCAGACCCUCUAAUUGUCCAACUUCAUUCACAUCAUCGAGUACUAUCAACACCUUCAUACGCCAGACCCUCUCUUUAGUAAAAUGUGGAAUAUUGGCACCAGCUACUUCAAGUUUUUCGCUUAAUAUUGUGGAAAGCAUUUCCUUUUGGAGAUGUUCUAAUCCACCUCCUGUUUCAGAAUUUCUCCUAACAUCUGACAUAAAGCAGCUACCAUCAAACUCACCAGUGAAUUGAUCGAAAAUAGCUUCAGCAAGGGUGGUUUUGCCUAUACCGCCCAUGCCCCAAAUUCCAACAAUUUGGACAGUAUCCGACAAAUCCAUACACAAAAAUGGUUUAAUCUGCUCAAUUCGUGAAUUUAAUCCAACUAGGCCAUUGGAUGAGUCCGUUGCGACUGUUAUUUUUUCCAAAUUCUUCAAAACAUCUUCGACAAUUUUGUUUACAAGUUCCGCAUCGUGCCUAAUAUAAAGGUGCAAAGAUGCAAAAACAUUGAGUCAAAUCGGGCCAAGACAGAAACAGAGAUAAGAUGAAUUAGGAAAGAGAGUUACCUGAAUUUCGUGGAUUCGUGGCCAGCAAGACCGGAUGUUUCUCUCAGUGCAUCCCUCCACCUCUGAACCAUUUCUGGCUUCUCUUCGAAGUGUUGUUUCAGCUGAUCAAAACCGUGCUUAAAAAUUCCAGUUUGAUGCCGCACAUCGGAUGGACUUACUCCAUAGAAAACCGGAAUAAUGAUUUGGCGGUUUGUGUGCUUGCAUUCAAGAAUCUUGACAAGUUCAUUCAGGCACCAUUUUGAAGAACCGUAGUCCUUUGAGAAAAUGACCACCGAAAUUUUUGAACCUUGGAUUGCGUUCAAAAGGGCAUCUGAAAUCUCAUCUCCUCGCCUAAGCUUUUCAUCAUCCAUAAAUGUUUUGAUUUUCUUUUUGUCAUACAAAUCAUCAUAGAGAUGGCAAGUAAAGAUCCUACGAGUGUCCUCCCCUCUAAAAUUGAGGAAGACUUCAUAAAUGCAAGAAGAAGAAGAAGAAGAAGAAGCAGCCAUGAAGGAAAUUUUAGAAAAUUGGUGACAGAAACAGAGAAUUAAUCUUGAGAGUUGAGAGAGGAGAUGUAAGAAUGAACAUGUGUGAAGAUUCUUGCAAGCACACAGAAAAUAAUUGAAUGGCUGGAGCUUUCUUAGUUUCCUGGAAAUUUCCUGGAGCUUUCAUAUACAUGAUUUGUCAAGUCAAGAAACAUAAUCAUGAUAAUGGGGCAGACCAGGAAGAAAAGAAAACUUGAUUCAACCAAUAAAGGAAGGAAAAGCAAAGAAAGAAAAUUUGAAAGUAGAUUCAGAGAAUUAUAAAAAGCUAAAGGAAAUUGGAAUUUUGUACAAUUUCUCCAGCGAAAAUUAAGCAUAGAAUAAUCCUAAAAUUUAAACUCUAAUAUCUUAUAAUGUAUUGAUUAAAAAUAAUCCUAAGAGUUCCCAAUUGAAACUUUCAUAAGUAUUUUAAUUGUUUUGGAUAAACAAAUUGUACUAGGAUAAAAAUUUGGCAAAUUCAGAGGAUAAUGGAAAAUAGUUAUGCUUCAAUAGGCCAAAGAUUAGAGAACAAACAAGAAUUAGUUAUUGAUACACAAAAGAGAAACACUCCAAAAUUUCAAGCAAAAAUAGUUUCAUAUACCAUUUCGAUUUUGGAAGGGGUGAGGUUUUGAACUUCAAUAGUUUCCUCUAAAAUUAAAAGGCAGCAAUUAAACUAGAAAGAGCAAUGAAGACUUAUUGGUACUUUAUUGAAGGUAAACAUUAUGAAACUUUCAAUGUCAUUACCUCAUUGUUCAAUUUUUAUUGAGAUUUGUGUAAGCAUUUAGCUAAAUCUUACCUCCGCCUUUAAAUUCAUUAGUUUUGAUUAAUUAUGAGACCUGGGAGAUAUUAUAAUCGAACUAAAACUUAAAAUUUCAAUAUCAUUAUUCUUUAAAAAGAAAUUGAGAUUUCAGAGUAAUAUCACAUAGAAAAACUUGCCCACGGACGGUAAGCCAAAAGUCUAGUCAACCACACGCAUAAAGCUAACUAGAACAAGAGAACAGAGAAACGCGUGGGUCCCUAAAAGAAAAGGCGUGGGUCCCAAAAGUCUAGUCAACCAUACCGAUGAAAAUCACUGAUUAAGAAUAAUAUAUUAUGUGGUUGAAGAUUUCUUUUUAUCAAUCUUCUUUCUACCCAUUAAUUUUCCCACGACUUUCCGGUUUCAUUUCUUGAAUCUCCAUGGAUUAACUUUCAAUAAACCAUAAAAUAAACUAAGGAAUCAUUUUCUCGAACACAGCUAUGAUUUUAAUAAAUGGGCGGACCAUCUAGAAUAGUAUAUAUAAUUCUGUUUAAUUAAUAAGUUGAAAAAACCAUAAAGAGAAAUUCUAAUAUUAUGAGCUUGACACGAAUUCUUCACUAAUUCCAAAACAAGGAGCUGUUUUAUAAGAACUGUGGUUGGAUUAUUAAGUUUUACAAUUUGAAUAUAAAUAAGAAAAUAAAAUCAGUCGCGUCGAUGUUUUCGAUACAUUUCGAUGCUAACUUAAUUAAUUACUUUACUUCAACUUUAUUUCCUGACGGACACUAUAUGGUGGGUCCAAGAUGGGACCUACAAUAAUCAAUCCUAGAAUUUAGUAUGGUUACCAAAUAGCUAGUGUUAUUUUGUGUUUGGUGGAAGAGAUUGAAUAUUUAGUUUUAACAUAACCAUUCAACUAAUUAGAAAAUAAAUAAAGUUAAAUGAAAUGUUUAGAUAUCAAUUUAAAUAUUAAUAUCCGGGAUAUAAAUUAGUUAUAAUAUAGUUCAUUACAUAAAAUUGAUUAAAUUAAUAAUUACACAUGAACAUAGAUGUAUAUGCUUUCCAAUUUCCAAAGUGCUCAAAGCACUUUUCUCACCAAACUUUCCUCUGAAUUUCCCGUAGCUGACUCCAUUGUUUGCGUUUUGUGAAAUUUCUAGGAACUUUUUCUAUUUAGAAUAUUGUACAUUUUUCUUUUCAGCUGAGAUUAAUUUAACUUAUAGAAAAUCUUAUCCUUUUUUUAAUAUUAUUUAAAUAAAAUUUGUCUAUCUUUCAUUUUAUCAGUCUACUUUUUACCCAUUAAUUAAGACUUUUCGAUUUCUUUUUUUCCUGAGGUUUUCAGUGACUAUCUUUCAAUAAACCAUAAAAAUUAAUGAGUCAUUUAUCGAACAAUUAGAUGACCAUAUUUCAAAAUAUCAACUAGAAGUUGCCCUGAAAUAUUUAAUUAAUAGUUGAAGAAUUGUGAUUAGUGUGGGCAUCUACAUAAAAAUUAUAUUAAAACACCGCUAAAAGAUAAAAAUAAAAUAAAAUAGUACAAACAUACACCCAUAGGUUAAAACAAAGAAAAAACACGAACCAAUACACUAAAAUGUUUUAGCUGUAGUUAGUUUUCAGUUUCAUUACUUAAGUCCCACGUGCAUGUCACGUGACUGAGGUCAAAAAAUGAUUGUCAGAUUAAAGUUCAAAGUACGGAGCAGGGUAAUUAAGGAGUGGAGCUAUUGGCACCCCUCCAUUAUUCUUACAAAACCCCACUUUAAAUCAAAUUAUAAUUAAGAAUAAUUGAAAAUUAAACACUUAUAGAUUUCUUUACAACAUGUUUAGUGAUAAAAAAGCACCAGUCGGGCAUGUCCCCAUUUCUUACCCGGGGCCGAAUCUCCUCGGCCGAAUGGUAUGAGUAGACUCUUGGUGAUGUGUUCUAUGUGGAGCACGUAAAACAGACCAGGAACUAGUACCAACCAGAAACGAGUACUGAUCAGAAACAAGCAUGACCAGAAACGCAUACCGACUAGAGACUUGUGGGUCCCUAAAAGAAAAGGCAAGCACAUAAACGAAAAAGCCAUUACAUUUCUAUUUUACAUGUCAUUCCUAAUUUUUGUAACACGGUGUGGCAGCAUAUGCACAAUCAAAUGAGGCAAAAGGGAUUCGACUAUCGUGGCAGAACAUGGACGAGGAUGCGUGAUGAAUAAUUCCUUCGAUAAAACGAAAAACAAAUGCAGAGAAAAGAAUUUCUUAUAUGACAAGAAAUUAAAGUAAUGUGACGGAACAUGAUGAAGAAAUUGCAGAUCGAUCAAUUAUCCCCAUGGACUCCUAUAAAUUCAACCAAAAUAACAAUUCCAAUAUUACCAAAUUCUUGAGUUAAAUUUAUUCAAUGCUUUUUUUUUUUAGAGAAAUUUUUUCCAAUGCUACUUUCCCUUUUUUGGGGAAAUUAGAACUGCGGCAUGUAUAGAAGACAUUGAGGUAUAAAGCAACAUUAAUUUCAUGGGUUAUGCGUUAUACGCAUAAUAUAUUGUCAGUCCAAAUUCAACUAUACAAAGAGGCUUGAGAACUUAAAAUUAAGCACAAACUAAACAGACGAAGUAAAUACAUGAUUAUGCAACAUAACAUUAAUUCUCUUAAUUUAUAACUGUUUUUGCCACAUGAAUCUUGCACAGUUAAUCCUAAUUGAAGACUAAAAAAGAACAAUUGGAACAAGGUUUUGAAAUAGAAUGAUAUACAAUCGAUAUGAUCCAUUUCCAGUCGUCAACGCUAAUUAACUGCAGUUUCUAGACUCCUAAUUAUACUAGCCAUAAGAAACUGUUUAGAAAACUGGUGAUCAGAUUAGAUUUUGAAAAGAAAUAAUUUUCAUUUUCCCUUCGCUACCUUUUUUUUUUAAUUAUUUUUAUACCAAAGAAUUCUAUCAUGAAAAGAAUCAAUUUAAUCACCUUUUCCAGCAGCACAAUUUUUCUUUUAUAAAAUUUGACCACAGAGACAAAGAAGAAUUAUUCAUACCUUCAUCAGUAAGGAAAUACUUUUCAUUAUGGCUAGGGUGAGAAAAGGCUUUCCACAACACUUGUACUUUGUAUUCCUGUAAAUUUUCUUUAAAGUCAAUAAAAACCAUAAGUUCUUUACAAUAACCAUCUCUUUGAUAAAAAAGUGCCGUAUUCCUUUAGAAUUUAAAACCGGAAAAAUUGAAUCAGUGUCUUUGAAGAGACAUAAUGGUCGUAAUUCUUUAAAUGAGUUGGCUAUGGAAAUCCUUAUCCAAGAUUCUUUUACGCCAUAUUCUUUCGUAAACCAAAAUUCAUUUUGGAAUACUCUGUUGAGAAUGUCAAAUAAAACGGCAUUGAAGGAAGUUUUCAAAGGCAGAAUCCGCACUUGUCAAAGGGAUGAUCUGCACUUGUCAAAGACACGAUCCGCGUCGAAUGAAUCGACACAUUUCCUUUCGUAUUCGCAUAUGUAAUCUUUGAAAAAAUGUAGCUUCUGCAUCUAUAAAUAACGCUUAGUGUAUAAUGUUUUAUUCAAGAAAAGAAAACAAGUUUCUUCAUACUCGUCGUCCGAACAUACAGAGACCGUCUCUUAUAACUUCAGCCGAAUACUUAUGAUGAUGAUCAUUUGUGAUUUCAUCAGGCAAAGGGUUGAUGGUGAAAAAAUUUGUAUGUGUGAAGAAUUGAGCUGUGGAUAUAGGGGACUUAAGUGUAAUCGAAAGAGAGUUAUUAGGCCAUAGUGCAGAUUGCAUUCAGUUUAUGAGUCGAUAUGCAAAUAAUUUGUUGACGUGGCGAAAUUUGUUAUGGUCGUUACUAUUGUUUCUGGAAAUUUUCUAGAAACCUCAGCAUAAAAGGGGCUUUUGCAUAGCCUCUGGUGUGCGUGUGAUUUCUCUUUCGUUUCCUCAUCAAAUUCUGUAAUUCUUGCUUUGAUAAAAAGCUUGUAAUCUCUUCUGUAAUGUGUGAUCAGUGCGUAAUCAUUUUGAGCAAUAAGAGCUUGUGGGUUUUUCCUUCAAACAGUGUCGUUUUGGUCAGUUUGUUAGUUUGAUCUGUUGGUGGAAUUUUCUUUGGUUAUUUGUUCUCAAAUUUCAACCGUAUAUAAAGUUUGAACUCUAAUGGCUUAUAAUGUAUUGAUUAAGAAUAAUCCUAAGAGUUCCCGAUUGAAAUUUUUAAUGACUAUUUUUAUUGUUUUGGAUAUACAAAUUGCAUUAAGAAAAAAUAUUGUCAAAUUCAGAGGAUAACGGGAAAUAAUUAUGCUUCAAAAGGCCAGAGAUUAGAGAACAAAGAAGCAUUCAUUACUGAUAAACAAAAGAGAAACACUCCAAAAUUGCAAGCAAACUAGUUUCAUAUACUAUUUGGAUUUUGGAAGGGGUGAAGUUUUGAACUUCAGUUGUUCCUCUAAAAUCAAAAGCAUCAAUUAAGCGUUCUCAAUUAGAAAUAGCAAAGAAGACUUAUUGGUACCUUACUGAAGUUAACAUUGUGGCACGGUUGUUCAUAUGUAAUGGCUGCUCUGUUAUGCUAGCUUCUCUGUUUUUGCUUACAGUUUUGAACAUAAAUUCUUGCUCAAAUAACCCAUAAUUAAAUAACACUAAUAUGGCUCGUGAAGUCCCAUAAUAGCUAAUUACGCAACUUUCUCCUCCUCCUCAAUUAUGUCUUCCCCUGCUCGGACACUAACUUCAAAAUUCAAUGCCCCGAAAAACAACACAAGAAAUCUUUGAGUUAGUUCGUGACCAGUUUAUAUAUAGUAGCAAUUGAAAAAAGAAAAAGAAGAAAAAAGUUAAUUAUUAUUCAGACCUUCACUUAUUAGGAAGUUUGUUCUGCUAUUGGGUGAGAUCAAGCUCUCAGCAUAUACUUCCACAUGAUACUUUCUAACAUUUUCUUGAAAGCCAUCAAUCAUAAAAUCUUCAUACUUUUUUCCAUCCUUUGGAUCAAUAAGUACAAUUUUUUCAUCUAAAACAGACAAAAUAAAAUCACUGUCCUUCAUGGAACACAAUGGCUGCAAUGCCUGAACUGAAUUGGCUAAUGAAAUUUGAGUCCAGGAUUCUCUCAGCCCAUAUUCUUUCAUAAUCCAAAAUUCUUUUCUUUCUCGACAUGGAACAUAGUCUUCUUUUCUUUCUCGACACAUGUCUCUGUACUUUUCUCUCUCUACUGAUCCACACUUUUUCAUACUUCUAACUAUCAUUUUGUUUUUUUUUUUUUUUGAGUUGUGAUUUAUUCAAUUAUUUUGUAUUUUUAAUGACAAUUGUUUAAUAUUUAGUUAGUUUUGAUAUUGAUUAGUGAUUGAAAGUGUAUUUUAGAAGACUUCCGGUCUCUUGAAAAAAGGAAAAAUGGAGAAGAAGAAGAAGUGUUCUUGAUUUUUUUGUAGGCAUUAAAGUUAAACGGUUUGAAAUGAUAUUUUGUUUUUAUUUCACUCAUUAAUCUCAUUCAGGAUAAAAUUAUAAAUGCAAAUAAAUGGGGUUUCAUAAGUAUUUUUAAUAGUGUUAAAAGGUCUACUCACUAAAUAAACAUGUUUUACCCAAACCAAUCCGAUUAAUAAGUUAUUAGGUUGGGUUGAUCAGGUUAAAAAUCAAAAUUAAAAAUUAAAUAAAUAAAAGGCAUAAAAACUAUCUGUUACUUGAAAAUAAAAAGAAUUUCUAAUAGUUAGUUCUAAUGUCCCAUAUCCAAAACAUGCAUAUUGUGAGGUUUGCUGGUGAAUCAAACUCAUCAGAACCAAAUGAUGACGUUUUGGCAAUUGAAGGAGCACUUAAAAGACACGUGAAACGCACGUCUGUUGUCACUUAAGAUUAAAGCUUGAAACGGCAGUUCAACCAUGUCGUUUAAAGGAAGCUUAGAAGUGAUGCACGUGACAGAUGUGUGAAGCAGCUCAUCUCAGUUCGUUAAGUUUGUUAUGCUACGUGUAAGCAAUCAGUUCGAUCUGGGUUUAGCUGGUUAGUUGCUCUGUUAGUUAUAAGAGCAGGCUGAUGAAACGAUUUGGGUUAAGCUUGUGAAUUCAUAUCAGAGAGAGAGAGAUUUCAGUGAAAGGGUUAAGAGUUCUCUGAAAUCUUGUAAACCAUUCUCUGUAAGAAAGAUCCUCCAUUGUUGAAUAAUAAAAGCUCUGCAGAAAACUUUUCCUGUGGAUGUAGAUUGUACCAAUUUGGUACAACUGAACCACGUAAUUGAUUCUUGUGUUGUCUGUGAUUUGUUUGUUUCUUGAUUCUCUAUUCUUUCUAGUUCUUGGGUACAUUGUUUUCACUUGGCUAGAUUCAUUCCUCAAUCUGUGCAUCUUGUAUAGUUCUUUAUCAAAGGUCCUGGGAAGUGUUUUAUUUGUCUUGCAUGUUAUAUAGCAAAUUAAAACACUACACAUAUUAAAUAAUAUAUUAUAAGUUAGAAAUACAAUAUCUAAAGAAAGAAUUAAUGAAAUAACAUAUUCUUGUUGAGAAUUAAGAGUGUGAUUUUAAUUUUGAUAUUGGAGUCUAAAGCAAUAGAUAGUACAAUGAAAUCAUGAAUGCUACGUUUAAAUAAUCUCUUUUAUAAAAUAAUAAAAAGAGGUUAAAAAUUAGGUUAACAUUUAGGGUUUAGCAGUUAAGGAUGAAUAUAUUAUUAUUGUUGUUGUUGUUAUUAUUAUAAUAAUAAUUAUUAUAAUAAUAAUUAUUAUUUAUAUGUUAAUUAAUUCAAUCCAACUUAAUUAUUAAUGAAUUUGAAAAAAUUGACCCAAUUAAUCCACAAUAAUUCAUUCAACUCGUCUAAAUUAGAUUAAGUUGAACUUAAUUUGCUACCCCACAUUGAGCAACAAACCUCAACGUCAUUCUACGAGCUCUUUGAUUGUUUAUAAAAUUGAUUUAGAGUACAUAAAGUGUAUCGACAAUGAAAGUGCAAAACAAAUUAUUGUACAUAUUAAAAUGUGCAAAAACAAUGAAUUAUAUGUACAAACGAGUGCAAACACAUUUUUCAAUAAGAAGUUGGAAGAUAUUUAUGCAUGAAAAAGCCUACGUUUGUAGUUAUUCUAAAUUUUAAAAACAAAAUUUACAUUUAGAUUCCUAAAAUUUACAUAUAAGUAUAAAAGUUUCAAAUAUUGUCUAUUAUUUUUUUAACAUGCCUAUUCCUUGUGGAUAAUUUUGUCUCAUCACUAAUGUUGUUUCUUGCUUACAAAAACCAAAAGCCACCUCCUUUUUGCAAUUUUUAUAGCGUCUCAAAAUAGACAAUAGGGGGAUUUUGAAUUUUUUAAGUCUCAAUAUAGUCUCUAAUCUUGUGAGAAAUAUUUUCUUUCAAUAAUUUGGAGGUAAACAUAACAUAACUUUUUGGACUAAAGCCUAACUCUGCUAAUAAGUAAUUGGUGGUAUCCUUUUCAAGACUUGAGUCUUUAGAUUCGAGUUUUAUAUAGUGUGCAUGUGUAUUUAAUUAAUAUUUUUUUUCAAAAAAAAUUACAUCAAAUACUAAUAUUCAUGACAUAAUUUAGUUCAUAAUUUUUUUAAAUACAUCGAAAAAUAUAAUUUUUUAACAACUUAAAGGCAUGACAAAUUUCAAGAUAUAAAUAUCAGUCAAAAUAAGUGAAAGAAAUAAUGGUGUCAAUUCUAAUUUCUUAACUAAAUUAAUUACUGCAUGAGCCCCGAAUAUGACACGAGAGUUUGAUGGGCUAACUUGGCACAAGAACGUGAAUAGUUAACUCAUUUAAGAAAUAAUUCAACAAAAAAUAUAAUUGAUAAGAAUGCAAUAUUGAAAUGAAUUUUUUACGAAACAUUGAAUUAAUGAUUAUUAAGCAAGAACAAUAAAAAAAUAAAAUAAAAAUAAAGAUUAACCAUUGAUAAGCUUCAACAAGAACUUAACACAACCCUCAAUCCUAAUUCAAAUUAUAAAUGUCAUUCAUAUAUUCAUUAUAAAUCAAUAACAAAGGUUAUAAAUGUUUAGAAAUUCUAGAGGGAAGGAAGCUAUCGCCGGGGAAUCAACAACUAAAAUUGAUGUAAUUGUGGCACGAGAUGGAAUAUGGAAACUACACCAUAAUUUUAAAUGCCGCCAUAGACAUUGACUUAUCUACAAUAACAAUGAUCUAAUUAAAAUAAAAAUAGAGUUUAUGGGCAUUUAUUAUUUUGACAUUCCUCAUUUGCAAAUAGGGAUACAAUUAUAAUUUAUUUAGUCAAAGCAAACAGUAAUUUUCUUCAUUAUAGGAGUGAAGUAAAAACAUUUAGAUUUUAAUGUAUGUAAGGAAAAAUUUAUCUUUAAAAAUACUUUCUUAAUGUGUGUAUGCAUAUUGAAAUACUCAAACCAAUUUUGGUUAUAUAUAAUUAAACAAAUUUUAAAAUAUGAAAAAUAUAAUGUAGUUAUAGUGGAUAAACAAUAAGUGAGCACAAUAUAAUUAAUCAAAUAUUGUGCUAUCAAAAGUUAAUUUUAGAAAUUCCAAAUCCAAUAGCUAACACAAUUCUUUAAAGAAAAAAAAAAGGUUGACACAAUUAAUAAAAUUAGCGACAUGAAUUUCACGCCAUUGAUAAUCAGCAAUUAGUAUUACUUUCUAAACUUGCUUCAACUGGUCGUUGAUGUCCGGGUCACCAAAAGUAUAAGCGAUAAUAAGGGGCAUUGGGCAAGAGUGAUGAAUGUUUAGUGGGUGCAUUUGAUUGAUAGAUAUAUAAAGGGCCGAAACUUGAGAUUAUAUUACUUUUACAAAUUUUAAUCCAAUCACAUAUUUAAUGAAAACAAAAUGAGUUAGGAUACUUUAUUUAAAAUACACAUUUUAAUAAGGCUUCAUUUAAUUAAAUAAAAUUAUAAAAGUAAAAUAUAUUUUAGAUAUUUUAAUAUUUAAGAAAAAAUUUUCAAUCUUUACUUUCAGAAGCUCAAAUUUUUAAUUUUUAGUUGUAGAGACAAAAUAUCUUAUUUAAUGUUUAAAAGUUCUGCUAAAAACAAUCAAAUAACUACAAAAAUUUUAAUAAGAGCAUAUAAAAUUAAAUAAGCAUUUAUUAAUAAUCACUUUAGUGUACUUAUCUAAUAACAAUAAGUGUUUAUUUAAUCUAAUAAGUUUUUAUUUAAUCUAAUGAGCUCUUUUUAAUUUUUUUUUAGUAGAGCUUUUGAAAAUUAAAUAAACUAUUUUGUCUCUAUUAAGAAAAACUUAAAAUUUAGGUUUUUGUAAGUAAAUGUUUAAAUUUUUUUUAAAAAUAUUAAAAUAUUAAAAUAUCUUUUCUUUAUUUCAUAAUCUUAUUUCAUUCUUCACAACAUAACUUUAAAUAACUUACCUAUUAAAAUAAUUUCACAAUUUCUAAUAAAAACUCCGAUUAACAAUCAAGCAAUAAUUUUUUUUUUUUUUUUGUAAAAAUUCUAUUUGUAAAAACUCUAAUAAUAAAAAUUCUACUUAAAUAAAUUUUAUUUGAAAAGGUAUACUAAACGAACCUAAGAUAAAAACAAAAAUUUUUAGAUCCAGACAAUUAAGCUUAAAACAAUUUCAAAUGAAUUUUAGACUAAUCAAAGUACAAUACGUACCAAGUUUGGUAAUUUAUUGACAUCUUCUUAUAUACCUUCGAUCAAGUCGAUUCUCACUUGACGACUAAUUGGUAGUUUGGUACAUCACCGUUGUUCCCUAUACUCGCAUGCAUCCGAUCACAAAUCUCACUCCAAUUGUUGUCUUUCUUCGGCGUUUUAGCGCAUCCUUCUUGAAUUUCUCGCAUUUCGUUCCCUUACAAGUCUCCGGUCAGGUCAGUUCACUUGACGAUUAAUUCGGCAAAUCUUGAAUCUCUUCUCUAUCCCUCUCGUUUUCUCGUGUCUCCUUUCAGUUAAAGCGAUUGAAUCAAUUUUAUCGCAGUCUAAGAGAAAUUAAGUAAUGCUCUUGGAUUUAAAAUUUUUUUGCUUUCGACUUUAGAUCUCGAAAGUCAAACUCUUCUACGAAUCCAUAGAUUCUCAAUGUUUAUAAUCUUAUUUGUGUUUGACCAGGUAACUGGAUCGUGAAAUUCGUCGUUUUGUAUCAAUUCAAGCUUUCGCGAGCUCAUGGAAUCACCUGGUGAGUUGUGGUGAAACGUUACCGUUUCAAUUUUCGCUUAAUUCUUUAUUGCAUAUUUUUUUCUCUAAUAUUUCAGUUUAAUUAGAAAAGAAAGAGGACCCAAAAAGAGAGAGAGAGAGAGAGACUCUACCAUACUCAAUUCCUUGCUCAUUCUGAUUUGGCCUGAAUGUUGGCAUUGACUAUUAUUUGUUUUCAUUUCGAUUUAAUUCUCAUUUAGACAGUCUUUACUAACGGUCAAUAAUAGUUUAAGGAAAAUGAUAAUAGGGAUUCUGCAAUAAUCUUUCUGCAUUGUUCAAGUUAGUAGACAAUGAAUAGGAUGUUUACGUUUACCUCAUUUUGAACCCCGAGGGCUUAGUUGAGUAGUUGAUUGAUUCAAUCUUGCAAUGUGUUCCCACAAGGUUUUGAGUUUGAUUCCUAAUUAUGUGGACCUUAGUUUCGAAUUUGAGUUUGUUAGGUGGGUUGAUGGGGUUUUUGGGUAUUAAAAAGGGAGAAGAAAAAAGUUGCUUGCUUCAUUUUGUACAAACCUGUUGACUUUUUAUUUUUUUCUUUUUAUUUUUGUACUAUUUUGUUUUACAGUUGGUGGUUCAAGACAGACAUCUGUUAUUGUUGUAACUUUGGAUACUGGUGAAGUAUAUAUUGUAACCAGCUUGUAUUCUAGGACUGACACUCAAGUGAUAUAUAUUGAUCCAACUACUGGUGCACUUCGCUACCAUGGGAAAUGGGGCUAUGAUGUUUUUGGAUCUGAAAAUGAAGCAGUAGAUUACAUAACAAAUGGAUCACGAUGGAUGUGCAAGAGUACAACUUUUGCCAAGGCGAUAUUGGGUUAUACUGCCCUGGGAAGCUUUGGGCUGCUUCUUGUUGCCACAAGGUUAACUGCCAGCAUUCCAAAUCUUCCUGGUGGAGGAACUGUAUGCACGGUUACAGAGAGCCAAUGGAUCAAAAUUCCACUUCAAAAUCCUCAACCCCAGGGUAAAGGAGAAGUAAAGAAUGUUCAAGAGUUGCCUGAUCUUGACAUUGAUGGGAAGCACUACUUUUGUGAGACAAGAGAUAUCACUCGACCUUUCCCCAGCCGCAUGCCUUUGCAAAAUCCUGACGAGGAAUUUGUUUGGAAUGAAUGGCUUUCGAUGCCUUUUAAAAGCAUUGGUUUACCUCAGCAUUGUGUCAUUCUUCUGCAGGUUUUGCUUCAUACUCGGUAUCUUCAAAAUUUAUGCUCAUUAAACUUCUUUCAUUCCCCACCCUCUCACUAUCCCUCCACCUAAUUUUGUUUCCAAAAGUUUGUUUGAUAGUCUAUUGCCACUAUAUGUAAAUGUAUCAUUUCCAUUCUGAGCAUGAUAUUUUAUUCAUCAUCACUUGUUAUUCUAAUCUUUAGAUGAAAGAAUAUUUCGUAUUAACAUUUUUCAUGGGCCAGUACCUAUUUUAUGGUCCAUUGUAGAUACUAAAAUGACCAACUUUAUUUCUUGGUCAUAAAAAGUUGCGACAGAAAUUUUAAACAUGUGAAUAUUUAAAUCUGAUAAUUCAUUAAAGAUUUCAACCUAAUAGAUUGAAAACUUAGAUUCAUUCCAUGAAUGAAAGAUAAUAAAGCAUCAGCCGAUGGAAUAUGGGAAAUAGAAACACUUUCCCUUCUAUUAAGAAGAGCCUGCUUCAGAUGAUCCUCAUUUUCUUCAUCCACAGGCCAACCUAGAACAUACCACACCAAGGUAAGAAAGAAAAGGGGUAGCAGGAUUGCCUAGUUUGACAAUUAGCAAAGCCCCAAAUGUUCCUCUUUUACUUUUCUUUUAGAAAGGUAGACAUGUUUGACAGAUUUGGGACAUUGCAUCAUCCCUUUCUGCUGCACAUGGUUGCAAUGUUUUACUUCUCACGUGAAAGCCUAGAAAUCCCAAUCCAAUAAUAAAAGGCCAUUUUAGAGUCAAUGUACAAAAACUUCCUUCCUUGUCUCUAUAUCCUCUUUUACAAUCCAUUCUUAGUUGAAUUGAGAUUAUGCUACAGCUGCUUCUUCAAGUUAACAUUGUUAUGCAAUUCAAUGGUGAUUUACGUGUGUACUUGUCCUAAGCAUGUGAUUUGAAAAUAAUAUGUUAAUAUUGUUUUCACUGGAUAUUAAUGUAUAGGGAUUUGCAGAAUGUCGAAAUUUUGGAAGAUCAGGUCAGCUAGAAGGGGUUGUUGCUCUUAUAGCUCGUCGUAGUAGGCUGCAUCCUGGUACUCGAUACUUGGCUAGGGGGAUUAAUUCUUGUUUUAGUACAGGUAAGAUAAUCUUUAACAUCUCCAGACCUGGAAAUUACAUUUUUGUUGUUGAGAUUCACUUGGUUCUUCUAUACAAUCAAAAAAAUUAAGGAUUUAGUUUUUUUUUUUUUUAAACGGAAUUUUCUUUUCCUUUCAGUACUCUUUGCAUUCUGUGUAUGCUGUUUAUUCUGAUUGUCAUUGAUCUCAUGCCUUUACAAGGAAACAGGUAAUAGUUUCAGUGGUAAAUUCAAGUGGAAUUGGUUUUGAUUCUGUUGUUUAGAAAGAUGGAUUGUAGAACUACAGAACAUUAAUCGUGCCACCUCAUGGCUCAUGCAUGCUUUUGGAGUAUUCUUUACCUGUAGAAUUUUUGUUUUUGUAGUUGACUUGGAAUAUAACUUUACCAUUUUUUUCAAAUAAUAAGAAUCAAUGAGUCUCAUCAAUAUUAAUCAAUAAUGAGCUAAAGAUAUAUAACUUGUGUCUCAGAACUAUAUAUGAUAUGCUUGUGAAGGUGUAUUAUUUUAAGUAGAGAUACCAAAUGCUACAGGGAGAAGCAAAAAAGAACAUUCUCCAGUGAAAACCUUCUGACAGAUUACAUUUUUGGGAUAAAAAAGAAACAUUGAGAUCAUCAGCCACACUUUUUCUUCUUGUACUGUUUAAUUAGUUUAGAGGCCUUUUAGUUGGUUUUGCUUGCCUGGAGGUGUCAUACAGUUCACUUUUUGAAUACCCUGGUUUUCUACAGAUUAGAACUUGGUUUCCUUUCACUCCACAGCUUUUGCUUUCCUACAUCACGUCCUUUGGGAUAAUUGAAUAAUGAAUGAAUGAAAACAAUCAAAUAAUUUCUGACAAUUAGUUAAUAACUUUUAUUUUGUAUGACCCUUUUGAUAUGUGUGGUCCUUUAAUUUACGGUUGAAAUAUAAAUAUGAAAAAAGUCUGCCAAUUAGUUUUACAAAUGACUUUUGUGCCAUAGAAUAUAUAUAUUUUUUUUUUGCCGAAAAACAAAACAAAUUCAUAAACAACAUUGUAUUUCACCAAUUAACAGUGCAAGUGUCAUUAUAGUUUCCACAUAUUAGUUCUGUUUUCGUUAGUUUCAUUUUCAUUCUGUUAUGUAACUGAUGUUUCAUUGCUAUAAAAUUAAUUGUCUGUUUCUCUUCACAACUGUUAUUUUGAAUGAUUUUUUCUGAAUUUUAUAAAGAAUUUGUAUAUGACAGGAAAUGAAGCAGAGUGCGAGCAACUUGUAUGGAUUCCUAAAAGGUCUGGUCAGAGUGUUCCUUUCAAUGCAUACAUCUGGCGGCGAGGGACUAUUCCAAUAUGGUGGGGUGCAGAAUUAAAGCUUACUGCUGCUGAAGCAGAAAUUUAUGUUGCAGAUCGGGAUCCUUAUAAAGGAAGUCUGAAGUAUUAUCAGAGGUUGAGUAAUCGAUAUGAUGCUCGAAACUUUGACUUAGCUGUUGGGGAAAAUCAGAAGAAAAAGCCUUUUAUUCCAAUUGUAUGCAUUAACUUGCUUAGGAAUGCGGAAGGGAAAUCAGAAUCUAUUUUAGUUCAGCAUUUUGAGGAAUCUUUGAACUAUGUCAGAUCAACUGGAAAACUUCCUUAUACUCGAAUAAUUUUAAUAAAUUAUGACUGGCAUGCCAGUACAAAAUUAAAAGGUGAACAACUUACAAUUGAAGGAUUAUGGAAGCAUCUAAAAGCACCCACUCAGGCCGUAGGCAUUUCUGAAGGGGACUAUUUGCCAUCACGGCAACGACUUAAUGAUUGCCGAGGUGAAGUCAUCUGCAAUGGUGACUUUGUGGGUGCCUUUUGCUUAAGAUCCCAUCAGAAUGGAGUGAUACGCUUUAACUGUGCAGACUCUCUUGAUCGGACCAAUGCUGCUAGUUAUUUUGGUGCUCUGCAAGUAUUUGUGGAGCAAUGUAGGCGGCUUGGGUUCUCCCUUGACAGUGAUUUUGCAUAUGGCUAUCAGUCAGCUAAUAACUAUGGUGGAUAUACUGCUCCUUUGCCACGAGGAUGGGAGAAACGAGCUGAUGCAGUGACAGGAAAAACAUAUUAUAUCGAUCACAACACUAGGACCACAACAUGGAUUCAUCCAUGCCCAGACAAACCUUGGAAGAGAUUUGAUAUGACAUUUGAGGAGUUCAAGCAAUCAACAAUUUUAUCACCAGUGUCUCAGCUAGCAGAUCUUUUUCUGCUUUCUGGUGAUAUCCAUGCAACCCUUUAUACUGGUUCAAAAGCAAUGCAUAGCCAAAUUCUUAAUAUAUUCAAUGAAGAACCAGGAAAGUUCAAACAAUUUUCUGCAGCACAAAAUAUGAAAAUUACCCUGCAGAGAAGAUACAAAAAUGCAGUUGUCGAUAGCUCUCGUCAGAAACAGCUGGAGAUGUUUCUUGGAUUGAGGCUUUUCAAGCAUCUUCCAUCUGUUUCAGUUCAACCUCUACAUGUAUGAUACUGUAGAACUUCAGAUUACCUAUUCAUACAAUCUGAGUUCAAUGAUUAUCAAUUUUCAUGAGGGAUGGAGACAAUAUUACACUAGCUACUUGUUUCUAACCUAAGCAUCCCUAACUUCUGCACAUAAAUAAAUGAUGCGCAAAGCAUACCAUAGCUAUAUCAAUGCCCAUUUCCUGUUUGAUGUUGACCAAUAAUGUUUGGAAGUUAGCUAUUGCAUGGUAAGAUGAUUUGAAGCUUCAUUUAAAGCUUCUAAGCCAGAGCUUCUAAGUCAUCUGGCUUAGAGAAUUUAAAUGUCCUCCAAAAGUCUGGAAUCACUGUUGCAUCUCAGCCUGAUUGAUAUUUGUUAUUGUUAACUUGGAAAUAUUUUGUUAAUCUUUCGGAUUGAACAACGUCGUGCUAUGAUCAUUAUUCAAGAAAUGACCUCAAGAACUUGUUGCAGUUGAGUGAUUUUUUGGUAAUGAUGAAAAUUAUUCAUGUUUAGGAACAGCUCUUUAGGGGAAAAGCAUAUAUGGGCUGGCUGGCCCUUUUUGGUGUAUUUGAUGAACCAUUUCAUAUCAUGCUGGUAACUGCAGGUUCUUUCUCGACCAUCUGGUUUCUUUCUCAAGCCAGUUCCCAACAUGUUCCCAAGUUCUGAUGGUGGAGCUAGUCUUCUAAGCUUCAAAAGAAAAGACAUGAUCUGGGUAUGGGUUGCAGCUAAACUUAGUCCUUUGUAGCAUUCCUAAUUCUCUGAUUGUCUUUUCUUUGUAGCAUUCUUAAUUCUCUGAUUGUCUUUUCUGUCCUUAAUGGAAUUCAUGCAUUUUUGGUUCUUUAGGUAUGUCCACAAGGCACAGAUGUGGUUGAACUUUUCAUCUACCUUGGUGAACCUUGUCAUGUCUGUCAGCUUCUUCUCACCAUAUCCCAUGGUGCAGAUGAUUCAACAUAUCCAGCAACAGUUGAUGUGAGAACAGGACGCCACUUAGAUGGGCUUAAACUGAUUUUGGAGGUUUGUAUUGGUUCUAUUGUACACCUUGCUUACAAAUUUUUUAUUUUUAAUUUUUAAUUUUGUAUGAUAUGCUCUUUGUUGGUAAAUUUCAUUUGACUUAGAAGAGAUAGUUUUAUCCCAACAGUGGGAUACAUCAUUGAGAUGCAUGGCAGAGUGAAUAUAGUAGACAAAAUCAUUGAGACCCAUGGUGGUGUGAACAUAGUAAACUUUGUCAAACACAGCUAAGAUGAGCAAAUUGUUUCAUUAGCCUUUAUCUUAUCUGCUGUGAUGAUUCAAAUUAAUGCUGUUUGGUAGGUUGCAAAAAAACGAAAUGAGCUGACUGUUCGUAUUAUUUAGUCAGAUCUCUAGCAAUAAGUUGAAGUUCAUUGUCACAUGGGUUGGGAGUAUCGUGGGCUGUGAGUAGUAGAAUGGAUUUAUGGAGUUGAUACAAGUGCCCACAAUCUCUCAUGUCAUUCUAGGAUUAAAUGGAUUGCACAUUACUGUAAAAAUGGAGGUUAAAUUUAUAUAAUUCGGAUUGAUUGUAAAAUGGAAGACAGAGAUGAGUUAGAAAAAGAAUGACCCGUGUCCUUUUUGAGCUGUUUCUAAAUGUCCCUGGUGUGCCUCAUGCUUAACACGUGCCUUUCCAAAUAAUUUUGCUUAACCUGUGCUUGUCUACUUCUUGUGCUAUUCUGUGCCUGGUCCUGAGCUGUAUUGGUAGAUUGACAUCCAGCUUGAACUUUUAGGUAUAUCUUUUGUACAUAAAUUCUGAAUACCCAUGGACUUAGCGUGAUAUAAAGUCAAGGAUCCAUUUAGCUGAGUCCUUCAAGUUUUGUUAGUAUGUCUUCGGAUUAUAAAUAUGUAACAAAAUGAGGUGUAGAAUACAUUUAAAAAGAAAAGGAUAAAAAAACAAAAGAAAUGAAAAGAGGUGUUUAGAAGUAAUAGCUAAACUAGAUACACUCUCACUAAUUAGCGAUUCUGAUGAACAGUGCCCAUAGCUUCUUUUAUACCUUGAAGUUGCAGAAAUUGAUUCUUGGUGAAUUAAGUCACUUACAGACAUAACUUUUUCUUCCAUCUAAUUUUUAUUAGGUUAGAUAGGAGAAGACUUGUUUCAGGGUGUCCUGACCCUAGUAUUAGUUUUCUUGUCAGAUUUUUCAUGAAAAUUUACAAUGCACGUGACAUACAACUUCUAGUAAUCCUAGGACUUUGUUCACAGGGUGCUUCUAUUCCUCGUUGUGGAAAUGGGACAAACCUUUUGAUACCUUUACCAGGAUCAGUUAGUGCUGAGGAUAUGGCUAUUACUGGAGCUGGUGCACGACUUCAUGAUCAAGAUGCACCAACCCUUCCACUGUUGUAUGAUUUUGAAGAAUUAGAGGGAGAAUUGGAUUUUCUUACUCGUUUUGUGGCAGUUACCUUUUAUCCUGCUAUUUCUGGAACAAGUUCCAUGACUCUUGGUGAGGUAGAAAAUAUUUUCAUAAAAUGUUAAUUGAUUUAUCUACGCACUUUAUUCUUAAAUUAGUAUUUUAGACCAUGAGCUUUGUGGAGUGGGUUUGCUGUAACUGCUGCUGGUGACAACAUAAUUGUUAAUAUUAUUACAGAUAGAGAUUCUUGGAGUUUCUCUUCCAUGGAGGGGGGUAUUCAAUAAUGAAGGCCCUGGUGCUAGAUUAAUUGAGCUUGGCAAAAAGUUUCAGAAGGAAACCGAUCCAUUUUUGUCAAAUUCAGUUACAAAUACGGUUCUGUUUUCCAAUGAAAAUGUGUCAACAUCAAUGCAAACAGAAGCUGCUUCCAAUCCUUGGGUUGACCUGUUGUCUGGAGGGGACACAUUUUCUGAUCCUCUUUCAGAGCCGUUUUCUAACCCUCUUUCUGAGCCGUUCUCUGAUCCUCUUUCUGAGUCGUUCUCUGAUCCUCUUUCUGAGCCAGUGACAAGAAAUGUUGCAUCUGGAGGGGCUGAUUUGCUUGAUUUCUUGGACCAGCCUAUAGUUGAAGAUCAUGGUGUGGAAACUUAUAAAAGAUCUUCAACACAGGAUGGCUGUUCUCUGGCUAGUGGUGCCCAGCAGUACAUAAGCUGUCUAAAAUCCCUUGCAGGGCCACGCGAGGUAUAGUACUGCUCUCUUGUGUUUUUUGCAGCUCUACAUCUUAGUAACCUCAUCUUUUUAAUGGAGUAAAUUCUAGAAGUUCAACAAAUUUUGCUUUGCUAAAUGUAUAACUUAUUAAUCAG